rnacentral:lncRNA from 1 species
UUUCAUUCUCCUUGAUAAUGUUAAUUAAAUCCUCCACACUUACCUUGUUCUGUUCAAGAAACUGCUGCAGGUACAUUAUUUUGUGGUCUUCCAUAGCUUUUAGGUUUUCCUUACCAUGGUGAACAGGGCCUAUUGAGACUACUCGAGGUGUAUAUGCCUUUUCAUUUAACUUCCGCAAUCGUUCCGGGACUCUGUAGAUGCAGCAUGCCUCGGAGAAAGCCUUCUUGAUCUUCAAUUGCUCCCUCAAAGAAUUGGCUAUCUCGUUGAUAUCAAGCGAAACUUCAUGGCUGUGAUCCAUUAUCUGCUGGUCAGAACUUGAUGUUCGACCAAUUUUCAAACUGGAAAAUAUUAGUCACGAAAAACAUACUUUGUAAACAAACUAAGUGCCAAUUAAGAGAAGAUUCUAGUACUAGAAUAAUAUCAAAUUUGAACUAUAUUCACUUCAAUAAAAUCUGUUCACACAAACAGCAAUAUAAUGGCUAAACGCAAAUAUAAGUAAUAUAUAUGUAAUAUCUGGCCCAUGUUGAACUAACAGCUACGUUACAAAUUUGAACUCUUUAGCUUCUAAUUAUUUGGCCCAUGUUGUUUAAUGUCUAUUGUCUACCUUUAAAAAUGUGUGUAGAGAUGUCACCCAAUUUAAGAUUCAGAGGGGAAAAAAAGAAGACGGGCGAGCAUAUGAAACCACCCUAAAUAUUUAUUUGAAAAUAUAAUAGUGAUUAUUUUUAAAAUAUUUUUUAGUUAGAAAUGUAUUUAAAUAAUAUUUUUUUUUAUUUCUAAAAAAUUAUUUUUUAUAAAUCCAAAAUCAUAAAAAAAAAAAAAAAAAAAAAAUUUGCCUAAACAACACAAUACCAAACGGGCUUAGUGCCGCUAAUAAAUUGUGAAAUAUCUUACAAGAAAAAUCAGGAAUUAAUCGAAAACCUUACAAUUAUCGAAGUCAAUGCAUAUUGUGGGAUUACUCAAAACAAUAAAAAAUGUCAGUAGUUGAGCCUAGAAGAAUUUAGCAAAAAUCUAAUUGUUUUAGAGUGAUGAAGUGAGAUGAUUCAGCUUACUUUUGUGAGCUUUUGACUUGGUGACCUUCUUGGGACUGUUGUGAGGUUUCCAAGAGCUUUGAUGAAGGUGGUAAUCUCAACCACCAUCAAAAGGAAAGCAAACUAAGGCUCAAAAAUCGGCUGCUUCCAUGGACUGCACUAGUACUGUUGUUCGCUAGGCUAGCUGUUUGGGAUUGCUGAAUGGUGGUGAUGGUAUUAGGUGCAGGGUUUUUGGGUGAAUUUUGAUGGUGCUUGGAGGGUUUCGGGUGGAGGAAGCCAGUGGUUUGUGUGUUUGUUCAGAGAUAAGGCCAGUGGCUUGCGGUGCUAUAUAUAUAUUUUGCUGGAAGUGUGUGUGGGUGAUUUCUAUGAAGGUUUCACACUAGAAUGUCGUAUUUUCAUCAUUCAUCUGCCCUAUCUCUGUCGAUUUCACACUAGAAUUUCCAUGUAUAAACAGCCUUAGGUUUUCAAGCUGUCCCUUCUCUUUUGUUGUCUUGUUUAUAUUCACCUAACGUAAAGGGGAUGCUACCUGACUUCAAUGAUAUGAGUCUUCACCAAAAUAUAUAAUUAAUUCAUGAAAGCUCUUGUGAUAAUAAUGUUUUAGAAAGAUUUUAGAUUUGAGACAUAGAUAUAUUUUGUAUGAGAUGGCCCCAAAACAAAAGGAUCCAAUUUUAAUGCAAAACUUCUUUAAAAAUUUUGUGAAAGUUUUACUUUAUUAAUUUUUUGAUUAAUUCUGAUAAAAGGGGACCACCUCUAUUAUUUCUCAUAAAAAGAAGACCACCCUCUAUAAAAGUUUCUUAAAGCAAUGUGAAUAAUUGGAUUCAGAUAUUCAUCUACCCUAUCUAUAUCGAUUUCAGACCAGAUAAUAAGUUUCUUAAAGCAAUGUGAAUAAUUGGAUUCAGUUUUAUAGUUAUCUACCUUGAUCAAGGUUGUUAAAAUCGAGAUUUUAGAACGAAACGGAAAGCCCUUCACAAAAUCGGAUCGUAAAAUCGGAUCGUAAAAUCGUAAAAUCGUAAGGAAUUUUGAAAUACAUUAAAAAAAAUUCAUGUUUCAAAUAAAAAUUCAUACAUAGUUCAAGCACAUUAAAAAACAUGUUUCAAAUAAAACUUCAUACAUAUUUCAAGCCUUCAAAUAAAAAUUCAUAUAUAGUUCAAGUAUCUUAAAAUACAUGAUUCAAAUAAAAGUCAUACAUAAUUUAAAAUAACUUUUCAUUAACUAAUAAUCAACAAACUUAAAACAAACAAUCUGCUGGUGUGUCAUGUAAACUAAAACCAGCUUCAUUCCCUUCAUCUUCCCCAUCAUUCCUUAAGCAUUCAUCAAUAUCAUUAGCAUCAAGAGGAUUAUUAGUAUCACUACUAGUACCAACACCAAUAUUAUGAACAUUAGUGCUACUACUAGUACCAACACCAAUAUCAUCAAUUUGAAUAUUCAAAUCAUCUUCAAUACCAUGACUCUCCAUUUCAACAUCAUUAGGAAUUUCUUCUUCAUCACUUUCAUCUUCAUUACCAUUUUGUCUUCGUGUUGCACUGUCAAUAGCACCAAACAAAUCAAAGUUUGGAUGUUUUUCUCCCUCGGUUAUCCAAUCAUCAUCAGAUAGAAAUAUCAUCUUCUACACCAAAAUCACUAGCUUGCUUUUUGACUUGGUUAUUAUUCAAUUUCAGAUUGCACAUUACAAAUACCAAGUCAUUCAUUUUUCUCUGGUGCAAACGAUUUCUUCGUUUUGUAUGAACCUAAAUAAACAAUUCAAAUUGAUAAGAUUUUUAUCAAAUAUUUCAACAUUUAAAAUAAAAAAAUAAAAAACUUACCAUUUCAAAUGCACUCCAGUUACGCUCACAUCCAGAUGAAGUACAAGUCAAGCUUAGAACUCGGAUUGCAAACCUUUGUAAUUCUGGACAUUCAUCCCCAUAAGAAUCCCACCAUUGAGCUGGAGUUUUUUUAUCUCUAGCUGUCUUGGCAGCCUCAAUGCCAAACAACCCUUUUGCAUCCUUGAAUGAUUCAAGUUGCAAGUCAAUUUUACACCUUUCAUUUGCAUUAGGCACCAUCCUUUCUAAGCAUUGAUAUAAUCCAAUUUUAAUGUUGGCAUUAACCUUAAAAUUGGGAUUAUAAUGAUAAUGAGGAUUCAAAUAAUAAGCUGUUGCAUGUAAGGGUCUGUGGAGUUGAAGUUCCCAUCUUGCAUCAACAAUAUUCCAUAUAGGUAUAUAACUAUAUAAAAAAAACAAUAAAAAUAUCAUUACUUUAUAUAUGACAUUCAUAUUAAUAAAUGAAAUUAUUUGAAAUAAAAAUUAGCAAGAUAUAUACCUUUUUUUCACACGACCAAAAUUCACUUGUAUCUUUUCUUUUGCUUCAUCCAUUGCUUUAUAUAUAAAACCCAUAGCUGGUUUCUCAUCUGAAUCAACUAAUCGAAGAAUUUAAUUAGAGGAUACGCUGUCUUAAUACAUAUAUUGAUAUCAUGCCAAAACCUGGUGUCCAAAACACAAUUUUGAAUUCGUUUCCCUUCUUCUAUUCUUGCAAACCUACAAGAACUCCACUGUUUGGAAGUAAACAUAGUCAUCAGCUGCAUUUUAUGAUCAUUCAAACAUCCCAGCGUCAAAUAUGCAGUUGCAAACCGAGUGGCAGCAGGUCGAAUCAAAUCCCUUCCAUUCGUAAAGUGCCUUAGCAUGGAAAUAAGAAUGGUUCUUGAAUAAAUAUAUGAGGUGAUUUUCCUCCCCUUGGCAAUAGUUACUUGAUGAACCUCUAACUUCUUCUCAAAAUCUUCUAAUAUCAAGUCAAUACAAUGGGCAGCACAUGGUGUCCAAAACAAACUCUUUCUUUUUUCCAUCAAUAAUUGUCCCGCUGCCUUGUAAUUUGCAGCAUUAUCGGUGACAACUUGGACAACAUUUUCCUCCCCAAUCCUCUCCACAAUGGCAUCUAACAUUUCAAAUACCUUAUCAGCAGUCUUGGACAUAUUAGAGGUAUCCACUGAUGACAAAAAAACUAUCCCUUUAGGACUAUUAACCAAAAAGUUACAAAUACAACGUCUUUUUUUAUCUGUCCAUCCAUCAGACAUUAUUGAACAACCUGUUUUUUUCCAUUCUAGCUUGUACUCCUCAAGCAAUGUCAUUGUUUGAUCCACCUCCUGCUUCAAAUACUUCUCUCUAAUAUCAUGGUAAGAUGGAGGCUUGAAACCUGGCCCAUGCCUUGCAACCAAUUCAAGUGCCUUUACAAACUCAGGGUUUUUUACACAAUUAAAUGGAAUUGCACUAGUGUAAAAAAACCUUGCAAUUUGUCGACAUGCUUCUUCUCUAAUAUCCUUUUUUAACAAUUGAUUUAGAGUUGUUUGUGUACUUCCACUCCCACUAACUACUCUCUUUCCUUUGUCCUUGGAGUUAAUUUCUAUAAUUUCAUCAUCAUCAUCAUUUGCACUAUAUUGAUAGGCCUUUCUUUUCUUUUCAUUUGCUUCUAGAUUUUUCACCAAAACACCCAAAAUCUUUUGCUGAACAUUUUCUGGAACUUGCUGACAUGGCUCGACAUCCUUACGAGUGCAAGCCAAAUGUUGUUUGAAACGAAAAAUACCUCCACUGAGAAUUUUUUGACAAUACUUGCACUGAACUUUUUUAGAAUUCUUAUCAAUAUCUAUACCAUGUUGCCAUCCCACAUCAAGUCUAUUACCAGAAGAAUUUUUUCUAGAUGCCAUAAGUUCAAGUGUUCAACAAUUCAAGAAUCAACUCAAAUCAACCCUGUAAUCAAUCCAAAAAUUUUAUGAUUAUAAUUACCAUUUUGUUAUACAUAACAAUUGACAAAAUUAAUUCAGUCCAAUUCUAGGGUGAAAAUUGAAACAGAUGCAAGAAAAAAAAGCAAGCAAUAUUGAAACAACAUAUUUAUAUAUAAAUCAUCUUCUAUGUAUUCACAGCCAGUACCCGAUUCAAUUCAGUUCAGUACCCGAUUCAAGACAGAGCCACAGAAACUUUGAAUCAAAAUAUUACAAAAUCAGAACCAGUCUAACAAAAUAGCUAUCGUGGUUCUCAAAUAUAUAUGACAGCUACAUGAUUUGGAUAUAAAACACAGCAAUACCUUGUUAAAGCAUAGUCCUGGAAUCCAGUAAUUAUGUACUGAGCUUCCAAAGUUCCAAUGCAUCCACGUAAACGAGGCUCACCUCCAUUGACAACUUUCUUCCAAGUGACGAACAACGGGCUGAAACCGGAAUACCACCAUGUCAAAUAUGAUCAGUUCUAGUGUUCAUAACUGACAGCAAAUACUUCUACACAGCACAUUAUCACUUUAAUUCACCUCUCAACAAUUAUAAAAUUUUCUCAAAAAACAUCAAAAACAGCAUUCCCAACAUGUAUGAACUUGUUAAAUAUCAUCUAACACUGAAUUUUCAUCAAGUAAGAACUUAUUAAGAAAUCAACACUUCUAUGGAACCUCACAAAUCAACACUGAAGUAUAACACUGAUACGGCUAGCUAAGUGAAAUGUAGAAUUUUGGGAACAAAAAAAUUGCACUCUUUCACUGUUUCCCCAUAGCAUAAACAAAGAAAUUUAAGCAAACUUAAAAUUUGGCUCUGCAUUUCACAAUAAAAGAUCUAACGAAAUAAUGGAAAAACUAAUGGAACCAUGAUUUUCUUAAAAUACAGCACUUUUGUAAGGUGAUUAAUGGAAAAACUAAUGAAAAAACGAAAUAAUGCAAGAUUUAAUGAACAAAUCAUUAAACAAUACGCAUGCACAGCAUCAUCCAUGGCAAGUACAGUGGAAAAAAAACAGAUAUGGUUGUUUGGUGAAAACUACAAAGAGAAACAAUUAUGCCCUGUCAACAUCCAUUCAAUUUCAAAGCCACGAUGAAUGCCCUUUUCCCCUUUCAUUUGAGCAGUAAACAACAAUAAAAAAGCCAAAAGAAAAAUGCAAUUUACAGACCCAUUCACAAACUGAAUUCUAUGUUCCCUAACGAGAAAUUCACAGACAAAUUUAACAAACUAGAAAUUCAAUUAGCAAACCCAUUCACAAACCCAUUCACAGAUUAAAGCAGUCGGUGACAGACCCGGUGAGCAACCCAUUCACAGACCCAUCAAUUCAUAAAUUCGGACACAGGGGACAAAUAACAGGGGCAAAAUUCGGUCUGCAAUUUGACAACUAAAUCACGAUGCUAUUUGCAGAAGGUGCAAAUUAUAAACAGAAUAACUUACUAUGGCUGGUGCCUGGUGGAGACUGGUCACUAGAGAGUGGAGAGCCGCCGCUUGUUUGAAAUCUGGAUCUCACGGUGGCUGGUGAAAAAAACUGUUGUUGCCCGUUGGUGGUGAACCGAUGGUUGUUGUUGCCCGUUGGUGGAUGGUUGAUUGCUGGAACUUGGACGGCUGAGAGAAGGAGAACAAGGAUUUAGAGACUGAAAAAAGAUGAAGAAUUGACGAGUUGUGCCUGAAAAAAGAAGACUGAAAAACAACUGUUGUGGUUUUGUUCUGCCUUCUGCGUGUGAGUCACACGCAUGGUUGUGCCAAUUCUUGCUUGACACGUGGAGCUGGAGGGAACAGUGGCGCUCAUUUUGUGUUUUGGAGCAGAAACGUACAAUCGUGUCUAAAAUCGCGAUUUUGAGCGAUUUUACCCGAUUUUAAUGAUUUUACCCGAUUUUGACCCGAUUUUAUCAAUUUCCGAUUUCUGUUAACGAUUUAACACGUUUAGCCUACAUUGACUCGUAAAAUCGUACGAUUUUACGAGUUGACUCGCGAUUUUAACAACCAUGACCUUGAUUUCAUUUUUCAUCUUCAACCUUUAUGAGAUCCGCUUUUACAAUAGUAAUCUUUAUCUUCAAUUAAAGGAUGUUUAUUUUAUGUAAGAUAUUGUAUAGGAUAUAAAAUAUUUUGCAAACAAAUCUAGAAACUUAAUUUAUUAAUUAAUUGUUUUAGCUUAAAUAGGUCUAUACAAUAUUUUUUAAAAUAAUAAUCAAAUCUUAAUGUCAUAAAUCUUUCACCUGCCACUACCAUUCUAUCACUGAUUUUGAACACGCUUUUCUUAAAUAUUUUACAAGUAAUACUAUAUUCUAGAAAUUUAGCUAUUUUAGAUAUCUUUCUUAAUUUGUUUACACGGUUAGACAACCCUUAUUUAAUGGUGGGAGAAAUUCAAAGGAGCAGUUGUAGCACUGAUCGAUCGGAUCCGAUAUUUAUUUAUUAUCGUGUGGUCAAGUUGGUGUUUAGUGGGUUUCUUUCGUCGUCGUGAGUUGAAUCCUACGUAACAAUAUUGCGAUAUUAACCAUAGUUAUUAAACCCGGUCCGGGGGUUGACCCGGCCAAGGAGCCGGGUCUUGGGUUUCAUGGGUCAACCCGGGUUGACCCGUAAUAAUUAAAAAAAAAAUUAAUAUUUCAUAUGAAAAAAUUCAUGUAAAUAUAGAUUAUACAUAUUAUAAAUAAUGAAGUUUAAAAUAAUAUUUUAAAAAGUUUUUUAUCCCACAUUAAAAAGAUAUUAUGUUAAGCUUUUAAGUUGAAGUAUUUAAAUUAAAAAAAAAAUUUAUCCUACGUUUAAAAAACAUAACUUUUUUCAUGGGAACAUAGAGUAUAUAUAUGAAAGGGCUUCAAAUCCCACAUUGAAAAGAUACUAUGUUAUCCCUUUAAGUUGAAGUAUUUAAACCAAAAGGUUUUUUAUCCCAUAUUGAAAAAACAUUAUUUUUUCCUUGGAAACAUAGAGUAUAUAUACUAAUGGGUUUCAAAUCCCACAUUGAAAAAACAUAACUUUUUUCAUGGGAACAUAGAGUAUAUAUAUGAAAGGGCUUCAAAUCCCACAUUGAAAAGAUACUAUGUUAUCCUUUUAAGUUGAAGUAUUUAAACCAAACGGUUUUUUAUCCCACAUUGAAAAAACAUGUUUUUUCCUUGGGAACAUAGAGUAUAUAUACUAAUGGGUUUCAAAUCCCACAUUGAAAAAAUAUAAUUUUUUUCAUGUGAACAUAGAGUAUAUAUAUGAAAGGGUUUCAAAUUCCACAUUGAAAAGAUACUAUGUUAUCAUUUUAAGUUGAAAUAUUUAAACCAAAUUUUUUUUUAUCCCACAUUUUAAAAAAAAAAAAACCCGGGUCUCGUCCGGGUUUGCCCGGGUCACCCGGGUUUGCCCGGGCUGUUGCCACAGCCGGUCUUUUAUUAAACCCGAACCGGUCCAGCCACCGGGUCCCGGGCCGGGCCGGAUUUAAUAACUAUGAUAUUAACUACUUUUUAUCAUAUUUAAAGACUAUAGUCUCAACCACUCUUUUGAGUAUUAUGAAUAUAUAAAUCCUUCCAUGUGGGACAAAUUGUGAUAUUCCAUACUUUUUAGCAUGGAAUAUCGCAAUUUGACGUAGAAUAUGUCGUUAUGAGUUUCUAUGUAUUAACAAAAUUGCGAUAUUCUAUACUUUUUAGCAUGGUCGCAUGUGCUACAAUUGAAUAAUUGGAUUCGUAUAUUCAUCUGCUCUACCUCUGUCGAUUUCACACUAGAAUUUCCACGCCCUUAUUCAAUGGUGGGAAAAAUUCGAAGCUACAUGAUUUCUUAAAGUUUUUUUUUUAUAGGAUAAAAUAAAAUAUUAACAUCCCAACCGGGUCAAGUUUUUUAAAUAAUUAAAAACCCAACUACUACCGGACCGGAUUAAAAACGAUCAACAGAAUUUCCAUGUAAAACAUAGGGUCUCCAUUAUUAAAGUUUAAUGCAAGACUAUAAAAGUCAUGCACCAUGAAUAAUUGGCAAGACUUUCCACAAAGCCUACUCUUAGGCAGGGUAGAGGACUGUGACUGCAGGUAUUGUUUUUCUGGCAUGACUUUCCACGAAGCACAGAGAAUAAUAUUUUUAAAAUUCCCCUUUGAAAAUUCAAAAAUCACAAAUAAUAUUUUAAUAUCAUUAUUUUAUUAUUAAAUAUAUAUUGAGCCGAACAAUGCUACCGGACUUUAAUGACACGAGUCUUCGCCAAAAUACAUAAUUAAUUCAUGAAAGCUGUUGUGAUAAUGGUGUUUUAAAAAUCUUAAAGCAAUGUGUUGACUCGCACGUUCAUCUGCCCUAUCUCUGUCCAUUAUUAAACAGAAGCUAGCAACCUAUAAAGUUUAAUGCAAGACUUGUAUAAUAGUUUUGUGGAAGUUUCAUCUCUCUAGUUAUCUAUCUUGAUGACAUUUUUCAACAUCUUCAAUCUUUAUGAGAUCCGCUUUUGCAAUAGUAAUAUUUAUCUUCAAUUAAAGGAUGUUUAUUUUAUCUAAGAUAUUGUAUAGGAUAUAAAAUAUUUUACAAACAAAUCUAGAAACUUAAUUUAUUAAUUAAUUGUUUUAGCUUAAAUAGGUCUAUACAAUAUUUUCUUAAUAAUAAUCAAAUCUUAAUAUCAUAAAUCUUUCACCUACCACUACCAUCAAUCACUGAUUUUUGAACAUGUUUUUCUUAAAUAUUUUACAAUUAAUUCUAUAUUCUAGAAAUUUAGCUGCUUUAGAUUCCCUCCUUGAAUUUAUUUACACGGUUAGACGACUUUUAUUCAAUGACGGGAGAAAUUCGAAGGAGCAAUCUACUACAUGAUUUGUCAAAGUUUUCUUAAAAGAUAAAAGAAAAUAUUAUAUAUCAUUACAACUAGUGCAACUGGCAAGCUGUGUUUUGUGGCUUUGAUCUUGAACCAUUAAGAAGAAAAGUUCAAAGAGUUUGUCUUCCUAAAAUAUUUAAUAUUAAAAACAAAACAUUUGGUGUAGCUAGGUAGGGAAACCGGAACAUAUAUUUGAUAUCCUUAAUUGAUUUAAUGUAAAAUGAUAUUUUACCAUUAGAAACAAUUAUGAUAAAGAAAUGUGAAAAAUAUAUGCCAUGCAGAAAGUAUAAGGAGAAAAGAAGCAGCAGCAGCAACAGAGAUGCCGGUCCAUGGAUUGUUGAAAUAAACCUGCUUCAAGGUUGCCUUCCACUUGUGCUGCUUGUUUAUUUCUCCUUGUACUCUCUGUCAUACAAAUGGUCUGCUCUAUCCUUCAAUUGUGAUAGAUAUUUAAUCCCUUUGUAUUUUUCUUUUCUUUUUAUGAUUGGAAUGUACUUAAGAACAUGAGCUAAGAUAAAUUUUAUAGUGCUUAGUGAAUCACUAAUAAUAUCCUUUCAAUUAUUUUCUCCAUUUAUUUUAAAGAAAAAAAUUAAUCUAUUUAUUAUGACUGAUGAUUGUUAUUUAAUAAAAAACAUUAUUAUGAAGGGACAAGUAUGAUAUUAAGUUGGUGGAGGGACCAAUAAAAUGUUGUUUUAGUAGUGGAGGGACGACCAUAUUCUUUCUCUAAUUUAUUAAUGUUUUAAUUUAAUUAUAUCUUUAAAUUAUUAAUAGGUAAAUUUUAUUUAAAAAAGGUGUUCAUGUGCUACCAUGGAACGAAAUUAUGGACCAGUCUGCUUGAGUCCAAGUCCAAUGUAUUCUCAGUAAGCCUGGACAUGAGUUUUGGAUCAAUUGGGCUUGAUUAGGCAUAGUUUUCAAGGCUGAAACAUGGGCCUAGCUCAUAUCAGCAAUUUAUAAGGCUAUAUAAUUAUAAUUUAGAAGGCAAUUUCCCAUACUGGCUGCAAAAAUUUAAAAAAAGAAAAACUAAUAGCAAAAGAUGAAAAAGCUCAUGCGAGGAAACUUUAGAUUUUUGAUAGCCAUAGCAGUUAAGUAAUUUAUUGGGUAUAAAAAAUUGAAAUCUCUGUGAAUUUAAGCCCCCUCCACCAUCCUAAUUAUAUCAAAAAAUCCAUUACAAAAAUACCAAAACACCCCUAAUCAUGAAUGGAAUUUUAUUUUUUAGGGAUAAUUUAGCUAUUAUAAAUUGCAUAAAAAGUUGAAAAUACCAAAACACCUUAAGCUUCAACUUUAAAAAAUUUAAUUUUAAAGGUAAUGAAAUCAUUUUAUUUUGCAUAAAAAUUUGAAAAAAUCGAUCUAUCUCCCAUAUGACUAAUGUAUUCAUGUGAAAAUAGUAAAGCACCUGCCAUAACUGGUUAUACAUGAACUCUGUCCAGAUUCUGCAAAUUUUAGCUGAGGCAAGGAACAGAUAGCCUGGAUAUUCUGAUACUGCAUUUAAUUCUUUAGAUGUUGGUAACAUGUUAUUUCUUCAAAUUUUGAUUAAAUAUUUUGCCUGCGACUGCAUGAUCAUGUCAUCUGGAAUAGCAUGACAAAUCAUUUGCUUUGAUCUUAUAUUAAUCAAGGAUAACAUUCUGAAGCGUAGUGCUAGUUGAUAACUGGAAACUUAUACAUACUAAUUGAGGGGAAAAAACAAAACAUGAAAGAAACAAGCAUUGAUCACACAGCAAUCCAAAUCCAUGGAACACUUAAUUGAAAUCCUGGAAGCUACACUUGCAUAAGAGAACACACAGUUUGUACCAUAGUGAGUAUGAGGAGAAUCAAGGCUGCGAUAAUAGAGAUUAUGGCCCAUGGAGUACGGAAAUACUCUUGUUUCAAGUUUGCCUUCCAUUUAUUCCAAGGCCUCCUGCAGUAUGCUUUCAGAUCUUUAACGAGACUAGCGAAGAUGAAAUGAUGCGGGGAGAGAGGAUUUCCCUUAGAAAUAUUAUGAAGAAGACUCGUAACUGCUUCAUAGUCAUGUAUCCAGUUGUCUAUAAUUCCAUUUCGAACAAGGAUUUCCACAUCCUUAGGAGUAAUGACAAGGAAAUUGAUCAUUGAAAUAUAGUUAGCUAUAUACUUAUUGUGGCAAUAAUGGCAUUGCUCAAAUACCUGGAGAUUCCUGAAUAAGAUUUCUGUGUCGUCAUCUAUUUUCAAUAGUGGCAUUUCCAGGAUCCCUCUAUCGAAUUUCAGGUCGAGAAAACUUUGGCCCGGUUUAAACCUGAACUUAACUCCAGCUUGAUGGAGUUCAGUUAUACUUGGUACGUUUAUGGUCUCGAGUUCUUUCUUCGUUUUAUCUGACUCUGAUGGCUUCUGACAUUUUCUUAUGAAGUCAACAAAAUGUGCUACUCCAGACGAAUUGAUUUCCUCCAAAAUUCCCUUUUUCAAUGUCCGAGGCCCCAGUCUCCGUCCGAAGAACUUGUAUGUAAGCCCAAUCAAUAUUGAAUAUUCCACUUCAGCAGGGCUAUAUCUGCUUAUUCUGGAUGCUUCAAGCAAAUCCUCAAGAAUGAAGAAUGGAAGCUGAUUUUCAAUCAAGCACAUGUCAAGUGAUAUAUCGUGCAGCAUCCAUGGUUUAUUGAAUAUACGGUCAUUUCUACUUUCAAAUCCUUCACCACAACCAUUGAGCAGGACCACAAUGAUGAAGGAGGCAUCUAGUAACAUCAUUUUCACAAAGUCUUCACUAACAAGAUCGAUGGUUUCUGCGUAACAAUUACGCAAUUCUUUCUGUCUCCCCUCUACAACUCUAAUUAACUCCUCCAUGCUUGCCUCGCUCCAUUUAAGAAAAUCUUGCAAGUACAAUAUUUUGUGCUCCUGCAUUGCUUUAAGCUCUUCUUUUCCAUGGUGAAGUGGACCAAGGCUUACUACUUGAGGUGUGAAGAUCUUUUCAUUCGACUCACGUAGUCGAACAGGGGCUCUGUAGAUACAACAUUGAUCGGAGAAAGAAUGCAACCUUUCCAUAUCCGCUCUCAAGGACUUCGCCAACUUGUUCAUAUCAAGUAUUGUUACCUGCUGAUCAUCAACCGAUGUUUCUACAUCCUCCAUCUUGUGGGGAUACUGACCAAAGCGAUUCAAUUGUCAGACUCCAUAUAAAAAAUUUGACUACCUUUAAUUAAGUAGUCUCAGACUAAAUCUGAUUGCUUCAGUUUAAAAAAAAUAAUCCGGUUGCUAAAAGUAUGGACCGGGGAAUAGCUACCUAUCACUUCAAGGUUGCAUUUGGUUGCAUUCAAUUUAAUUAAUUAAAUUAUAAAAAGUUUUUUUUAUUAUUAUUUUCAAUAACAACGAUAUUAAUAAUAAUAUUAAAAAAUUAUUAUGAUUAUUUUCAUUAACAAUAAAUAUUAAUUUUUUAAAAUUAAAUGUAUCAUUAAUAUAUUUAGUUUAUAUUCAUGUUAUUUUUUUAAAAUUUAUAUUUUAUAAUAAUUUAAAUAAAAAAAGAUGUUUUAAAUUGAUAACAUUAACCUAGCUUUUUUAUUUAAAAUAUUUGUAUUAAAAUAUUUUACUUUUAUAAUAUUUUAUUUAAGUUGAAUUAUUUUAAGUUAAAAAUUUAUUUAAUUUUAACUAUUUAAAAAUAUUUUAAUUUUUAAAAUUAUAUUUUUUGACAUUAUAUUUGUAAUGCAUAAUUUAUAAUUAAUUUAUUUUGAAUUUAAAUUUUAUAUAUAUAUAUAUAUAUAAACAAUACAAUCUCAAAAUAAUACACAAAACACUCCAAAAUUAAAAUAUUUUAUUUUAAUUAAAAAAAUAAAAUAUUUAUCAAAAUAGAAUUGAGAACUUGAUUACAACUAAAUUAGAAGGUUGCGCAUUCGCACAUAACUUGUUUUGUUGUAUCACCUUUCAUAAUCAUCAAUUUACAUUGCUUCAGGUUCAUGUAGAAGAUAAAACUAGACGCAGGAGGAUUUUUAGGGAAAAAUUUAUUUAUUUAUUUAUUUAUUAUUAUUUUUUAUGAUGAUUUUUUUUUACUAUUUAGUUUAGAAAAUCAAGUAUUGAGAUUAUUAAUAUAAUUUUUUUAGAUUUUUUAUCACUUUUGUUUUAUUUUUGGGAUUAGUAUUGAGAUUUUUUAGAUUUGGUUCUUCAAAUUCAGUCUCUCCCAAAAGUUCUGAAAUUUAAAAAUAGUCCUUGGCAAAAAUCAACAUUCCAAGCUGUUUUCUGAAAUUUUAACUUUAAAUUGAAUUAUUUGUUUCUUCAUUUCAAAUCAUAAUGGAUAUCACAAAUGCAUCAAUUGUGAUACCAAGACUCACCAAAGAAUACUACGAUAAUUGGUAUAUUCAGAUGGGAGCCCUACUAGGCGCUCAAGAUAUCAUGGACGUCGUAGAAGAUGGGUAAGAAGAAGCAAUAUCCAAAUACGCUAAAGCAUCCAUGUUAGAUGCUCGAAGAACGAUCCUUCAAGCCGAUAGAAAGAGGGACACCAAGAAGCACUAGGGCCUUGAUGAGGCCACAUUUAAAAAUCAUUGCCUCUGCAAAUACAUCCAAAGAAGUAUGGGAGACCCUCAAACGAAUACAUAAUGAAAGAUACAUCAUUGACAUGUUCAUCGAUUAAGAAACCUAUCGUAAUGUCUCUUUGUAAAAUAAAAGGGUAAACUUCAAUGAUUAUCCUUAUAGAUUCAUCAUUAUUCUACUUCUACUCUUAUAAUUUCAAUUUUGCCACUAUAACCCUUGUAGUUUUCAUAAAAUUCCAUUAAUAAAGACACAAAAAGCCUAAGGAUAGAAACUUGCAUACCUAAAAGCUCUCGACAACCGGCAGUUUUAGAAGUUUUUCUCGUUUCAAAUGAUGACAAUCUAUUCUCCCAUGGCUGGACCUUGGUGGCUAGCUGCUUCCUAGGGGCAUUUCCUCCGGUUGAUUUUCUUGCUGUUUGCUUUGUGCCGUUGAAGUAAGUGAAUUGGCAAAUAGGGCUUUCGGAUUCCUGUUUGUUUCUCGAGAAAGCGAAGGGAGGUUAGGGAAUUGAAAGUUUUUGGCGGGUAGGGAUAGGAGGUUCUGGGGAUUUUUAUAGGGCAAGGGGAGGGGAGAGGUGAAAGAGGAAGGAAGGAGACAGUGAAAUGGGAUUUGAGCUGUUGAUCGGUAAGCUAAUGGGCGGUGGAGAUGGAGAUCCGUGUACACGUGAAGCGGCCAAUAGGAUUGCUUCAUUUAGGCGGGUUCGUUUAUAUUAGCAAGAUUUUUCAUCUGAAAUAUCAUGUAGCAUUCCACUUUCAACAAAACCUUAGAGUGUGUUUAAAUUUAAAAAAAAAUAAUAUUUUUUAUAUAUUUUUAAAUUGUUUUGAUAUAAUAAUAAUAUAAAUAUAUUAUAAAUAAAUUUUUAAAAUUAAAAAAUAUAUUAUUUUAAUAUAAUUUUAAACAAAAAGUAGUUUGAAAACCAUAGCCCCAAUGAAUUUAACUAUGAACUAUUUAGGUUUUAUUUAGUAUCGUGAUCCAAUUAUGUUUUUAAAAAUAAAAUUAGUUUAAUUUAAAUUUUUUAUUUUUAAAUUAUUUUGAUAUGUUGAUAUCAAAAAUAAAUUUUAAUAUACUUUUUAAAAUGUUAAGUUAAAGGGCGAUGGGAAUGGAAAUCAACAUGCAUGUGAAGUUGCCAAUAUGAUUGUUUUUUUAGACCCUUUUAAUUUUUGCAUUUUAAAAAUAUUUAAAAAAAAAUUAUUUUUUAUUUUUUUUUUUACUUUAAAUUAAUAUUAUUUUUUUUAGUAUUUUUAGAUUAUUUUAAUAUGCUAAUAUCAAAAAUAACUUUAAAUAUAUAUAUAUUAUUUUAAUAUAUUUAUAAAUAAAAUACACUUUAAAAAUAAAUCCCAACUGCAUUACCUAACAUGCUUGAGAGUGUUUUUCAAAAGUGCUUCCGAAAAAAUUUGAAAUUUUUUUAUUUUAUUUUUUUUGCUUUGAAUUAACAUGUUUUUGAUAUUUUUAAAUUAUUUUGAUGUAUUAAUAUCAAAAAUAUUUUUUAAAAAAUAAAAAUAUAUUAUUAACAUGUUUUUCUAAAUAAAAAGUAUUUUAAAACACUCCAUAAGACGGACUCGUUUUUCAUCUUAUGGAGCUCCUUAGACUUUCUGGACCGCGGAUUUUGAAGGGAUCAAUGGUUGUGAAUGUUUAGAGAAGCGCGAUGGGGAUCGCCACCUGCGUACUCUGCUGAGCGACCAAUAGAAAUGCUUUAUCUGCUUCCUUUUAACAAGUUAAAUAAACAGCCUUGGGUUUGCAAAAUUUCCCUUUUCUUAAACACACAUUUAUGAGAUAUUUAUUAUUUCCGUCAAUCCUUCUAUUAGCUUUUAUUACGUAGUAGUUAAUUUUUAAAGUUUUUUUAUUUAAAAAUAUAUAAAAAUAAUAUUUUUUUAUUUUUUAAAUUUUAUUUUUGACAUUAAUGUAUCAAAAUAAUCUAAAUAUAUUAAAAAAAAAUUAAAAAAAUUAAUUUUUUAAAAUAAAAAAAUAAACAUACACUUAAUCAAUAAAUAAUUAAACUUUAUUUUCCAAUACAACCAAACCAUUUCCAUACUUUUGAAUGGUUGGCUCUUUAUUAUUCUUCUCUCCAAGUAGUUUUUAAACCCAACUCAAUAAUCGAUCCGAUUUAAGGGUUGAGUCAAGUAUAAAUUUUGAUUUUUUUAUAAAUUAAAAUGAUAUAAUUUUAGUUAAAAACAAAUAUUUUAUAGAUUACAACCGGAUUUUAAACCUGAUCAAUGGGUCAAUCGCUCAAAUCACCCAAAAUUUUUACUUUUCUUAUAUUUUUUUUAAACUCGAUCCAGUUUCAGCCUCUAAUUAAUCAUUUCCUGGAUUGACCCGCUAGGAUAGAUCAGGUUUUAUAUGGCCAAACAAUUAUUAGCUUGCUUAUUAGCAAGAUUUUUCAUCUGAAAUAUCAUGUCGAAUUCCCACUUUCAACAAAACCUUGGUGUGUUUGCUUUUUGAGGUUAGAAAGUUUUUUUUAUAAAAAAAAAUUAUGUAUUUAGAUUAUUUUAAUAUAAUGAUAUAAAAAAUAAAUUUAAAAAUAUAUAAAAAAAUUAUUUUUAAAUAUUUUUAAAUAAAAAAAAUUUUAAAAAGCAACCAUUAUCAUAAUCCACAUAGAUUUAACUAUCGAUUAUUUAGGCUUUAUUUGAUAUUGCGAUCCAAUUAUGUUUUUGAAUUUAUUUUUGUUUUAAUGGAUUUUUUUCGUGUUUUUAUAUUAUUUAAAUUUUUUAGUGUAAAAAAUAAUUGUUUUUUAAUAAAAUAUUAUUUUAAUAUAUUAUUAAAUAAAAACUAUUUUUAAAAAAUACUGUAAUUUGUGUGUUUUUUAAAAAACAAAAUCAACUAUACAUACGGGUUAGAGAUAGAGGGGUUUUACAAGACAGUGUUUAAUGAAUAAAUUUUUUUGGAUUUGAAAAAACCUUAUUUCUUGAAAAGUGUAUUGUAUGGGUUUAGAUAAAUAAGUAAAUUCCUAACUAUUUCAGUUUUUUAUAAAAAUUACACACCCUGAUUCUUACUCAAAACUUACUAUUUAAAUCUCCAAGUUUUUUUAUCGUCGCUCCUUGGUAACGUUUAAUAAAUAACGCAAGAUGCAUAUCGAUAAGUUUAAGCUCGAGAAAAAAAUUGCGCGCUUCUGAAAAAAACGAGUCAAAGAAUUUGUAUUAAUAAGCAUAUAUUUAUAAAUCAUUUUUUUUUAUCGAUCCAUCAAUUAGCUGAAUAAAUAAAUAAUGAUUCUACAAUUUUCUAUUUCAAUAUACCAACAAACCAUUUCCAAUUCUUUUUUUCUUUUUUUUGGAAUGAUUGGCCCUCUAUAAUUUAUCUGAUAAAAGGGGACCACCUCUCACUUCUCAACCAAACAGUGCACUUCUACAGUUUUCCUAAAGACUUUUCUAGUCUUGUACCUUAUCUUCUACAGUGCUGCACCACUUGAAAAUGUAGCACUUUACAACUUUCAUUCCACUUAUAUAGCAAUAAAAAGGCAACAGUAAGAGCAUCUCAUAUGCAUAUAUGCAAAUUGAUAAAAUAAUAUUUUAAAUAGUUUAAAUAUAGUUUUUUUUAUAAGAUGUAUUUUAAUGAAAAAAAACAUUUAAAAAAUCAAUUCUAUUAGAGAAGAAAAAAUAAGUGUUUUAUUUUUUUUAAUGAUCUUGAUGUUUUUUUGACAUGACUAGAUUUAAUUGGCUUAUUUUUUUGUUAGCUCCACUUUAUUAGUUUUAACUCUUUUAAGAGAUAUAUAGGAAUCGUAUUUAUAAAAAAAGAAGAAGAUAUUUUAGCAUUUUAUUUAGAUUUCCCCUUUGAAUAUGAAAAACAAGUAAAGAAAAGCUAAAAUAUUAUCUUUUUAUUUUUGGCUAUCCAUUUAGCAACUCCAUUGGAGAUGCUCUAAGUGGGGGAAAUGCAGCGACUUUAACGGAUUGUAAAAUAAUAUAAAUUAUAAAUUAUAUUUUAUUUAAUAAUUUAAAUUUUUAAAUUUUUAAAUUGAAUUAAUUUUUUUAUAUAGUAUCAAAGUUUUAACAAUCAAAUAGUCAUGAAUUUUAAUAUUAAUAUUUUUAUUUAUUUAAUAAAAAUUAAGUAUAAGAUAAUUUAAAUAUGUAAAGUUUAAAGUUUAAAAAAUUUUAUUUAAAGAAUAUUAUAUUUUAUAUUUUUAUCUAUUAAUUUAAAAUUUUAAAUUGAAUUAGUUAUUUGAAAAUAAUUCAUCACCAAAAUACAUAUUGAAUUCAUGAAAGCUGUCGUGAUAAUGAUGCUUCUUAAAGCAAUGUGAAUAAUUGAACUCGGAUAUUCAUCUGCCCUAUCUAUGUCGAUUUCAGACUAGAAUUCCCAUGUAAAACAUAGCUAGGGUCUCCAUUAUUAAACAGAAGCUAGAAACCUGAAAAAUUUCAUGUAAGACUUGUAUAAAAGUUGUUGUUAUUUAUUUUUGAGUCUCCAUAAAAAAAAAAAAACUAUUAGGAAGAAAUUUAAAAAAAUAAUAGCAACAAGAAAAGAAUGUUAGAGUGCCUAGAAAAUAGCUAGAAAAUAGUUGAGAAGGUUUAAAAAUACAAGAAUUAAAAUUUGACAGUAUAUUUUUUACCGAUGAGAGUUCUAUUGACAAAGUAAAUUCAAUUUGAAGAAAAAAAGUUCAAAAUCAGAUGUUUAUGGACUCAAUUAAAUUUUAUUAAAGGUUUAAUUCAAUUUAUAGAGGGUUUCAUUGCAAGAAAAAUUGUUUUUUAAGUCAAUUUAGGUUUUAUUUGAAAGAAAUUAAAGUUUAUAGGUCAAAUUAUAAUUUUUAAGAGUUGUUUUGGGUAAAUGCUUAACUAAAAAACAUAUCAAAGUUUGAGACGAUUCUAGUUAAAAUUGCAAAAAAUUAAAAUCUAAAGAUCAAUUUAUAAAUGGUGUUGAGAUGUAAGGGUUCGAUUACAAUUUACCCAAGAACUUGACUAUAAAAUUUCAGAACUUGAGUGAUCAAAUGAAAAUGACCAUUUCACAUCUCAAAACAACACCGUUUCAGAGGACAUUGUCCAUCACCUCUUCAUUGCACCAGGAAGUCGUUUCAGCAGGAAGAAAAAAGAAACAAUUAGCCAUAGCUGUCCACAAUGCAAUACAUUACUGAAAUGCAUGACAUUUAUUCGGCUAUGAAGCCAUAGAAAGAAACGUCGUGCCAUGCUUGCUAAACGUCAAUGAAAGAGUCGCCGAUCAAUAUUCCAACAUUAAAAUCCAUGCAUGGUAGCCUCAUUAUCUAAGGCGACAUUCUCUGGUUAUAUUAUUUAUUAUUAUUAUUAUUAAUAUGAAUGAUUAAGUUAGUUUACGUAUACCUCGACUAAUUUCACGAAUUUUAAAGUUAAUGAUCAUGUAAGUCUUCAGCGGUCUUAAAAUUUAUGAGACUCAACUACACUAUAUUAUUACUUUUACAAGUAAGUUGUUUUAAUAAAAAGAAUUAAAAGAAAGUUAAAAGGAUGAUUUAUGAAUUUUUUUAAAAAGGUGUUUUCACCGACAAUAUUAAGGUCUCAGACUCUCAGUCAACUCUCAAUUUUUAUUAUUUCUAAAUCAAUCAAUCGUGGCCAUGUUCUCAAAUUUACCUCUCCAUCCGGACAGAUUUAACAACAAUACAUGAUACAGGUAAUGCAAAUACUAAUCUUAAUAAGAAAAACUAGCAUGUAAUAUUUGCAUUAUGAUGAGUUGAAUCCUAUGUAACAAUGCGAUAUUAACUACAUUUUAGCAUACUUAAAGACUAUAAUAAGCUCAUCUUAAUCAUUCUUUUUUACUAUUAUGAAUAUAUAAAUCCUUCCAUGGAGGGCAUGGUCGCAUGUGAUCAAUUGAAUAAUUGGAUUCGUAUAUUCACCUGCCUUAUCUCUGUCGAUUUCACACUGGAAUUUCCAUGCCCUUAUUCAAUGGUGGGAAAACGUACUCCCAUAAAUUCACCUAAAAUCAAUAAAAUCACCGACAGAAUAAUUUUAUUAGUAAAUUAUAUUUAUCAUUACCAACACUAUUCAAUCCAUAAUUCUAUCGGUGUAUAUCAACUGAAUAAUAUUGUCGGUAUAUACCGAUUGAAUUACAUAUGGAAUAUAUAGAAUAUUAAAAAAAAUGGUUUGAUGACGUGGGAGUUUUUAUGGGUAAUUUUACCAACAAAAUGACCGAGGGAUUCAAACUGGGAUCUCUGUAUAGUGACGAGACCAAUUCACCAUCAGAAGUACCGACAAAAUCUUCGACAGAAAUUGUUUGUAGGUGAUUCCAUCAGUAAAAGUUAAUAUAUUAUCACUCUGUCGACCCUCUCCUCCCAUAUUUCUCCUUCUUCUUUCCCAUUUCAACUUUACCCUCCAAAACUACAAACAACCACCCCCCUUAAAAAUAUCAUCUUUUCUUAACAUAAGUCAUAUUUCUUUAAGUUUUGUGGUCACAAUAUCUGUAUUCUGAUUUAUUGUGGAUUUUAUCAUUUUUUGUAAGUAAAUCUAUCCUUUUUAAUUUUAGAAUUUAAAAGUUAAUUUUAUUGUUUUUUGAUUUAAUGUAUUUUGUUAGUGUAUGUACAUGUUUUAUUGUUACUUCUCAAACAAACUUGUAAUAUGAAUGUAUAAUUUUGUACUUGUUAUGGUUUGUUUAGAUUUUGUAAAAUUAUAUUUGUUUGUAAAUUGUUGAAAUUUUGUUGAAUUACCGAAUUACAUGUGUUGUGAUGAAAUAAUUAAUAGCUUGUUUAACGGGUUUAUUUUAAUUUUUAUCAAUGCUACUUUGGAGUUGUAAUUUCCGUAAAUUUAUAUUUAUAAAUUUAUAUAGACGUUGAUAAUUGAUAAUGAAUAUUUAUGAGAAGUUUUAAUUAGUUUGUUCGAUAAUCUCGAGGUAAACCAAUAUUUUUGCUAAUUUAUUUACCUAACAUAGUUAAUUAAUACAUGUUGUCAUCAUAAUUUUAUAGAGGUUCAAUAGAAGUAAUGGAUGUAUCGAGAUUCACCCCAAGGAUUGCAGAUGAUGAAUUAUUGUAAUUGGAUUUAGAGUUUUAUUAAUUUCGCAAUAUCUAUUCCUAUAAAUUUUAUUGGAGGCGAUAUUAAGUGUCCAUGUAGGAAGUGUGAAAAAAAAAUAUCUACAUCUAGAUAUUAUAAUGAUACAUCUUCUACACAAAAGAUUUAUGGAGGAAAAAAUAAUGGUUAGGUAUAACUUUUAGUGAUAACAACGUGCAUAAAUAACCAAUUAUCUCGCUAGCUUGUCACUGAUCGGUUGAAUCUUGUCCGUCAAGGUUUGUCAAAUUGGGACCAAGAAAUUUAAGGCAUCGUGGGACCGAGUUGGUGAUGCCUACUUGUUGUGUAUUGGGAGUCUGAUUCUGUUUUGUAUUUCGGAAGGUGAUGCGAUGGCUAAGAUUCAAUUGGGAUGUGUGAUUUCAACAAGUUUGACCAAAUACAAUUAUAUCUAUAAAUAUUAGAGAACAAGGAUUAAUGCAACACGCGGAUUAAUUCAUAUGAAAGAAUUGAAAUUGCAGAAGCUAAACCACUUCAAGUAUAGAGCAGACGGAUUGUAUGACAGUCAGAAUGAGAAGAAUAACAGCUCCUGAGACAGGGACUGCUGCCCAUGGGGUAUUGAAAUAAUUUUGCUUUAAAGUUGCCUUCCACUUGUUCUAUGGCCUUUCGCAGAUGCAUUCAGAUCUUUAAUGAGACCUGUAAAGAGAAAAUCAUCUCGCGACAGUAUUAUGAAUAUAAUAUAUAAAUCCUUCCAUGUGGGGCCUAUCUGCCCUAUCUCUGUGAUACAAUUGAAUCGAUUCGUAUAUUCACCAUUCAUCUGCCCUACCUCACACGCGGUGUUUUGUGAAGGAGGAAGGAAGUGAUAACAAACAUAUCUCCAAGGACUCUGUUAUGUAUAGGACUCUAAUCACGUUGGCUAAGCUGAUAAGCUCUUAGAUUAUUCAAAACCUUAGCUGAUAAGAUCUCAGCUUGUAAUCCAUUGUUCACAGCUUUAGUUGAUAAGAUCUCAGGUUGUAAUCCCUUAGGAGUUGGUCUUCCUGUCAAAUAGGAGAAGUCGGUCAACAUAUGUAACUAUAUAUAUCUCCUCAGUCAAUAAGAAAAAUAUUCCGCUUUCACUCCUAAAACAAACACCUGUUAUGGUAUCAGAGCGUCCUCUGAUCCUUCCUCUGAUUCUUUCUUAAUUUUUCUUCACAACAAAAAUGUCCAACUCCAUUCCAUUAAACACAGACAAUCACCUCAUCACCAUUAACACAGCUGCUCAAGCUCCACUCAAACUGAACUCUUCCAACUAUGCUUCCUGGAAAAUUCAGUUUGAAACUCUUUUUGUUGGCUAUGAUCUUCUUGGCUAUAUCAAUGGAUCAAAGCCAUGUCCAUCAAUAAAUCUCACAGUUGACGGCACAACUGCUCCAAAUCCUGCAUACAGUUUUUGGGUAAGACAAGAUCAGCUCAUCUUAAAUGCCCUUAUUGGCAGUCUCUCCCCCCCACUGAUUUCCUUUGUUGCACGAACCACUUCCUCUCGUGAAGCCUGGAAUGUUCUUGCUGUCACAUAUGCAAAACCUUCACGUGGCCGUAUCAAACAUGUUAAGAACCAGCUGAAAAAUCUUACUAAAGGCACAAUGACCAUUACAGAUUUUGUUUACUUUGUCAAGGCAAGAUCUGAUGAACUUGCUAUCCUUGGUGCUCCCAUGGAUAUUGAAGAUCUUACUGAGAAGAUUUUAGAUGGUUUAGAUGAUGAAUACAAGGAGCUUGUUCGUGCUGUCCAAGCUCGGGAUUCUGCUAUCUCUUUUGAUGAGCUUCAUGAAAAGCUUCUCUCGUUUGAAGCAUCGCUUCAGACACAGUCACGUUCCUCCAGUAUCGGUCCUGUCACUGCCAAUUCCAUGGCUAGAAACUCCAACAACAGCAACUGGCGACCUUCACGAUCCAACUGGCGACCAUCGUUCUCUCCUCUGGGGAACAACUUUCGCUCAUCAACCACCACAAACUUUCGACCUGCUAUGUCCAUUACUCCAAACAAUUAUGGUCGCCACAGUAGAUUGCCUGCACGCCCCUAUUUGGGACAUUGUCAAAUUUGCAAUAUUCAAGGCCACACUGCCAAACGAUGUCCUUCCUUUCAGUUGGUGCCCACUUCAGGUUCUCACAAUAUCAACUCUUCAUAUGGCAUGACCCCAUCAGGACAUCCUCAGGCUAAUUUUACUUCUCCGUCCUCAUCCAAUGCUGCACCGUGGUUGCUAGAUAGUGGAGCAUCUCAUCACGUCACUGCUGACCUGAACAAUCUUUCCCUUCAUGUACCUUAUACUGGUCAUGAUGAUGUUAUGAUCGGCGAUGGUACUACUCUUCCCAUUACUCACGUUGGUUCAGUAUCACUUCCUACACUUAACUCUUCCUUUCAUUUACAAGACGUUUUAUGUGUUCCACCAAUGCAAAAAAAUUUAAUUUCCAUUGCCUUGUUCUGUCAAACUAAUAAAGUGUCUGUUGAACUUUUUCCCACUUGUUUUCAUGUGAAGGACCUACGGACGAAGGCCAUUCUUCUGCAAGGCGAAACUAAAGAUGGAGUUUAUGAAUGGCCAGUUGCUCGCUCAUCCUCCUCUCCUAUUCUUGCCUUCUCCACAGUAAAAACAACAUCCUCCAUUUGGCACCAACGACUUGGUCAUCCAGCAUCUUCUAUUCUUAGUCAUAUUUUGUCAUUUUAUAAUUUGAAUUUUUCUCCCCAUAAACAUUUCUGCUGCAAUGCAUGCUUAAGCAAUAAAAGUCAUAAACUACCAUUUUCUACUUCCACUUUGAUCACAUCUCGUCCUCUUCAAAUAAUAUUUUCUGAUGUUUGGACCUCUCCAAUUAUUUCUCAUGAUGGUUACAAAUAUUAUGUUAUUUUCGUUGAUCAUUUUACCAAAUACAUAUGGUUUUAUCCCUUAAAACGAAAGUCUGAUGUGCAAAUUGUGUUCAAACGUUAUAAAGCCAUUGUUGAAAAAUAUUUUCAGCAAAAUAUUGUGUCUCUCUAUUCCGAUAACGGUGGUGAAUAUAUUGCUCUCAAACCAUUUCUUUCCGAAAAUGGCAUAAGCCAUCUCACUUCUCCACCACACACCCCUGAACAUAAUGGAUUUUCUGAAAGACGACAUCUUCACAUUGUUGAAACAGGUCUUGCACUUCUUUCUCAGGCCUCAAUUCCGACCACUUUCUGGACUUAUGCUUUCAGUACUGCUGUCUAUUUAAUUAAUAGAAUGCCUACUCCCACGCUACAAAUGUCCUCUCCAUAUGAGUCUAUUUUUCACAGCAGUCCUAAUUUUUCAAAACUUAAAGUGUUCGGGUGUUUGUGUUAUCCUUGGUUAGGUCCAUACACAUCUCAUAAACUUGAUCCCAAGUCCAAGCCCUGUGUCUUUCUCGGAUAUUCUCUUUCUCAAAGUGCAUUUCUUUGUUUUGAUAAAUCCACAAGAAAAUUUCAUGUUUCUCGUCAUGUAAAGUUUGUUGAAUCGGUUUUUCCUUUUAAGUCCUCCUCCACUGACUCCUCCUAUUCAUCACCUUACAUAUCCGAUUGGGUCCCUCCCAUCAUUCCUGUUUCUUCCACUCCUCAGCAGCAACUGGUUCUAUCUACGCCAUCUCAACAAAGUCAUGCAGCUGAUCCUUCGUCUAUGGGUUCUUCACUGUGUUCACUUCCAUCUUCAUCUUGCACUGUCGAAGCCCUGCCCAGCACCAUAAUCUCCUCUUCCCCGUUGUCACAGGUACUUCCUUCUUCAUCCCCACUUAAUCCUAUAAUACCUGCUUCUCAUCUACUCCCUCAAGCACCUCCAAUCCCACCUCAAACAACUUCCCACCACCCCAUGGUCACCCGGUCCCGAAAUAAUAUCAAGAAACCUGUUCAGAAACUCACUCUUCACACCAUAAAAUCAGACACCUCCAACAUUGAACCUUCAAAUACUUCUCAGGCCUUCAAAGAUCCCAACUGGCGUCAGGCUAUGUCUGAGGAAUAUGAUGCCCUUGUUCGAAAUGGCACGUGGGAACUUGUUUCCCCUGAUGGUAUCACUAACCUUGUUGGCUGCAGGUGGGUUUAUAGAAUCAAAAGAAAUUCUGAUGGCUCCAUUAAUCGGUUUAAAGCACGCCUGGUUGCAAAAGGAUUUCACCAGCGUCCUGGAGUCGAUUAUCAUGACACCUUCAGCCCCGUUGUUAAACCAACAACUGUCCGGCUCGUCCUUAGUCUUGCUAUCAGUCGUGGAUGGUCUCUUAAACAACUGGACAUCAACAAUGCCUUUCUUCAAGGCAGCCUCUCUGAAACCGUGUUCAUGGAGCAACCGCCAGGGUUUGUUGAUCAAGACAAACCUUCCUUUGUUUGCAAACUACACAAAGCCAUAUAUGGGCUAAAGCAAGCGCCCCGCGCUUGGUACAAUGAGCUACGUCACUUUCUGUUGGCAUCCGGAUUCCAUAACUCUCACUCUGAUACAUCUCUGUUUAUCUUCCAAAGUGCUCCUCAUGUUUUGUAUUUGCUGGUUUACGUCGAUGAUAUAAUUGUCACUGGUAGCAAUGAUGCUGUUCUCUCUCAGUUUGUUUCCAGUCUUGCCAAACGAUUUUCUCUCAAAGAACUUGGUGACUUGUCCUACUUCCUGGGUGUUGAGGUUAUAUCUCACAAACAUGGUCUCCUGCUCUCCCAACGCAGGUACAUCACUGACUUGCUCACUCGUCUGCACAUGCAUGAAGCAAAACCAGUUCUCACACCGCUUCCAAGCUCUGCAUCUGCUGUUUCUUUAAAGUCAGGCUUGCCUCUCCCUGAUCCAACCAUCUAUCGUGAGGUUGUUGGCAGUCUUCAAUACCUGUCUCUUACACGACCGGAUGUGUCCUUCGCAGUCAAUAAAUUAUCUCAGUUCAUGCACCAUCCGACUGAUACACACUGGAUCCUUGUCAAGCGCAUUCUACGUUAUCUCCUUGGUACACUCAACAAGGGCCUUCUUCUGCGCCGUGACUCUCCUUGUUCUCUUCAUGCUUUUGCUGACAAACUUCAUGCCUUUUCGGAUGCUGAUUGGGCGGGCAACAAGGAUGAUUAUUCCUCAACCAGUGCCUACCUAGUAUACCUUGGGAGUAACUUAAUUUCAUGGAGUUCCAAGAAACAGAAAACCAUUGCCAGGUCUUCUACAGAGGCUGAGUAUCGCUCAGUUGCAGCCACUGCUGCUGAAUUAAGUUGGGUAUGUUCGCUCAUUCAAGAACUAGGUGUUGCUCUUCCCACUCCUCCUGUCAUCUACUGCGACAAUGUGGGAGCAACUCAGUUAAGUUCCAAUCCCAUAUUUCACUCACGAAUGAAGCAUGUGGCCGUGGACUAUCAUUUCAUUCGUGACCAAGUUCAGUCUGGUAGGCUUCGUGUUGCUCAUAUCUCUUCUGCUGAUCAGCUAGCUGACCUUCUAACCAAGCCGUUAUCCACCUCUCAAUUUCAGUUCUUUCGUGACAAGAUUGGCCUCUAUGAUCGUGGCCUAUCUUGAGGGGGCAUGAUAACAAACAUAUCUCCAAGGACUCUGUUAUGUAUAGGACUCUAAUCACGUUGGCUAAGCUGAUAAGCUCUUAGAUUAUUCAAAACCUUAGCUGAUAAGAUCUCAGCUUGUAAUCCAUUGUUCACAGCUUUAGUUGAUAAGAUCUCAGGUUGUAAUCCCUUAGGAGUUGGUCUUCCUGUCAAAUAGGAGAAGUCGGUCAACAUAUGUAACUAUAUAUAUCUCCUCAGUCAAUAAGAAAAAUAUUCCGCUUUCACUCCUAAAACAAACACCUGUUAGGAAGGAGACACUGAAGUGGGAUUUGAGCCGUAGAUCGGUAAGCUAAUGGAAAACUAUAAAUGUAAUCCGAAGAGGGGAAAGGUGAAAGUAAUAUUUAAAGACUAUAAUAAGCUCAUUUUAAUCAAGGUUAUCAAUUUCGUUCCAUUCCAUUUAGAAUAGCUGAAACAUUCCGUAUCAAUUCAAAAAACAAAAUAAAAUGGAACAAAUUUCAUCUCAUUUUAAAUCUCGAUCUAUUCUUUUCGGUUAAAUUCUGUCCGGAACGUUCCGGUUUCAUUCCACAUGUUUCGUUCCGCUCUUAAAAAGCUAUUGAAUCAAAUUGAACCUUAUUCAAUUUAAUUAAUUAAACCGUCCAAUUAUAAAAAGCUUUUUUCAUCACUAUUUUCAAUAACAAUGAUAAUAAUAAUAAUAUUAAAAAUUAUUAUUAAUAUUUUCAUUAACAAUGAUAUUAAUUUUUUUAAAAUUAGAUUUAUUACUCAUUCCAUUUCAAUUAAAAAAACAAAAUACUUAUGAAUUAACCCCCUUUUAUCUUAAUCAUUCUUUUGACUACUUUUAUGAAUAUAUAAAUCUUUCCAUGUGGGGGCAUGCAUGCUCGCAUGUGAUACAAUUGACUCAUUGGAUUCGUAUUUUCAUCUGUCCUGUCUCUGUCGAUUUCACACUAGAAUUUCCAUGUAUAAACAGCCUUAGGUUUGCAAGCUGUCUCUUCUCUUUUAUUGUCUUGUUUAUAUUCACCUGACGUGGAGGGGAUGCUACCUGACUUCAAUGACAUGAGUCUUCAUCAAAAUAUAUAAUUAAUUCAUGAAAGCUCUCGUGAUAAUAAUGUUUUAGAAAGAUUUUGGAUUUGAGAUAUAGAUAUAUUUUGUAUAGUGGUAUGAGAUGGCCCAGAACAAAAGGAUCCAAUUUUAAUGCAAAACUUGUUUAAAAGUUUUGUGAAAGUUUUACUAUAUUAAUUUCUUGAUUAAACCUUUCUAUAUAAACCUUUUUAGAUAAACUUUUACAAUGUUUUUUUUAUUAAAGGAUGUUUAUUAUAUGUAAAAUACUGUAUAGGAUGUAAACUAUUUUACAGAUCAAACUAUAAAUUCCAUUUAUUCAUUAAAAAUAUCUUUACCUUAAAUAGUUCUAUAAAAUAUUUUAAAAAUAAUAAUCAAGUAUAUAUAUUUGAGGGAUUAUGGGACAAUUAAUCUCAAUCAAAUCAUUUGUAUUCAUAAACAUAUAUUUAUAAAAUAUUUUUUUUUUAUCGAUCCAUAAAUUAGCUGAAUCAAUAAAUAAUGAUUCUACAAUAUUCUAUUUCAAUACCAAUAAACCAUUUCCAAUACUUUUGUUUUUUUUAAUGAUUGACCCUCCAUUAUUUAUCUGAUAAAAGGGGACCACCUCCAUUAUUUCUCAUGAAAAGGGGAUCAUCUCAUUUCUCACUCAAACUGUGCACUUUUACAGUUUUCCUGAAGACUUUUCUAGUCUUGUACCUUAUCAACUACAGUUGGCACCUUUAAAAAAAAAUAAUUUUUUUUAUAUUUUAUAUAAUUUUAAUACACUAAUAUUAAUUGGUAAUAGUCGUAAUUAUGAGACAUGGUCGCAUGUGAUACAAUUGAAUAAUUGGAUUCGUAUUUUCAUCUGUCCUAUCUCUGUCGAUCUCACACUAGAAUUUCCAUGUAUAAACAGUCUUAGGUUUGCAAGCUGUCCCUUCUCUUUUGUUGUCUUGUUUAUAUUCACCUGACGUGGAGGGGAUGCUACCUGACUUCAAUGACAGUCUUUACCAAAAUAUAUAAUUAAUUCAUGAAAGCUCUCGUGAUAAUAAUGUUUUAGAAAGAUUUUAGAUUUGAGAUAUAGAUAUAUUUUGUAUAGUGGUAUGAGAUGGCCCAGAACAAAAGGAUCCAAUUUCAAUGCAAAACUUGUUUAAAAGUUUUGUGAAAGUUUUACUAUAUUAAUUUCUUGAUUAAACCUUUCUAUAUAAACCCUUUUUAGAUAAACUUUUACAAUGUUUUUUUUUUAUUAUUAAAGGAUGUUUAUUAUAUGUAAAAUACUGCAUAGGAUGUAAACCAUUUUACAAAUCAAACUAUAAAUUUCAUUUAUUCAUUAAAAAUAUCUUUACCUUAAAUAGUUCUAUAAAAUAUUUUAAAAAUAAUAAUCAAGUAUAUAUAUUUGAGGGAUUAUGGGACAAUUAAUCUCAAUCAAAUCAUAUGUAUUCAUAAGCAUAUAUUUAUAAAACAUUAUUUUUUUUUAUCGAUCCAUAAAUUAGCUGAAUCAAUAAAUAAUGAUUCUACAAUAUUCUUUUUCAAUACCAAUAAACCAUUUCCAAUACUUUUUUUUUUGAAUGAUUGGCCCUCUAUUAUUUAUCUGAUAAAAGGAGACCACCUCCAUUAUUUUUCAUGAAAAGGAAACAACUUCUCACUUCUCACUUAAACUGUGAACUUCUACAGUUUUCCUGAAGACUUUUCUAGUCUUGUACCUUAUCAACUACAGUGCACUUUAAAAAAUAUUUAAUUUUUUUUAUAUUUUAUAUAAUUUUAAUACACUAAUAUUAAUUGGUAAUAGUCGUAAUUAUGAGGCAUGGUCGCAUGUGAUACAAUUGAAUAAUUGGAUUCGUAUAUUCAUUUGUCCUGUCUCUGUCGAUUUCACACUAUAAUUUCCAUGUAUAAACAGCCUUAGGUUUGCAAGCUGUCUCUUCUCUUUUGUUGUCUUGUUUAUAUUCACCUGACGUGGAGAUAUAUUUUGUAUGGGAUGGCCCCAUAAUAAAAAUUAUUAUCACGAGAGCUUUCAUGAAUUAAUUAUGAAUUAAUUAUGAAAGCUCUCGUGAUAAUAAUUUUUUAGAAAGAUUUUGGAUUUGAGACGUAGAUAUAUUUUGUAUUGGAUGGCCCCAAAACAAAAGUAUCCAAUUUUAAUGCAAAACUUCUUUAAAAGUUUUGUAAAAGUUUUACUUUAUUAAUUUCUUGAUUAAUUUCUUGAUUAAUUCUGAUAAAAGGGACCACUUCUAUUAUUUCUCAUAAAAAGAAGACCACCCUCUAUAAAAGUUUCUUAUAGCAAUGCAAAUAAUUGGAUUCAGAUAUUCAUCUGCCCUAUCUAUAUCGAUUUCAGACCAGAUAAUAAGUUUCUUAAAGCAAUGUGAAUAAUUGGAUUCAGUUUUAUAGUUAUCUACCUUGAUGAAAUUUUUCAACAUCUUUAACCUUUAUGAGAUCCGCUUUUACAAUAGUAAUCUUUAUCUUCAAUUAAAGGAUGUUUAUUUUAUGUAAGAUAUUGUAUAGGAUAUAAAAUAUUUUACAAACAAAUCUAGAAACUUAAUUUAUUAAUUAAUUGUUUUAGCUUAAAUAGGUCUAUACAAUAUUUUUUAAAAUAAUAAUCAAAUCUUAAUGUCAUAAAUCUUUCACCUGCCACUACCAUUCUAUCACUGAUUUUGAACACGCUUUUCUUAAAUAUUUUACAAGUAAUACUAUAUUCUAGAAAUUUAGCUAUUUUAGAUAUCUUUCUUGAAUUUGUUUACACGGUUAGACAACCCUUAUUUAAUGGUGGGAGAAAUUCAAAGGAGCAGUCUACUACAUGAUUUGUCAAAGUUUUCCUAAAAGAUAAAAGAAAAUAUUAUCAUUACAACUAGCGCCACUGACAUGCGGUGUUUUGUGGCUUUGAUCUUGAACCAUUAAGAAAAAAAAGCUCUUAAUGCUGUUUGUGUAGGACUCAAUCUCUUGUAGCUCCGACUUAUCAGGCAUAUACUUGUAUAUAUAAUCGUUGUAACACUGCAGAAGAAUGACAUUCAUAAAUAAAUUCCUUUCAUUCUUUUGGUUUACAUUCCUUUAAUUUGUUUUCAUGGUAUCAGGAGCAUGGUUAAAUCCUAACGUCUCUACCAAGCUUCCGCAAAUUUUUUCAAUUGAGGAUAGUACUGAUUCAACAAAUGAUACCAAAACACCACCCAUUAGAACAUGUGUUUUUUAACCAAUGAUCCAUCUGAUCCUUUUUUUUUAUCCAUGCCUCAGACCAUCCAGGUCAGAUUUUCUUUCGUCCAUGGAAGUUUGUUGACGUAGUGUGCGAUAUGUGCUUGCUAGAAAAAUAGCUUCCAUUCUUCUUCCUCGGGAAGUUGUUUGAGCUAUCCUGUGAAGCCAAUCCUACGAAUUAUACCAUUAUGGAACUUACAUAAAUGGUAAAAGAGGAUAGUUAUGUUUUACAUGGAAAUUCUGGUCUGAAAUCGACAUAGAGAGGGCAGAUGACUAUACCAUUAUAUAUGUUUGAGUUAUUAAAAGAGGAUAGUUGGAAAAACAUAAAUUCCUCUGGAGUCCUACAUGUCGCACGUCGAAAAAUCCGGCGCGCGGCAAUCGGCUGGCGAUUAUAUGUCUCGUUGUUUGUAUUGCUUGAAUUGGUUCGUUGGGAGUCGCCACCUAGUAUUUAAUUGAGGUUACUAGGAAACCCUGGUGGACUGGUCAUGGUCAGAGAUUUGCGGGUAAGGGACUGAUUGUGGUUAGGGAAGGUGUUAGCACCCCUAACGCACCCUACCUGAGGUAAGCUGCUCCGUGGACUUGAUGUGUUAAAGAAGUUUUAAAAAUUUUGUUUUUUCAUCGGAUUUUAGAAGUACAACUUCCAUACAAGUUUGUAUUUCUACACCGUGAUCCAAUCAAAAUAUUAAAUCCUUCUUUAUUCUUUGUUGUCUCAUCAAAAAAACAAUUCAUUAAACAAAUGUAUACAUGCAUCUUUUAUUAUAUAUUUCUUUCUUUUUCUUUUUCUUUUCUUUUAAUUCAAUAACAUACAUAAAAAAAUACAAACACACACAUACAUCUCUUUUUUAUUAUUAUUUUUUUCUUUUCUUUUACAUUCACCUUUACACAAAAUAAAUUCAAAACAAAUAAAUACAAAUUACAUUAAUUAAUUUAAAUUUUACAAAACAGUCCCUAAAAGUCCAGAAAUUGCAUUGAAGGACACUGUCGGAACUGCCUGAACUCGUGGCGGCGCGUGAACCCACGCGCCGCCGCAAACAUGCCGGAAACGGGCGGAUCUGCCCUAUUUCCUCCUCCUCCUCCCUUCUCUGCUGGUGGCAUCCUGCAAAACAAGAAAAAGGAAACGCAGGCAGUUCAUUUUAAUCCAUUUCUGUCCAGUUCUUGGAUUUUUCCUUUCUUCUCCAUUUUGGAUCUGCUUCUUUACAGAUCGGUUAUUUUCGUUUCCCCUUGUUCUCUGUUUUAGGCUGCCGGCCGAGUGACCAUAGGGCUGCUGGCGGCGUUCAUGGUGGCUCGCGGGGGGAAUUGCUGCGAUGGAAGAGGAAAUCGUGUGUCUGCCACCGGUUGAAGGAGAUGAUGCCAGCGUUGCCCCGGCGCUGAAUCUGUUCGGCCGUCGCUGCUGUGGAGGGAAACCGAAGGAGAAGCAGCCGUGGCUGAGGAGAUCGUGACCUGGAAGGCGCCGGAGCUGGAAGCUAUGGGAAAGAAGAGAAAAAUAAAUCAAACCCGCGGGGAAGAAGAGUUGUGGCUGGUUCUCCGUGGGGAAAGGAGAGUGGUGUUGUUGGUGGGUCUGUGUUGAUGACCGGGCUGUGGAGAAGGAAGGAAAAUGGAGAUGACGGUGGGGAAAUGGUCUGUCUUUGUUUCUGACAGAGGGGAAGUGAGCAGCGUCUUCUCUGGUUUUUGAAAGGUAGGGGAGGCCGUGACUUUUUUUCUUUUUUGCAGAGGGGAAGUCGGCUGGAAGGAGAAAGGGGAGAGUAUGGGUUUCAGCUGAUUUUGGCUUUUUAGCCGAGAGGAAGACUAAGGAGACGGGAAGAGGGCUGCCUUGGCUUCUCUGGUUUCGACUUUGAAGAUGAGAGAAAAUGUGGAAAUGGUGAUGGCUUGACUUGCUUUGUCAAGGCAAAAGGGGGAUUCGUCGUAGCCUUUUUUUUUAGGAGAAGUGAGAGCGGCUCUGUGUGCAGGCGGCUGUGCAAGGGCUGAGGAGAAAAAAAAUUAAAAGGGGAGCUGGCAGCUGUCAUCGGAGAAGAAGGAAAAAAUUUCCCAAAAAGGGGGGGGCCUCCCUGGCGGCUGUUUUCAGCAGGGAAGAAGAAAAGUUUAGUGUUUUAGGGUUCUCUCCUUUCCCCUAAAAUUACAAAAUGAACCCCCCCCACAAAAUGAGUUAAAAACUGCUAUUUAUAGGCAAAACAUUUUUUCGGGUUUCCAAAUCGGUCCCCAAUUUUUUUGUGUUCAAUUGACUUGGUAAAAAUUAAAUUUGAUCUUAAAAUUUUAAUCUUUUCAAUUCAGUCCAAAUUAAGCUCCCAAACUUAAUUUUUCACCAAUUAAGCCCCCAAAUUAAUUUGACCCAUUUAAAGUAUAAUCAAGUCCUUGCACUUAAUUAAAUCCUUCAAUUAGACCUAAAUUAAUUCUUAAACAUAAUUAAAAUUUAAUUUGGCCCAUGAUUAAAUCAAAUUGGCCCAUUAAAAAUUUAAUUAUGUCAUUGGACUUAAUUUUUAUGCAAAUUCAUCCAAUAAUCAUUUGAUUUGACCUUCGAAUAUGCAUUUAAUUUGACCUUCGAUUUUUGCCUAUUUUUGCAGUCUUUUUUUAUUGGAUUUCUCCGCAGUGCCAGCCUUUAUUUUAUUUUUUAUUUUUUUUAUUUUAAAAAAAGUGAAAUUUAGGGAAUAACCCAAAAUUGGGUUAUGACAGUUGCCCCCCUCUUUACAAUGCUUAUGAUAGAAAGUCUCGUAGGGGACUUUAGAUAGUAAGCGUUGUAAAGAAGAAAAAAUGAAGAUGUUUUUUUUUUUUUUUUUUUUAAAUUCAAAGAUUUUGAAAUGGUCGAAUUGUCAUGGGUGACCCACCCGGGUGAAAAACACGAAGAUGUUUUAAAGUGGUGAGAAAUACGAAGAUUUCUAAAAAUGGUUUUAUUGUUAUGGGCAACCGGCCCAGAUGAAAGGUUUUGAAAAAUACGAAGAUUUUUUCAAAUAGGUGAAAAAUGCAGAGAUUUUUCAAAGUGGUGAGAAAUGCAAAGAUUUCUCAAGAUGGUGAAAAAUUUUAGAGGUGGUGAGAAAUGCAAAGAUUUCUCAAAAUGAUGAAAAAUGCAAAGAUUUUUCAAAGUGGUUUUGUUGUAAUGGGCAAACGGCCCAAUUGAAAGGUUUUGAAAAAUACAAAGAUUUUUUCAAAGAGGCGAAAAAUGCAGAGAUUUUUCAAAGUGGUGAGAAAUACGAAGAUUUCUAAAAAUGGUUUUAUUGUUAUGGGCAACCGGCCCAGAUGAAAGGUUUUGAAAAAUACAAAGAUUUUUUCAAAUAGGUGAAAAAUGCAGAGAUUUUUCAAAGUGGUGAGAAAUGCAAAGAUUUCUCAAGAUGGUGAAAAAUUUUAGAGGUGGUGAGAAAUGCAAAGAUUUCUCAAAGUGGUGAAAAAUUCCAAGAUUUUUCAAAGUGGUGAGACAUACAAAGAUUUCUCAAAGUGGUGAAAAAUGCAGAGAUUUUUCAAAGGGGUGAAAAAUACAGAGAUUUUUCAAAGUGGUGAGAAAUGCAAAGAUUUCUCAAAGUGGUGAGAAAUGCAAAGAUUUCUCAAAGUGGUCUUGUUGUGAUGGGCAACCGGCCCAAGUGAAAAAGUUUGAGAGUGGGGAGAAAUGCAAGGAUUUCUCAAAAUUGGUGAAAAAUGUAAAGAUUUUUCAAGGUGAUGAAAAAUGCAGAGAUUUUUCAAAGUGGUUUUAUUGUUAUGGGCAACCGGCCCAAAUGGAAGAUGAAAAGAGUUUUGAAAGAAGUCUGAUUAUAAUGGGUGACCUGCCCGGGCAAAAAGAUAAAAUGUCUGAAAAGGACGACAUGAUAGGACUCGAUGGGGGAACGAGGGCUGAAGAGCGCACUCGAAAGGAGGUAGGGUUAGAAAAACACACUACCUAAGAGGUGAAUGCUCCAAGGCGCACUCUAAAGGAGGUAAAUAGGGCUAGAAAGCACACUACACAAGAGGUGAGGGCUCGAAGGAGCUCUCAAAAAGAGAGCAGGGUUGGAAAACACACUACCUAAGAGGUGAGGGCUCGAAGGAGCAUUCGAAAGGAGGUAAGGUUGGAAAACGCACUACCUAAAGUGGUGAGGGCUCAAAGGAGCAAUCAGAAGGAGGUAGGGUUAGAAAAAUACACUGCCUAAGAUGUGAGGGCUCGAAGGAGCAUUCAAAAGGAGGUAAGGUUGGAAAACGCACUACCUAAAAUAGUCGAAGGCUCAAAGGUGUACUAAAAAAGGAGGCAGGGUUGGAAAACACACUACCUAAAGGUGAUCGAGGGCUCAAAGGUGCACUCGAAAAGAGGUAAGGAGGUAAGGUUGGAAAACGCACUACCUAAGGUGGUUAAUGGCCCUAAGGCGCACUUAAAAGGAGAUAGGGUUGGAAAACACACUACCUAAAGUAGUUGAUGGCCCUAAAGCGCACUUAAAGAGAGGUAGGGUUAGAAAACAUGCACUACCUAAGAUGGGAGGGCUCGAAGGAGCUCUCAAAAGGAAGUAGGGUUAGAAAACACACUACCUAAAGGGGUUAGGGCUCGAAGGCACACUAAAAAAGAGGUAGGGUUAGAAAACACACUACCUAAAGUGGUCGAUGGCCCUAAGGCGCAUUUAAAAGGGAGAGGUAAGGUUAGAAAACACACUACCUAAAGGGGUUGUUAGCUUGAAGGCGCGCUAAAAAAGAGGCAGGGUUGGAAAACGCACUACCUAAGAUUAUUGGGGGCUCUAAAGCGCAUUUAAAAAGGAGAUAGGGUUAAAAACGCACUACCUAAGCGUUGAAGGCUCUAAGGCGCACUCAAAAGGGGAGGUAGGGUCAGAAAACACACUACCUAAGAUGGUUGGGGGCUCUAAAGCGCACUAAAAAAGGAGGUAUGGUUAGAAAACACAUUACCUAAGGGGUGAGGGCUAAAAGACGCCCUCAAAAGGAGGUAGGGUUGAAAAACACACUACCUAAAAGGUUAGGGCUCAAAGGCACACUAAAAAAGAGGUAGGGUUAGAAAACACACUACCUAAGGGGUGAGGGCUAAAAGACGCCCUCAGAAGGAGGUAGGGUUGGAAAACACACUACCUAAAAGGUUAGGGCUUCAGCAACUCGCUCAAAAAGAGGUGAUGGUGAGACACCGAUCUAUCAAGGAUGAAAGAAAUGCAUCAUGAUCAAUAUAUGCAUGUAUACUUACCUGAGAAGUAUAGGUCCCCUUUUCUUCAUCGAGUUCUCCUUUUCUCAAGAGUUUGAGUCUCUGAUAGUAAGCUUUGAUGGCUUUUGUCCCCUUGCUUACUCGAGAAAUAUCUUACAAUCUUGGCCUCUAGGAAAGUUGAUGUCAUCACUUCUUUGUUCUCCGCCCCUUUUAUCCCAAGGGUUGCCAAUUUUGCCCAAUAGUUUCUUCGAAAGGGAAUCAUGGAGCCAGCUCUACCAAAUGUUUUUGAUUGCCCCCUAGCUUGAUCAUGCCCCCAAGUAUUCAAUUCGGGUUUGGGGAUGAGGCUAUAUGAAGGAAGGUUUGGUUUUUGACAAGGAGCUGUUUUCAUGCAGAAUUUUUGGAAUUUCAAAGCUAUUCCAGACACAGAAAUCAUUUUGACAUCGAUUCAAAGCGAACUCAUUCUGAAGAAAUUCAAGUGAUUCCUAUGGAGAGGUUUUCAGAAGUGAUGAAAACUUUUUGUUUUGAUUUUGGUGAAAAAAUAUGAAGUGACAUUUGGUUGGUCACAAAAAGUUGAAAUUUCAAUGAAGUGACAUCUGGUUGGUCACAAAAGGUUUAAAUUUCAAUGAAGUGACAUCUGGUUGGUCACAAAAGGUUUAAAUUUCAAUGAAGUGACAUCUGAUUGGUCACAAAAGGUUUAAAUUUCAAUGAAGUGACAUCUGGUUGGUCACAAAAGGUUUGAAUUUCAAUGAAGUGACAUCUGGUUGGUCACAAAAGGUUUGAGUUUCAAUUUGAGGGUUAUUGAGAACCGUUUUCAAAGCAGUCAUUUUAUUUGCAUGAAUAAUGAUUUUAUUUCGCAUGAGAAAGCACUGCCUACCGAUCCAGAUUGCCUGCCUUUGAUCAGAAAGGGCUUCAUUAGGCACGUAAUGUAGGCUUGGGCUUUUGGCUAUGAAGAAAAUGAUAUAUAUAGGCUCAAAAGGUGUUUAAGGGACUUUAAGACUAAGGAUCACAAGUGCUUAUAUCCCAAACUCUUUUGUUCAUACAUUUCUGGACCUUGGAAUUGAUUUGUAAAAAUGUCCACGGUGCCCCCAGUGUUGGGCUUGGGCUCUUUCUCUUUGUUUUCUUCAUUUGAUUUUGAGCAUCAUUGCAUUGGCCUUUGUUUUUUGCUCAAAUUUUUGAUCCUUUGGAUUUUUUCAUGCCACCUAGCUUUGUAUGGGCACCUUUGAUGAUUGAGAUUUCUUUUAUGCCCCCUAUUGUUUGGGCACUUCAUCGUUGAAGACUUUUUCAUGCCCCCAAGAGUUAUUUGGGCACUUUCAAUCAUUAUGGAUUUUUAGCACUUGCCCCCCAGUGUAGGGUGUGAUCCUAGCCAAGGUUAUUUUUCAAGAAAAAUUUAUUAGGCUCAAAAGGGACUGCAAAUGAUAUAUUUCAGCCUUUGAAAGGAUUAUCAAAGAUGACCUUUCUCAUCUCAAAUGCAUGCAUUUAGGAUCGGUAAGCCUUGCUUUCAUGCGAUAUGCAAGUGAUUUCUCAUUAUUCAUGCAAUAAAACCCAGCUUUUGGAGUCACUUCAUGGUGUUUUUUUGGGUUUUCUAGGUGUAUGGUUACCUCUCUAAGGAAUCACCUGAAUUUCCAGAAUCGUUGUUUCGACAAACAUCAACAUGAUUUCUGUUUUGUACUAAACUUUGAAUUCCCAAAAAUCCUUAUGAAAACAUGGGUCCUGUUUUGUUUUGGGAAGAAAAGGGAAACACACCACAAGAUUUGGCGCGUGGUUUCAUGCUUAAAGUUACGCUCAAUGUGUUAUUUGCAUGAAACAACAAAAAAUGAAAGCAUGUGAAAACACAGAAAACACAUAUAUAACAAGAAAGGCUCAGGACAGGAAAGUCUUGUGGAAUUUUGAGCCAAAUUACCAACAAAAACUGGAUAGGUUGAAACAAAAAAAUCAAGUUUUGGAGGCAUGAUCAAACAGAGGUAGUUAUUGGCAGAGCAAGAACAGCUCUUCUGCAACGGUGAUGCAAUUCCCCUUCAGAAUUGUGUUGAGGCUUUUGAUCAUGUGGCCCCUAAUUUCUUCGGGUUGAGUUGGGGCUGAACAAAAAUACUGGCAUUGGAAGACCUUCACUAGAGCAUCUAUGUCUCGAGUAAGCUAAGUGAGGAGCCACACUGCUUUCAGAGACCUAACUCUUGAAAUGGAUGCUGCGGUGAGCACGCUCUUUGUCUCCAAUGUUUUUUCUCUCAAAAUCAGGUUGUAGACUCGGAGGGACCUACUUAUUCUGGUGCAUGCAUGACAAAAUGUAUGAACAUGAAGUCUAUAUGAUGAACUCGCCCUUCGAGGUACAACAUGGUCGUAACUCUUGUAUGAUGGAACAAGAAUUGAUUUUUGCCCAAACUCUACAAUGAAAAUUUUCCGAGUGACGACCAAUGUGUCACCCACAAAUCUUGAGUUCAAGAUGCUUCAAGAAGGGUUCGCCCCGAUGCAAAUAAAUGAUAGCACAUACAACCUAAGAACAAGUUCUAUUCAUUGUGUGAACAUGGGUAGGUUUUCUACCUGGUCUCAAAAGGGUCUAUGAAUUGCCCAGUGACGACCUCACGUGAAGGCAGUAUAGGGGUUUACAAGGAAUGGUUGGGGCACCAUGUGACCGCCAUUACCAAAAUAAACACUCAGCUCAUAGUUGGAUGUUUCACAAAUCUGAACCCCGACUGAAAGUCAUGAGGUAGACUGCUACUCCCCACCUAACUUAGAAGCUUGUGUGUGCUUUCAAAAAUAAAUACAAGUGAUGCGUGAAACAAUUCUAAAAAUGCAUGCAUAAAAUAAAGCAAGACAAAAAUAGCAAAAUUUAAACACAUCAAAUACACAAAGCUUAGUCCAAUAUUGUCAGAAACAGUACCUCCCCAGUGGAGUCGCCAUUCUGUUGCACGUCGAAAAAUCCGGCGCGCGGCAAUCGGCUGGCGAUUAUAUGUCUCGUUGUUUGUAUUGCUUGAAUUGGUUCGUUGGGAGUCGCCACCUAGUAUUUAAUUGAGGUUACUAGGAAACCCUGGUGGACUGGUCAUGGUCAGAGAUUUGCGGGUAAGGGACUGAUUGUGGUUAGGGAAGGUGUUAGCACCCCUAACGCACCCUACCUGAGGUAAGCUGCUUCGUGGACUUGAUAUGUUAAAAAAGUUUUAAAAUUUUUGUCUUUUCAUCGGAUUUUAGAAAUACAACUUCCGUACAAGUUUGUACUUCUACACCGUGAUCCAAUCAAAAUAUUAAAUCCUUCUUUAUUCUUUGUUGUCUCAUCAAAAAAACAAUUCAUUAAACAAAUGUAUACAUGCAUCUUUUAUUAUAUAUUUCUUUCUUUUUCUUUUUCUUUUCUUUUAAUUCAAUAACAUACAUAAAAAAAUACAAACACACACAUACAUCUCUUUUUUAUUAUUUUUCUUUUCUUUUCUUUUACAUUCACCUUUACACAAAAUAAAUUCAAAACAAAUAAAUACAAAUUACAUUAAUUAAUUUAAAUUUUACAAAACAGUCCCUAAAAGUCCAGAAAUUGCAUUGAAGGACACUGUCGGAACUGCCUGAACUCGUGGCGGCGCGUGAACCCACGCGCCGCCGCAAACAUGCCGGAAACGGGCGGAUCUGCCCUGUUUCCUCCUCCUCCUCCCUUCUCUGCUGGUGGCAUCCUGCAAAACAAGAAAAAGGAAACGCAGGCAGUUCAUUUUAAUCCAUUUCUGUCCAGUUCUUGGAUUUUUCCUUUCUUCUCCAUUUUGGAUCUGCUUCUUUACAGAUCGGUUUUUUCGUUUCCCCUUGUUCUCUGUUUUAGGCUGCCGGCCGAGUGACCAUAGGGCUGCUGGCGGCGUUCAUGGUGGCUCGCGGGGGGAAUUGCUGCGAUGGAAGAGGAAAUCGUGUGCCACCGGUUGAAGGAGAUGAUGCCAGCGUUGCCCCGGCGCUGAAUCUGUUCGGCCGUCGCUGCUGUGGAGGGAAACCGAAGGAGAAGCAGCCGUGGCUGAGGAGAUCGUGACCUGGAAGGCGCCGGAGCUGGAAGCUAUGGGAAAGAAGAGAAAAAUAAAUCAAACCCGCGGGGAAGAAGAGUUGUGGCUGGUUCUCCGUGGGGAAAGGAGAGUGGUGUUGUUGGUGGGUCUGUGUUGAUGACCGGGCUGUGGAGAAGGAAGGAAAAUGGAGAUGACGGUGGGGAAAUGGUCUGUCUUUGUUUCUGACAGAGGGGAAGUGAGCAGCGUCUUCUCUGGUUUUUGAAAGGUAGGGGAGGCCGUGACUUUUUUCUUUUUUGCAGAGGGGAAGUCGGCUGGAAGGAGAAAGGGGAGAGUAUGGGUUUCAGCUGAUUUUGGCUUUUUAGCCGAGAGGAAGACUAAGGAGACGGGAAGAGGGCUGCCUUGGCUUCUCUGGUUUCGACUUUGAAGAUGAGAGAAAAUGUGGAAAUGGUGAUGGCUUGACUUGCUUUGUCAAGGCAAAAGGGGGAUUCGUCGUAGCCUUUUUUUUUUUAGGAGAAGUGAGAGCGGCUCUGUGUGCAGGCGGCUGUGCAAGGGCUGAGGAGAAAAAAAAUUAAAAGGGGAGCUGGCAGCUGUCAUCGGAGAAGAAGGAAAAAAUUUCCCAAAAAGGGGGGGGCCUCCCUGGCGGCUGUUUUCAGCAGGGAAGAAGAAAAGUUUAGUGUUUUAGGGUUCUCUCCUUUCCCCUAAAAUUACAAAAUGAACCCCCCCCACAAAAUGAGUUAAAAACUGCUAUUUAUAGGCAAAACAUUUUUUCGGGUUUCCAAAUCGGUCCCCCAAUUUUUUUGUGUUCAAUUGACUUGGUAAAAAUUAAAUUUGAUCUUAAAAUUUUAAUCUUUUCAAUUCAGUCCAAAUUAAGCUCCCAAACUUAAUUUUUCACCAAUUAAGCCCCCAAAUUAAUUUGACCCAUUUAAAGUAUAAUCAAGUCCUUGCACUUAAUUAAAUCCUUCAAUUAGACCUAAAUUAAUUCUUAAACAUAAUUAAAAUUUAAUUUGGCCCAUGAUUAAAUCAAAUUGGCCCAUUAAAAAUUUAAUUAUGUCAUUGGACUUAAUUUUUAUGCAAAUUCAUCCAAUAAUCAUUUGAUUUGACCUUCGAAUAUGCAUUUAAUUUGACCUUCGAUUUUUGCCUAUUUUUGCAGUCUUUUUUUAUUGGAUUUCUCCGCAGUGCCAGCCUUUAUUUUAUUUUUUAUUUUUUUUAUUUUAAAAAAAGUGAAAUUUAGGGAAUAACCCAAAAUUGGGUUAUGACACUACAUAUCGUUGACUUCCUAAGAAAGUGUCAGCAGCCAACGGAACAGUAUCUUCCAGCGAAAAAAACUACUUAAGCGCACCCACAGCAACGGAGCUCCAUCAAUCUGGAGUGAAGUUUAAGAAUCCAGGAAAAAACUCACUAUUUGACAUAAGAUUCAGUAAUGGGAUUCUAGAAAUUCCACAACUAAAAAUAGAUGACAGCACAGAAAUCUUAUUCAGAAAUCUCCAGGCCUUUGACCAAUGGCAUCAUAGGUUGGAGUAUAUUUUCGUAAGUAACUAUAUUACUUUCAUCGGCUGCCUCGUCCGUGCUCCUAAUGAUGUGGAAGUGCUUGCUCACAAUGAGAAUUUGAAAAAUAUGCUAAACAGUGACGAAGCAGUGUCAAAUCUUCUUUACAGCAUCGACAAAGAAUAUGUUGUCACUAAAAAUAGUUUUCUUUCGGGUGUCUGCGAAGACCUGAAGUCACACAAAGCGUAAACACAAGUGGAAGGCAAUCUUGAAGCAGGUUUAUUUCAAAAAUUCAUGGACUGGCAUCUCUGUUUUUGCUGCUUGUUUUCUCCUUGUACUCACUGUCAUACAAACGGUCUGCUCUAUCCUUUAAUUGUGAGUGAUAUUUAAUCCCUUUGUAUUUUUUUUUCUUUUUAUGAUUGGAAUGUGCUUAAGAAACAUGAGCUAAGAUAAAUUUUAUAGUGCUUAGUGAAUCACUAAUAAUAUCCUUUUAAUUAUUUUCUCCAUUUAUUUUAAAGAAAAAAAUUAAUCUAUUUAUUAUGACUGAUGAUUGUUAUUUAAUAAAAAAAUUAUUAUGAAGGGACAAGUAUGAUAUUAAGUUGGUGGAGGGACCAAUAAAAUAUUUUUUUAGUAGUGGAGGGACGACCAUAUUCUUUCUCUAAUUUAUUAAUGUUUUAAUUUAAUUAUAUCUUUAAAUUAUUAAUAGGUAAAUUUUAUUUAAAAAAGGUGUUCAUGUGCUACCAUGGAACGAAAUUAUGGACCAGUCCUGCUUGAGUCCAAGUCCAAUGUAUUCUCAGUAAGCCUGGACAUGAGUUUUGGAUCAAUUGGGCUUGAUUAGGCAUAGUUUUCAAGGCUGAAACAUGGGCCUAGCUCAUAUCAGCAAUUUAUAAGGCUAUAUAAUUAUAAUUUAGAAGGCAAUUUCCCAUACUGGCUGCAAAAAAUUAAAAAAAGAAAAACUAAUAGCAAAAGAUGAAAAAGCUCAUGCGAGGAAACUUUAUAUUUUUGAUAGCCAUAGCAGUUAAGUAAUUUAUUGGGUAUAAAAAAUUGAAAUCUCUGUGAAUUUAAGCCCCCUCCACCAUCCUAAUUAUAUCAAAAAAUCCAUUACAAAAAUACCAAAACACCCCUAAUCAUGAAUGGAAUUUUAUUUUUUAGGGAUAUUUUAGUUAUUAUAAAUUGCAUAAAAAGUUGAAAAUACCAAAACACCUUAAGCUUCAACUUUAAAAUUUUUUAAUUUUGAAGGUAAUGAAAUCAUUUUAUUUUGCAUAAAAAUUUGAAAAAAUCGAUCUAUCUCCCAUAUGACUAAUGUAUCCAUGUGAAAAUGGCAAAGCACCUCCCAUAACUGGUUAUACAUGUAGUUUUGAGAUGGGCCAAACACUGGAAAAACACUGUGGAGUGUUUUGCCCUCACGUUUUAUAUUUUCUUUUAAUUUUAAUACUAACCAGAUCCUGACCCAUUAAAAUACAUGAACUCUGUCCAGAUUCUGCAAAUUUUAGCUGAGGCAAGGAACAGUUAGCCUGGAUAUUCUGAUACUGCAUUUAAUUCUUUAGAUGUUGGUAACAUGUUAUUUCUUCAAAUUUUGAUUAAAUAUUUGCCUGCGAUGCAUAAUUCCCUCUCUGAUUUCUAGUGUCCAAACAUAGAUGAGCUUACAGGUACCUAAACGCAUAAAAAUCAAAUCAUGUCAUCAGGAAUAGCAUUCUGAAGCAUAGUGCUAGUUGAUAACUGGAAACUUAUACAUACUAAUUGAGGGGAAAAAGAACUUGUAUGUAAGCUCAAUCAAUGAAUAUUCCACUUCAGCAGGGCUAUAUCUGCUUAUUCUGGAUGCUUCAAGCAAAUCCUCAAGAAUGAAGAAUGGGAGCUGAUUUUCAAUCAAGAACAUGUCAAGUGAUACAUCGCUCAGCAUCCAUGGUUUAUUGAACAUACGGUCAUUGCUACUUCCAAAUCCUACACCACAACCUUUGAGCAGGACCACAAUGAGCAGGACCACAAUUGAACAUAGGGUAUUUUUUUUCGCGCCCCUUCGUGCAUGGACUAUCUCUGGCUUUUAUAGCCAGAGAACAAAGCCGUUUCUUCAAGCCAUAAAUUGUGUUAAUUGCAGGUGUAAUGGUGGGAGCGGCGGUUAGCGGUUCAUUUCAGACGGGAAGAAGAUGAACGGUAAUGGGAAAACGACGCCGUUUCUUGUGUUUAAUGGCUAUUUGCAUUUUGGACCUUGAAUGUUUGAUAAUUUUGUAAUUAAGUUCCUAGUUAAAUUUAAUUGGACCCUGCAUUUCGGUGCCUUUUACAAGUUAAUCCCUAGACGUUAAUCUGUUUCAAUUAUGCCCCUAAUUAACCUCUAAACUUUGAUAUUCUUCAAUUAAGUCCCUGAUUUCAUUAAUUUAAUUAAAUCCAAAGUCCAAUUAAGUCUCAAAACUUAUCAAUUCUCUAAUUAAACCCUUAAUUGGAUUAAUUAAAUCAAUUCCAAGCUUAAUUAAGUCUCAAAACUUAUCAAUUCUCCAAUUAAACCCUUAAUUAAAUUAAUUCCAAGCUCAAUUAAGUCUCAAAACUUAUCAAUUCUCCAAUUAAACCCUUAAUUGGAUUAAUUAAAUUAAUUCCAAGCUUAAUUAAGUCUCAAAACGUAUUAAUUCUCCAAUUAAAUCUUUGAUUGCAUGAAUUAAAUCAAUUCCAAGCUUAAUUAAGUCUCCAAAAUUAUCAAUUCUCCAAUUAAACCCUUAAUUGAAUUAAAUAAAUUAAUUCCAAGCUUAAUUAGAUUAAUUCCAAAGUUUAAUUAAACCCCAAAACUUCCAAUUAUAUUGCUCUUAACCCAAAUUUUAAUUCAUUCUUCAUUUAUUUCAUUUUACUUGUUUUUCCAUCAUUAUUAUCAAUUGUUUUUUUUAUCUUUUUAGUAAAUAAAAUAAUAAUAAAAAUAAAAAUAAAAUGGUCAAAAAUUGGGUUAUGAGAACAAGGCUUACUACUUGAGUUGUGAAGAUCUUUUCAUUCGACUCACGUAGUCGAACAGGGGCUCUGUAGAUACAACAUUGAUCGGAGAAAGAAUGCAACAUUUCCAUAUCCGCUCUCAAGGACUUCGCCAACUUGUUCAUAUCAAGUGAAAGUUGUGUAUCCUGAUCAUAUUCUGUUACCUGCUGAUCAUCAGCCGAUAUUUCUACUUCCUCCAUCUUGUGGGGAUACUGACCAAAGCAAUUCUAUUGUCAGACUCAAUAUGAAAAAUUUGACUAGCAUUAAGUAGUCUCAGACUAAUUCUGAUUGCUUCAGUUUUUUAAAAAAAUAAUCUGGUUGCUAAAAGUAUGGACCGCGGAAUAGCUACCUAUCACUUCAAGGUUGCAUUUGGGUAACAUCAUGGAACAUAAAAGACAAAAACGUUUUUGAUUAGAGAGACAAAUAUAAAAAGUAUAAAAAUAAAUCUAUCUCUUAGAUUCACAUUCUCUUUCAAAACAUCUAUUAUCUUUAUUUCUUGUAUCUUGAGACAGUAAUCCAAUGCUACCCAACAACUUUGAUUUGUAAUGUCAGAAGUAACCAGCAAUGUGUUCAUCUAGAACUAAAGCACUUGCAAAAAAUUGCUGUCCCAGAAGAUAGUGGUUCCCUGUUUCUCCGUGAAGAGUUGACUUCCUUUUAUUUUCCAAUGGUCGACGUCAGCAUAGUUCUCACUCUAAAUGUAACACAUUGUAUGUAGCAAACACUCGACAGAUAUAAAGUUAAAGGAACUCUCACUUUAACUUUAUAUCUGUAGAGUACUUGACAUGUACUAAUCUUAAGUUAAAGAUGACUCUCACUAAAAAAAAAAAAAUUGUUUUAUUUGCCAUCCACUGCUAGCAUUUUAUAAUAUAAUCGACUAUUACUACAAAAAUAUCUCCACAAAAACAAUUACUUCACUUUCUUAACUGCUGAACCUAAUCUUCUUGAUUAAUAAAAAGGAUAAUGACGACUGCAACAUGUAAGCACGCUAAGCGAAUUGCAAGCUGUCACCUGUUUGAAAAAUCAAGAAAUUAAAAUUUUUUUUAUUAAAAAAUAAUAUAAAAUCAUUUUUUAGCUUCAUCCAGUAACUUCAAUUUUAAUUUGAAAUAUUAUACCUUAAGCAUUAUGCGGAUAUCAUAUUUAUGAGUGUGUUCAUCAUAACAUUAAAAAAAUUAAUAUAUUAUCAAAACCUUAAUAUAUAACUAAGAAAGGAGGAGCUUAACAUGACAUUUAUAAAAACUCAUUUAAUAUGAUCUUUUGGAUUAAGAUGGUAUUUUAACAUAAACUAGAUAAUUAAUUAAAAAUGGCAGCUACACCAUUUUGAAACCACACGAGCGAAAUGAAAUUAUGAAGAAUUUGAUGUUGUACAUCAACAGAAAAUUUAUUAGAAAAUAAUAUAAAUUAUAUAUUGUGACCUUACCUAAUAUCAUAAAUUAUUGAGUUGAGAUGGUUAUUUGACAUGGUACAGAGCCUUGAUGACCAAGCGAUCACGAGUUCAAAUCUCAUCAUCAUUAUUUAUUUGAUAAAAAUUAAGCUAUUGGUUGAGGUAAUUUUUUAUAAAAUUAAAAAAUCCAAUAAAUCUCUUUAUUUCAUAUAUCAUUCUCACUUUAGCUCUAGAAUUGUGACUUUUGCUUUCAUUUAGUAGGGUCAGGUCAAUUCUAAUAACUUUUUAUGGAGGAAAAGUUCGAGUCUACAAUGAAUUAUUGACAAAAAAAUCUCAAUUAGUUGAGUGAAAAUUUGUAAAUAAAAAGCAAACUACGUCAAAAUAUCUAGUAGUAUUAGUAGACUCAUGCAAAGUUUCGAGGAAGAAACAAAAGGCAUAAAAUGCCUUGUGCCAACCAACUAUACAUCCCAUCUCCCUUUCAAUAGCUUGUAGGUAAAACAAAAGCUGGGGCUUAAACAAAUUACAAGUUCAGAAAAAUCGCAGCAAGAUGAACAAAUGCUAUUCCUUAAAAAAGAAGAAAAAAAAAACAGUGAAUGGAGACUUAAAAUGAAUAAUUACAUAGAUUAAGUAUCGAAUUAUCUAUAAACAAUGUUAGGAUACUAGCAUGCAAAUCCGACAAGACAAAAGGUAAAGGAUAUGAUAAAAUGAGAAAUGAGACACACAAGAAUUUACGUGGUUCACCCAAUUGGGCUACGCCCACGGGCAAGUAUAGAAGAAUUUUAUUAAGUAAUGUGGGAAUUACAACCUCUCUUUACUAAUAGGAGAACAACUGAAAUCUCUCUAUUACUAGGAGAAAACACCUCACUUACUAUCUCACAAAUACCUCACAAUUUUGUAGGAUUACUCUCUCUUCACUCUACUCUUCUUCUCUCUUCCUUGGUGUGCAUAUAAGGCAAGGAUGCACUGCCUAUUUAUAGGCAAGCUUCCUUGCCUUUGCCUUGCAAAUGACAAGAGCAAGGCAAGUGGGCAAGUGGCACCAAUUCGAUGCCCAUUUUGUUGACUUAGUUAGCACCAAUUGGUGCCAGCUAGCUUCAGAUUCUCCCACUUGAAGACUUUGAUGAUUUAAUCAAGUCUUCACACUUGAUCAUCUGUGAUUCUUCUAUCCUUUUUAUACUUACCAUCUUCAUGCUGCUUACGUUUCUGUUAGGUCGUAAGAGGAUUUGCACCAUAUAAACUUGUUAGUGUUGACUGGUUUAGUCAAAGCAUCUGCUGGGUUUUCUUUUGUAUGAACCUUCUGAAAAUCCACACUUCCAUCUUCCACCACUUCGCGAACAAAGUGAUACUUGUCGCACCCCAAAAAAAUCAGCGCGCGGCAUCGGCUGGCGAUUUAAAUCUCGUUUGUUGCGUUUGAUUGAAUUUGGUUCGUUGGAGUCGCCACCUAGUAAUUGAUUUCGGGCUACUAGGACACCGGAUGUACUGGUCUUGUCAGAGAUUCGCGGGUAAGGGACUGGUUGUGGUUAGGGAAGGUAUUAGCACCCCUAACGCACCCUACCUGAGGUAAGCUGCUUCGUGGCUUUGACGUGUUAAAGAAGUUUUAAUAAUUGUCUUUUCUUCGGAAAUUAGAAAUAUCACUUACGUAUAAGUUAAUAAUUCUUAACCGUGAUCCGAUCAAAAUAUUAAAUUCUUCUUUAAUGUAUUUGCAAUCUCAUCCUUAAAAAUAUAUACAAAUGAAUAAAACAAAAUACAAACACACACAUACACGUGUUAAAGAAGUUUUAAUAAUUGUUUUUUCAUCGGAAAUUAGAAAUAUCACUUACGUAUAAGUUAAUAAUUCUUAACCGUGAUCCAAUCAAAAUAUUAAAUUCUUCUUUAAUAUAUUUGCAAUUUUAUCAUUAAAAAUAUAUACAAAUAAAUAAAACAAAAUACAAACACACACACACACUUUCACUAUUUUUAUUCUUUUCUUUUACAUCCACAAAAUACAAAUACAAAUACAAAUUCAAAAUAAAUAAAUAAAAAUACACCAACACACACAUCCCCUUUGUUAUUAUUAUUUUCUUUUCUUUUCUUCUUUUUUUUCUUUUACAUCCAAAUACAAAUACAACUUCAAAUUCAAAAUAAACAAAUAAAAAUUACAUUAAUUAAUUUAAAAAUUACAAAAACAGUCCCUAAAAUUCUAAAAAAUUUCAGGGAAGGACUUCUGCAGCCGGAACAGUGUUCGUCAUGGUUUCUGGGCUCGGGAACAGUGGGGGCGCGUGGAUCUCACACGCCACCACCACUGGCGGCGCGUGGGUCCACGCGCCGCCACAGAAAAUAAAACAGCAACAGGGGGUCUGGAUCGCCUUCUUCCCCUCUUCCUUCGUCGCCGGCGAUAACCUGCAAAGCAAACCCCCAACACAACAAGCAGUUGAUUUUAUUUUUUUGUCUUAGAUCUGCUUUUAAUUUUUUUGUUUUCUCCGAUCUGUUCCUUCUCCUUCUCUUCUUCUCGGCUUCGGAUCUGCUCCUUCUACAGAUCGUUCUGUUAUGGGUUUCUUCUUCUUCUCCGGUGGCAGAUCGGUCGUGGAGGAGCAGCUGUCCGUGGUCGCUGGGUUUCGUCUUCUUCUCCUGUGCUUCGGGUGGCAGAUCGGGCGGUGGCUCCGUGGCUGCUGAAGCUGUGGUUCUGUGGCCGGUUGAAGGCAGUGGAACGGGCGAAAGUGUUACCCCGGUGCUGCUGUUCUUCCGCCGCUGAAGAAGGAAACCGAAGGGGAAACCGCGUGGCUGAGGAGGGUGAGGGGGAGUGAGCGGCUGUGCAAGGGCUGAGAUGGAGGGAAAUUGGGGAAGAAAAGUCUUGACCGGCGGCUGUUUGGCAGGUUUAAAGGAGAAGAGAAAAAAAUCAAAAGGUGGGGGCUGUUUGGCCGGCGGCUGGUCUGUACGGAGGAAAAUGAGCAGCCGAGAGAGGGUGUGCAGUGGUGGCUGAGCAAAGGGCUCAGGCUGGCCAGGGAGAAGAAGAGAAAAAAAAGUGUGCGGCUGUUUGGGGGGGGGAGGUGCUGUUUGGCUGGUUUAAAAAAAUGUCAGGGGCCGGCGGCUGCCUUGAGAAAAAAUGGGAGAAGAUAGGUUUAGGGUUGAGUUUUUUUUGUAUUUUUUUUUUGGUGUUUCCAAAAUUAGCCCCCCUCCCCAUUUGCAAGUGUUGGAAACCAAUAUUUAUAGACAAAAUUUUACUAGGUUUUUCAACUUGGUCCCUCAACUUCUUUCUUUUUGUAAAUUUUGAUUUUUAUUAUUUUUUUGUAUUUUUUGAAAACGAGCAAUAUCAACGUCGACUCAAAAUACAGAAAAUCAAUGAUUUUAAAAAUGACGCGUGAAAAGUCGAACGCGUUCGAAAAUCUUUUGAAAAAUUAAAUUCUUUAAAUAAAAAUUAAAAUCUUUUUAGACGACGCUGAAAAUGCUAAAAUGACGAGAAUAUAUUAAAAAACAUAUUUUUUGGAUUUUCAUUGCUUUUCUCAAUUUUUGGAUUUUUUUUUGAAAAUAUAUCAAAACAUGGGUCAAAAAUUGGGUAGCAACAGAUGCCCCCUCUUUACAAUGCUUACGAAGUAAAACUCUUCAAAAUUUUGCAUAGUAAGCUUUGUAAAGAAAACAAAAAGAAAAUGAUUUCAUUAUCUUGGGCGACCUGCCCACACACUCACACUGAUCUGUUUUCACGGGCGACCUGCCCACGCAUACUCACUCUAGUCUAUUUUCACGGGCGACCUGCCCACACAUACUCACUCAAGUCUAUUUUCACGGGCGACCGACCCACACUCUCCCAAUAGUCUAUUUUCACGGGCGACCUGCCCACACAUUGGGUUUACCUGAGAUCCCAUCUGGCGACCUCAUUCAACUGGAACGAAAAUAUGUGUAACUCGGUUAACCUGAAAUCCCAUCUGGCGAUUCCCUUUAACCAAAGUUACAUGAGAUCCCAUCUGGCGACCUCAUUCAACUGGAACGAAAUAUGUGUAACUCGGUUAACCUGAAAUCCCAUCUGGCGAUUCCCUUUAACCAAAGCUACAUGAGAUCCCAUCUGGCGACCUCAUUCUGGUCUCAUUGUACGGGUGACUAACCCUCGAAAAAUGCUGGUCUCAUUGUACGGGUGACGAACCCUAGUGCUGCUGGUCUCAUUGUACGGGUGACGAACCCUAGUGCUGGUCUCAUUGUACGGGUGACGAACCCUAGAAAAAUGCUGGUCUCAUUGUACGGGUGACGAACCCUAGAAAUAUGAUGGUCUCAUUGUAGGGUGACGAACCCAGAAAAUGAUGGUCUCAUUGUAUGGGUGACGAACCCAGAAAAUGAUGGUCUCAUUGUGGGUGACGAACCCCAGAAAUAUGAUGGUCUCAUUGUACGGGUGACGAACCCCAGAAAAAUGAUGGUCUCAUUGUAUGGGUGACGAACCCCAGAAAAUGAUGGUCUCAUUGUAUGGGUGACGAACCCAGAUGGAAAAAUGUGAAGUGGUCUCAUUGUAAUGGGUGACCUACCCAGUGGAAAAAAUAUGAAGUGCGGUCUCAUUGUAAUGGGUGACCUACCCAGAUGGAAAAAAUAUGAGAAGUGGUCUCAUUGUAAUGGGUGACCUACCCAGAUGGAAAAAAUAUGACGAAGUGGUCUCGUUGUGAUGGGCGACCUACCCAAAUAGAAAGAAUGUGAAGUGUGGUCUCAUUGUAAUGGGUGACCUACCCAGAUGGAAAAAAUGUAAAAGUGGUCUCAUUGUAAUGGGUGACCUACCCAGAUGGAAAAAAUAUGAUGAACGGUCUUAUUAUGAUGGGCGACCUACCCAGAUGGAAAAAAUGUGAUAUGACAAGUGUGAAAAAUAGGACUUACCUGGCGAAGUCGAGGGAUGACAGAAGAAAGGCUGGAAACUUGGUGCUUCCUGAUAAUUCCCGAUCAUGGGGUUUGAAAACUCGGUGUUUCCUGACUGCAAGGUUGAAAACUCGAGGCUUCCCGGUUGCAAGGUUGAUCUAUUCAUUUCUUUGGGAUUUUCCUAAUGGUAGGGUUCCCCAUCUUCUUUUAUUCCAUGAUCAAAACCGAUUCUUUAUAUUCAUCACCACAAUGCUUCUUUCUCUUUCCACCAUCUUGCUGGACCUCAUUAAGGAUUUUCCUGUAACAAUUCAAAAAUAUGUGCAAAUGUUUUUUUUUUUUUUUUUUUAGGUUAGAUGAUAUGCAUGCAUCCUUACCUGAUUUGAAAAUAGGUCCCCCCUCUUUGAUGCUCCAUCGUCAUAGGGUGCCCUUGUUUGUAUCCCAAAGCUUUCUUUGUUCUUCCGAUGCAUUGGCUCAUUCAUGUGCUAGCCAUCCACUCAGCUGUAAAUGCAGUGCCCAUCCCGGGCUGUCUUCGACAAUUACUGCUUGCAUCGUUCAUCAAGCUUGACCCUGCCCCCAAGUGUGGUACUGCUUGAUUCAUCAUGAGGAUUUUCUCUCCUGGCUUCUUCUGAGAAUUAUCCUCUGAUUGAUUGUGUGCAUCAUGCCAACACCCAUCAGUUUGUUAAUCAGUCAUGAACUUGCCUUCGGUUGAAACACCAUUCAAGUAUGUAUGGUCACCAGCCUUCAUGGAACUGCCAAGUCAUCCAGACAUGAUCUCAUGCUUUGCAGUAAACACUCAUCAUUGUAAGCGCGAUGUAUUUCUCUAUGGAUUCCUCUUAGCUUGUCAAAUCAGAUCGUGAAAAUACUGCUUUGGCAUCAUCAAUGAUGUUCAUGUUAUCACCCAUAUUCAUGCGGUGAAGUGCGCAUUUGAGCUUCAGAAUAGAUGGUCCCAUCAAUCUUGGUGGUAUGCAUAUGUUCGAUGUUCAUCAAAUGCACUCACCCGAUAACAUCUGUCCGGAGUCAUAGCCAUGUUUUACAAAGUAACCUAAGAUGAAGAUAUGAAAAUAUCUUUCUAGUGCAGCGUUGCUCAUCAAUUGCUGCUGAAGUGCACUAGAUCAUGGAUUGUCUUUGAACAACAUUGCCCCAGUAUGAUCUGAAGGUUCAUUCAUCGGUUUAUACUCAAGAAGGUUUUUCUUUGUCAUUGUCAGAUGCUAAACAUAACUUUGACGACUCAUCAUAUGAUUCUUUCUUUGCCCCCAGCUGAUCUGGAUACUGUUUGCUUUCCUUCUUAAGGUCCACUGUAUUGCCCCCAGGUGGUCAACGUUUCAAGGAGUGUCGAGAAAUGUUGAUGUCAUUUUUGUCAAGAUUUUGCAAACUCAAUUGAUGUUCUUGUUUGAAAAUCUUUCUUGUUCUGGAAUCAAAUCUCACAUUUCAACGAUCAUGUCUAUUCAAGUAUAAUUGUUGAAAUGAAAUCAGAGAGAUUCAGUUUUUGAAAAGUUAUUUUUGAAAUUCAAGCUUCUUUGGUCAAAGACCCAACACACUAUUCAAUGCAGUCCUUUGAUUGUCUUGUAUUUUGAAAACAGAAAUGACCCGUUGUAAGAUUUAAAAUGACUUUUUCAUGGUUCUUUGUGUCCACUUUAAACUCUGAUUUUGGGUAUAUCUUUUGAUGGUGUGGAUGAGGUGAUAUUUUGUGAAUUUCAAAACAAGAUGCUCAGCUUGAUAAAGAAAGGUUGUUUCUUUUUUAGUAUUUAUUUUAUCAGCAUGCAUAAUAACCAGUAGCUUAAUUCAUGAAGCCACGACUCUUAUGGAAAAACUCUUCAAGUUUUGAGAGCGCCAUUUAUGGUUCAAGAUUGCUUGCUUGAUUAAAAAGGGCUUUUAAAAGCACGUAAUGCAGGCUAUGGUUCAUGGCUAUGAAAGAAAGGAAUUUCAAAGGCUCAAAAGGUGUUUGAGGGUUUCAAAGACCUAGGAUCAACAUCAACUAUUCAUCAACUCUUUCUAUUGUUGUCUUUGUAGAGAAGUGACAUAUAACCUUGUUAACCUCAAAUAUCAGACUUCUUAACAUAAGUCAUAAUGCAAAUCCACUUUUUGAUGAAUAACCAACCUUAAUCAUCUGAUAACAUCGUAGGCUUUAUAAUGGAUACCAAAAGUCAACGCUUAUAGCUUAGUCUUUUUCUGGUAUUGACUUUUGUUGUGCCUUUCCUUGAUUGAAAUUUCUUUUGCUCUUCAUAGACUUGAUAGGCGUUCUCCUUCCUUUAUCUUUGACUUGUAUUUAAAUGAGGGCAAUUUCAACUUCUUCUUCUUUUUUUUUUUUUUUUUUUCAUAGCCUUCCUCAAAAUUUUCUUAUAUGCCCCCAGUCUAUGUGUUUUCUUUUAGCUCUCUCUCAAUCAUUGGACCUUUGUUCUAAGCCUUCCCCUUUAUCCAUUAAUUAUAUCAAUGUCUCCAAAAUAUCUCUCAUUUGCCCCCAGUGUGGGGUGUGAUCCUAGUCAGGGUUUCUUUUUGAAAGAAAAUAUUUCACCAGGCUCAAAAUGGGACUACAAGGGAUAUAAUCUUUAGAAAGUGAAGGGAUAUCAAAGAUGGCCUUUUCUCAUUUCAAGCAAGGUCGGUUAGAACCGAUAAAUUUUGACCUCAUCCAGUGUAAUGAUUUGGACUUGUAAGAAUCAUGAUUCACGAGUCCAUAACUACCGAAUCCACUACAUGUCAUUAUGCAUACUGUUAAAACUUAGCUAUAUGAUGUGUGGUUCAGUUUCAGGAGGUAUGAGUUCAAAAUUGUUUGGUCACCUCAUGUCAUUUUCAAGCAUAGAGUCAUUUCUGUAAUCAAAACACUUUUAAUCUUCCGGAUUGAUUAACCUUCAUCGCAUGUUGGAGUUUGAUCAAAAUAUUUUGUCAGAAUAAAAUGCUAAACAUCUGUUGAUUUCAAAACAACAAAGAGACAAAAGCAAGGCAUGUUUCGUUGAAGGAUGAGAUGUGAUAUCAAAACAAAAAUGCAAAAUCCAUAACAAAAAUGCUUGACAAUUUAACUCCUUCUUGGGUCAGCUUCUCUGGCAAUAUCUAUGUUUUGCCGAGCAAUUCCGAUCACUUGUCAUUCUGAAAAUGAUUGAUGACAUCAUCUUUCGCAAAUUGAGCUCGACUCUUGAAACUCUUGCAUCUGUUUACUAAAAUGGUCGAGGACCCCACCAUGACAUCACAUCUCUUAUCUGGAUUAUACCACCUAGAAAUUGGUGGUUGCAUGGGAUUUGUCGGAGUCAAGCAAAAAUUCUGGAAUCUGGCAGGUGUUGGCCGACAAACAUAAGUGGCAGAGGAAUGUCAAUCUUGGCAAAGACAUUUGAGCAAUUGAUGCUUGAGCGAGACUUGACUAGGCAAAGUAACUGAGGUUUCUCAAUCGAGAGUCAUCUUCUGAUGCACCUCUCAUCAUUGUUCUGGAAUCCAUGGCAGAUCCUUCAAUCUUUCCUCUCUUCAUAGCUUGUUCAAUUCUUCGGCAAAUCCUCACAACAUCAUUUCAAUGUUGUUGUGGUUGGUUGAGGAUUGUUAGAAAACUUUCAAUAGCUUGGUAAUCUUGGCAGCGCCUAGAAACUCGUACUAUCGCCGCUACCGACGUGUGGAAUCACAUUGUCUCUAUUGAAGAGCACCUGAUGAAUCUAAAACUCCUUUGUCCCCUCUUCAUUUCUCACUGACAGUGCAGCAAACAAACACCUAUAGAGGAAGUCCUGCUCUGUUGAAGUUUCAGUCUUCUUCAUGUUUUUCAGUCUAGGCAUGUCUCUUCUCUCUACUUUUGCAUUUUAAUACUGACACUGUUGGAGGAAAAUCAUAGAUGAUCUGAAACUACUGUAUUCCUUCUUGGAUUUCCCAUUUGCGAUCUACAAACAGAUUCCUGUGAAAGAGCUUGCUACGUUGAAGUUUGAAGUCUGCUCGUAUUUUUCAGACCAGGUCUGGAUCUUCAAUGUACUAAAGUCUUCGUGCUGAAACUGAUGAGAGAAAUAUUUGUAGCAUAUGCAACUUAUAAAUCCCUCUUGCAUUCCCAAUUUGCAGAGCCAUAAAUGGAUUUUUAUGGAGAGCUCUGCCACAUUGAAGUUCAGUGUUCAAUCAUGGUUUUUCAGACCAUCUUGUGCUGCUGAACUGGAAUUGAGCUCAUAAUCGGGAUGGCUUCAAGCAGAUAAUGCGCCAUGUACAGAGGCUAGUAGUCGUUUGGUUCCAUUAGAUGAUGUGGAGGCGAUGAACAUUUAACAGUGCAACUGGAAAGAACCAGAGUUGUCAUUAGUUGAUGACUAAAGGCAUUGUUGUUGUUGUUCAUGACGAAAAAGGAGAGAUACAGCUUCAAUUAGGAUGUGAACAAGCAGUGUUCCCACAGAAACUGUGCAGACAUUCUCUUUCCAUUUGAUGCUCAACACUUGUUCGAGCAGAUCUGAGUCCGCUACUUCACUUUGAUGCUCUCAACCUUAAUCUGAUAAUGAACCUAUAUCUGACUCCUUUGUUCACUUCCAUUAUCUUUCUUCAAUCUCGUGCAGCACAGCUUGUGUGGGGGACCUACCUUUCAACCCGGUACAUGCAUGAUAAAUGUAUGAACAUGUAAUCUAUAUGAUGAACUCACCCUUCGAGAGGUGACAAUAUGGUCGUAACUCUUGUAUGAUGGACAAGAAUCGUGAUUUUUGCCCAAACUCUACAAUGAAAAUUUUCGGAGCAACGACCAAUGUGUCACCCACAAGUCUUGAGUUCAAGAUGCUUCAAGAAGGGUUUGCCCUUAUGCAAAAAACGAUAGCACAUACAACCUAAGGACAGGUUCUAUUCAUUAUGUGAACAUGGGUAGGUUUUCUAUCUGGUCUCAAAAGGGUCUCAUAUCUGCCCAGUGACGUUCUUCGUAAAGACAGUAUGGGGGCGUUGCAAGGAAUGGUUAAGGCACGUAUACCCACCAUUACCAAGCAGGCACUCAGAUAUGAGUUGGGUGUUUCACGCAUCUGAACCCUGACCAAUAGUCUUAGGGCAGAUCGCUAGUUCCCCACCUAACCUAGAAGCUUGUGUGUGCUUUUUAAAAAUAAAUACAGGUGAUGCAUGAGACAAUUCUAUAAAAUGCAUGGAAAUAAAUAUUAACAAAAAGAUAAAAAUGCAAAAACUUAAACACAUCAAAUACACAAAGCUUAGUCCAAUACUCGAAAAAAUACCUUCCCCAGCGGAGUCGCCAUUCUGUCGCACCCAAAAAAAUCAGCGCGCGGCAUCAGCUGGCGAUUUAAAUCUCGUUUGUUGCGUUUGAUUGAAUUUGGUUCGUUGGAGUCGCCACCUAGUAAUUGAUUUCGGGCUACUAGGAAACCGGAUGUACUGGUCUUGUCAGAGAUUCGCGGGUAAGGGACUGGUUGUGGUUAGGGAAGGUAUUAGCACCCCUAACGCACCUACCUGAGGUAAGCUGCUUCGUGGCUUUGACGUGUUAAAGAAGUUUUAAUAAUUGUCUUUUCUUCGGAAAUUAGAAAUAUCACUUACGUAUAAGUUAAUAAUUCUUAACCGUGAUCCGAUCAAAAUAUUAAAUUCUUCUUUAAUGUAUUUGCAAUUCAUCCUUAAAAAUAUAUACAAAUGAAUAAAACAAAAUACAAACACACACAUACACGUGUUAAAGAAGUUUUAAUAAUUGUUUUUUCAUCGGAAAUUAGAAAUAUCACUUACGUAUAAGUUAAUAAUUCUUAACCGUGAUCCAAUCAAAAUAUUAAAUUCUUCUUUAAUAUAUUUGCAAUUUAUCAUUAAAAAUAUAUACAAAUAAAUAAAACAAAAUACAAACACACACACACUUUCACUAUUUUUUAUUCUUUUCUUUUACAUCCACAAAAUACAAAUACAAAUACAAAUACAAAUACAAAUUCAAAAUAAAUAAAUAAAAAUACACCAACACACACACAUCCCUUUGUUAUUAUUAUUUUCUUUUUCUUUUCUUCUUUUUUUUCUUUUACAUCCAAAUACAAAUACAACUUUCAAAUUCAAAAUAAACAAAUAAAAAAUUACAUUAAUUAAUUUAAAAAUUACAAAAACAGUCCCUAAAAUUCUAAAAAAUUUCAGGGAAGGACUUCUGCAGCCGGAACAGUGUUCGUCAUGGUUUCUGGGCUCGGGAACAGUGGGGGCGCGUGGAUCUCACACGCCACCACCACUGGCGGCGCGUGGGUCCACGCGCCGCCACAGAAAAUAAAACAGCAACAGGGGGUCUGGAUCGCCUUCUUCCCCUCUUCCUUCGUCGCCGGCGAUAACCUGCAAAGCAAACCCCCAACACAACAAGCAGUUGAUUUUAUUUUUUUGUCUUAGAUCUGCUUUUAAUUUUUUUGUUUUCUCCGAUCUGUUCCUUCUCCUUCUCUUCUUCUCGGCUUCGGAUCUGCUCCUUCUACAGAUCGGUUCUGUUAUGGGUUUCUUCUUCUUCUCCGGUGGCAGAUCGGUCGUGGAGGAGCAGCUGUCCGUGGUCGCUGGGUUUCGUCUUCUUCUCCUCUGCUUCGGGUGGCAGAUCGGGCGGUGGCUCCGUGGCUGCUGAAGCUGUGGUUCUGUGGCCGGUUGAAGGCAGUGGAACGGGCGAAAGUGUUACCCCGGCGCUGCUGUUCUUCCGCCGCUGAAGAAGGAAACCGAAGGGGAAACCGCCGUGGCUGAGGAGGGUGAGGGGGAGUGAGCGGCUGUGCAAGGGCUGAGAUGGAGGGAAAUUGGGGAAGAAAAGUCUUGACCGGCGGCUGUUUGGCAGGUUUAAAGGAGAAGAGAAAAAAAUCAAAAGGUGGGGGCUGUUUGGCCGGCGGCUGGUCUGUAAGGAGGAAAAUGAGCAGCCGAGAGAGGGUGUGCAGUGGUGGCUGAGCAAAGGGCUCAAGCUGGCCAGGGAGAAGAAGAGAAAAAAAAGUGUGCGGCUGUUUGGGGGGGGAGGUGCUGUUUGGCUGGUUUAAAAAAAUGUCAGGGGCCGGCGGCUGCCUUGAGAAAAAAUGGGAGAAGAUAGGUUUAGGGUUGAGUUUUUUUUGUAUUUUUUUUUUUGGUGUUUCCAAAAUUAGCCCCCCUCCCCUAUUGCAAGUGUUGGAACCAGUAUUUAUAGACAAAAUUUUACUAGGUUUUUCAACUUGGUCCCUCAACUUCUUUCUUUUUGUAAAUUUUGAUUUUUAUUAUUUUUUUGUAUUUUUUGAAAACGAGCAAUAUCAACGUCGACUCAAAAUACGGAAAAUCAAUGAUUUUAAAAAUGACGCGUGAAAAGUCGAACGCGUUCGAAAAUCUUUUGAAAAAUUAAAUUCUUUAAAUAAAAAUUAAAAUCUUUUUAGACGACGCUGAAAAUGCUAAAAUGAUGAGAUUAUAUUAAAAAACAUAUUUUUUGGAUUUUCAUUGCUUUUCUCAAUUUUUGGAUUUUUUUUUUGAAAAUAUAUCAAAACAUGGGUCAAAAAUUGGGUAGCAACAAUACUGAACAUCUAUGUGUUUUGUUCGUGAAUGAAACGCUGGAUUUCUUGCAAUAUGCAAGGCACUUUGACUAUCACAAUACAAAAGAAUCUUCUCUUGUUUGUGCCCGAGCUCCUCCAUAAGUUUCUUCAUCUAUAUUGCUUCUUUACAAGCUUGUGUAGCUGCCAUAUACUCAGCUUCUGUUGUGGAUAAAGCUACAAUAGUCUGAAGUUUAGAGACCCAGCUCACAGCUCCUCCUGCAAUUAUGAACACAUAGCCUGUAGUGGAUUUUCUUUUCUGAAAGUCACCAGCAAAAUCUGAAUCAACAUAACCUCUGACAGUAAAUUCUGAUCCUCCAUAACAUAUUGCAGCAUAUGAGGUACCCUUGAUGUAUCUCAAGAUCCUCUUAAUAGUAUUCCAAUCCUCUUUACCAGGAUUUGCCAUAUAUCGACUAGCUGCUCCCAUUGCUUGUGUAAUGUCUGGUUUUGUACAUAUCAUGGCAAACAUUAAACUUCCCACUGCUGAUGCAUACGGUACUCGAGACAUCUCCAUCCUCUCUGCUUCAUUGCUAGGAGACAUACUUGAGGAUAAUUUGAAGUUAACAGGAAGUGGGGUGGAAAUUGGCUUACAAUCUUGCAUGUUGAAGCGUCGCAAGAUCUUCUUCAAAUAAUUCUUCUGAGAAAGCCAAAUCUUCCUCUUACUUCUGUCUCGGUGAAUUUGCAUCCCUAGAAUCUUGUUUGCUGGUCCCAAGUCCUUCAUAUCAAACUCCCUAGCCAACUGUGCCUUCAAUUCUUGGACUCGAUCUUUGUUGGGGCCUAUUACCAACAUGUCAUCCACGUACAACAACAGAAUGAUGAAAACAUCAUUUUCUUCAAACCUCUUGUAAUACGUACAAUGGUCUGAACUGAGUCUGUUGUACCCAAGGCUAAUUAUGAAGGAAUCAAAUCUCUUGUACCAACACCUCGGCGCCUGUUUGAGACCGUAUAGAGAUUUGUUCAACCUGCAAACCAAGUUCUCCUUGCCUGUUUCAGCAAAACCCUCUGGUUGGAGCAUAUAAAUUUCUUCUUCAAGUUCUCCAUGAAGAAAUGCAGUUUUCACAUCUAACUGCUCUAAGUGAAGAUCAAAUAUAGCACACAUUGCCAAGACUACUCUGAUUGUAGUAAGUCGUACCACCGGAGAAAAUAUCUCAUUAAGUCUAUUCCUUCUUUCUGAGCAUAUCCUUUCACCACCAAUCUUGCACGAUACCGCUCCACUUGAUCAUUGCCAUCACGCUUUAUCUUGUAAACCCAUUUGUUGCCAAUGGCCUUUCUUCCUUGUGGUAGCGGAACAAGAUCCCAAGUGUUAUUCUUGUGCAGAGCUUCAAUCUCCUCUUGCAUUGCUGUCAUCCACAUAGAUACAUCUGUGCUUUUGAUAGCCUCAUGGAAAGUUGAUGGCUCUCCAUCCUCUGUUAGAAGACAGUAUGCAAUGUUGCUCUCAGUAACAUAUUCUGAGUGCCAAGCCGGUGGUCUUCUUUCACGAGUUGACCGUCGAACUUCAGGAGUUUCAGACUCUAUUUGUUCUUGUUCUUCAUGCUCUGGUGCAGCUUCAGAAGAAGUAUGAUUCUGAGUAUUUUCCAUCUGGACUUCUGUAGUCUCCUUUAAAAUGCUAUUAUUUUCUUCCAUUUGCAUUUUAUCUUCUGCAAAUAUGACAUCUCUGCUGAUGACUACCUUGUGGGCAGUGGGAUCCCACAAGCGAUACCCCUUCACUCCAUCAGCAUAUCCCAAGAAUACACAUUUUCUGGAUUUUGAAUCCAGCUUGCUGACUUCUUGAGUAUUGUACAUCACGUACACAGGACUUCCAAAUAUAUGCAAUCGAGAAUAAUCAGCUGGCUUUCCAGUCCACAUCUCCAUCGGUGUCUUCAACUCAAUUGCAGUUGACGGAGAUCGAUUUAUCACAUAACAGGCGGUAUUGACUGCUUCUGCCCAGAAUGACUUUUCUAGACCUGCAGCCUUCAACAUUGCUCUUGUUCUUUCCAAUAGAGUUCUGUUCAUCCGCUCUGCCACUCCAUUUUGUUGUGGAGUGUAUGCCGUUGUGAACUGCCUUUUGAUACCUUCAUGUUGACAGAAGUUAUCAAAUUCAUCACUGGUAUAUUCUCCUCCAUUGUCAGUCCUCAAACACUUGAUCUUCUUUUCAGAUUCAAGUUCUACCCGCGCUUUAAAGGUUUUAAAACUGCGAACACAUCUGCCUUCCUUCUAAUCGGAUACACCCAACAUCUCCUGGAGAAGUCAUCUAUGAAUGAUACAAAGUAUCUUGCUCCUCCCAAGGAUACAACCGGUGCUUGCCAAACAUCAGAGUGAAUCAGGUCUAAGAUGCAUUUGCUCUUAGUUGUUGACGUGCCAAACUUCAACCUGUGUUGUUUACUUGUAACACAGUGCUCACAAAAAGGUAAAGUAACCUUUGUAAGCCCAGGAGUAACUUCUGAUCAGAGAGAACCUUUAAACCUUUCUCUGACAUGUGGCCUAGUUUUUGAUGCCACAUCAUCGUCUUCUCUUCUGCAGGACUGGCUGAUGCGAUUGAUGCUUCUGCCCAUGAUGUGUUUCUCCCAUUAAUACAAACAUGUUUGCAACUGUCUUUCUUGCCUUUAAAACCACCACGCGCCUUUGACAAUUUUCAUGAUUCCAUUGUCUGUUCGGAUCUUACAGCCAAGACUAUCAAAUUGUCCUACGGACAAAAGAUUCUUCUUUAAGUCUUUCACAUGUCGCACUCCUGAAAUAGUACGAAUUAAGCCAUCAUACAUCUUCAAUUUGAUGGUGCCAAUGCCAGAAAUCUCUAAGCAUGAUUAUCACCCAUGAACACUGGCCUCCAGAGAUAGGUUCAUAUGUAUGGAACCAAUCUCGUUAGGGUCAUAUGCCAUGUUGCUCCUGAAUCCAUUAGCCAGACCUCAGUGAGCUCUUCUCUAUCUGUAGAGAUUGUUGCUGCUUCACUAUAUAAAAUCUCCAUCUUCUGAGGUGCUUGCAACACAUCCUUGAGGUCUUGAUGACUCUGCAGUAUUCUCUAUACCCUUUUUAAACCAACAAUCCUUUUUGAAGUGCCCUUUUCUGCCACAGUUGUAGCAUUUCACCAUCUUCUUACUUCUUGAUUUGGACCUCCCCUGCCUUUGACUCCCACUGAGCCACGUUCCGUUGAUCUUCCUCUUGACACCAACAACGCCUCUGCUUGGUUUGAACUGUUUCUGUCUCCUUUGUUUUUGCGCCUAUUUUCUUCUUCCAAGAUAGCGGCUGCAACAUCAUCGAAGACUAAAUAGUCUGAGAGGAUAUUAUUGGUCAAGUUGAUAAUGAGCUGAUCAUAUGAAUCAGGAAGACUUUGAAGUAGAAGCUCUGCACAUUCAUUUUCCUCUAUUUGUUGACCCAACGUAGUGAGUUGUGAAAAUAGAGUUCUUAUUGUGUUGAUGUGGUCAGUCACCGACGUGGUUUCUGCCAUUCGAAGGGUAUAAAGUCUCCGCUUUAAGAAAAUCUUAUUGUGCAAAGACUUGGACUCAUAUAGCUUUGUUAGAGUCUCCCAUAUCUCCUUAGUUGUUUUCUUCUUCGCCACACUUGAUAAUACUUCAUCGGCUAAUGCUAAAUAUAUUUUUUUUUGUAUAACCAAGGGUAUCCUGAGCGCACAAGGGAAACUCCAAUAGAGAAACUGAUUUUUGGUAAAAGAGAUGAAUUGAGUUUAUGAGAUCGCACAAGACUUCAAAGAUGUGUUUGUGAGUCUUCAUAAGAAAACUCUCUCAGAAAAAAUGAAUAAUGCUAAUCGUAAACACGAUUGAAUGACAAACUCGUUAUUUUCAUUGAAACUUUAGAAAAUAAGUUCAACAAGAAAGAACUUAUGGCAACAUCUUGGGCUGUGAAUACUGGCAUGAUAACAUAUAAAGGGGCUAAACAUUUUAACGAUCAUUGAUUAGAAUUUCUAAAAUAUUUCAAUCAUUCAUUCUCCUCGACAAGGACAUCUUUUCAACAGUCAAUUGAAAUCAAAUGUAGAUCAUUCUUGACCUAAUAUCACCAUAGCUUUAUCUUUAAGAUAGUUGAUUUCUAGGAGUCGAUGUGAAGUAAUUAGCUAUAGAAAUGAUAACUGUCUUGGCAACCAUCUUCAGUGAAACCGUUCUUCUCAGUCGGGUUAGCAAUCUUACCUAUCCCAAUGGCUUGUUCAAUCCUUUUAGCUAUAACAACCAGGUCGAUAAAAUGUUAUGCAUAGCUUCUAACCAAGUAUUCAAAGUAUGGAGCUUUAAAAGUGUUGGAAAAUAAACUGAUCAUUUCUUUUUCCAACAUGGGAGGGUUAACUUGUGCAGCUACCUCACUCCAUCUUCGGGCGUAUUCUCUUAUGGACUCUUUGUUAUCCUUCUCUAUAGCUUGCAAGCUUAACCGAUCAGGGCCCACAUCUAUAUUGAACUUAUAUUGCCCCAUGAAGGCAUCAACUAAAUCCUUCCAUUUUUUAACCUUGGUAUUGUCCAACCGCAUAUACCAAGUGAGGGCACCAUUACUCAGACUGUCUUGAAAGAAAUGAAUCAACAGUUUCUCAUCAUCAACCACCUCAGCCAUUUUGUUGCAGUAUGCUUUGAGAUGAGUUAUAGGGCAUUGAGUUCCCGUAUAUUUGAUAAAUUCUGGCACUCUAAACUUUCUGGGAAUGACUACAUUAGGCACCAAACACAUCUCAGCAGCCUUUAUAGUAUCAUAUAAGUGAAUUCCCUCAAAUGCCCUCAUCCUUUGUUCUAAGGCAAUGAAUUUGUUCAGAUCAUCUUCUUUUACCAUCUUGCCCUUUUGAGAUUCAUUCUCUGUAGAAUCAAUGGUAAACGACAUUCUCAUGGGGUAUGCUGGCUGGAAAUUCAUAGCUUGUUGAAAUUCGGAUGACACCCUAUUUGCCCCCAGAUUCUGUGGAUCGAAAUGAGAUACAUGCAUAUCUUCAGGCUGAGCUAUAAGUGUUGCUUUUCCGGAUUUAUCUCUUAAGGCCUGCUCGAGUAGACUAGUAAGCCUUGCGACUUCUUCUUUAAGAUUGUCCACCUCUUUUUGAUGUUGGGCUUCCAACUGGGCUCUUUCUUCAUCUUCCAUUUGUCUUUUUCUCGAAUGGGUUUCAAUGGGGAACCUAUAUUUCAACCUGCUAUAUGUAAAUCAUACAAUUAUGCAAAAAUGUUGAUUCAAUUAAAAAUGUGUAUGAAAUGCAGACACGUCCUCCACGGGAUGACAACCUAAUAGGAAGAUCCUAAUUGUUGAGUGCAUCAAAGGGUUGGUCAUUAUCUAGUUUCAAAGGGUCUCUCGCAUGCUCAGUGAUCGUCCAUGGAAGGUCGAUAUGAGGCUUACAAGUAGUGUGAAAAUAGAGGCCCUGAGUAAUAUCAGUUUGGCAUAUCAACCACUUCCAAGUAAACAAUCAAACGAGAGUUGGAUGGUUUCACAAGUCUUACCUAGGCUAAAGCCGUUGGGGUACCGUUACUUUCCCACUUAUCCUAGAUUUUCAGGUGUGUGCUCUCAACGUGAUGCAUGCUAAAGCAAUAAAUUCAAGAAAAAUAAACAAAUAAACAUAACAUAACAAACAUUAUAUCAAUUGAUAAACAAAAGGCAAAGCUCCGUUGGGGUACCGUUACUUUCCCACUUAUCCUAGAUUUUCAAAUGUGUGCUCUCAACGUGAUGCAUGACAAUAUAAAUAUGGAUGCAUGCUAAAGCAAUAAAUUCAAGAAAAAUAAACAAAUAAACAUAACAUAACAAACAUUAUAGCAAUUGAUAAACAAAAGGCAAAGCUUAGUCCAUUGAUCCCCAGCGGAGUCGCCAUUCUGUCGCACCUGACAUCGUGGCGGCCCUAAAAUUUUUUAAUAAAUCUUUGGAAAGAACGGAUUUCUGGCAUCCUGUUCUUUGAUGGGAAUAUUCUUUGUUUAAGGAGUCGCCACCUAGUAUUACGGUCACCAGGAACCCUAACUGGUCAACAGAGAUUCUAUGGUUCGGGACUGGUUACGUAAAAGGGAAGAUAUUAUCACCCCUUAAACGUCCUGCCUGAGGCAGGCUGCAUUGCUAGUUUCGUCUUAAAUUGCUAAAUGUUUAUUAGUUUAUGUUAUGAAAAUUUGCUUAUAAUAUUCCUGACUCUGGUGGCAGUGAAUAUUUAACUACAAAUAUUUCCAACUCUGGCGUUGGUAAAUAUUACGCAGCUAUAAAAAACAAAAACAAAUUUAAAUCAAUAUUUUUUUUAUUACUGACUCUAGCGUCAGUGAAUAAACAAAUAAAAUAAAUUUAUUUUUACGCAUGCACAUUUUUUUUUGUUAAAUGAAAAUAAAAUACAAUGAAUAAUAUAAAUUUAAAUCGGUAUUUUUAUUCUUGACUCUAGCAUCAGUGAAUAAACCAAUAAAUUUAUAUUAUUUUUUCUUGCUAAAUAAAAAAUAAAAUACAAUGAAUAAUAUAAAUUUAAACCGGUAUUUUUAUUCCUGACUCUAGCGUCAGUGAAUAAACCAAUAAAUUUAUAUUAUUAUUUUUUUCAUGCAUACAUAUUUUUCUUAUUUUUAUUUUUCUGCCUUUUAUUUUAUUGUUUUAUUUUUUCCUAUUUUUUUAUUUUUUGGGCUGGGCUAGUGAUGUGGACCGAAGAGACAAUCAAGCACGUUAAACUUUCUUACGUAACAGUUGGAGUUUCUUUUCAUUUCAGUAAUUAGCUUUUACUUUCUCUAAUAAUUCAGGACGUUUCUUUCCGUUAUUUUAGCUUUUAUUCCUCAUUAAUUCUGGACUGUUUCCCGACUUAAUGAGGCUGUUUUAGAACUCUAGGAAUUCUGUUUCCUCUAUUUAUUUGGUUGUAAGCUCUUGGUGAAGGGCAGAGAAUAAUAAACAAAAAAAACCCAAAACUCCUUUGAGUAGUUAACUCAAAUAUCUUUCUUUCUUUGUUUUUCUGCGGAAUUACAGAUUGAAAAAACCUUGUGUGUUAGAACGCGUGUAAGUUCCGUUAUUGUCUGCAUCAGGUUGAUAUCAGAGCUCGGCUAGUUAUCGUCAUUAUGCCACCAAGAAGACGUGCGAACCUACCGAACCUUCAUGAACAACCGUUGGAUGAAGUCUACGAACGUGAUGAGAUUGCACGACUACAACAACAAGUCGAGACGUUAACGCAGCAGCUAGCAGCGUCAAUGGCUCAACAUCAGAAUCCAAAUCCACGAGACGUGGAAGAGGAGCCUGAAGAGGAUGAAAAUCCAUUCGCCCAUCAGCUAGUACAAAGGAGGCCAGCGCAUGAUGAAUCAAGGCGCUGGGAGACAGGCCUCAAGGUUGACAUACCAGAGUUCCAUGGUGGCUUGCAAGCGGAUGAGUACCUCGACUGGAUCAAUACAGUAGAUGAAGUUUUAGAAUUUAAACAAGUUCCAGAAGACAGGCGAGUAGCACUGGUUGCAACAAGGCUUAGAGGUCGGGCUGGGGCUUGGUGGCAACAAGUAAAGAAGACAAGGACUCUACAAGGAAAAGGAAAGAUUACGAGCUGGGACAAGAUGAAGAAAAAUAUGUGUUCUGCGUUUCUACCAUACAACUAUACACGGACACUCUAUCAACGGUUGCAAAAUCUAAGACAAGGAAACCGUUCAGUUGAUGACUAUACUACUGAGUUUUAUCAGUUAGUAUCACGAGAUGCGAUCGCAGAAGAUGAGGAGUCACGGGUGGCGCGGUAUAUUGGUGGACUGCGGAUUCAAUUCCAAGAUAUCCUGAAUAUGUUUGAUGUAUUGGGCGUGUCGGAUGCCCACCAGAGAGCAGUGCAGUUAGAGAAACAACUAGUGCGCAGAAAUACAAGGGGGUCUGAACUUUGGAGGUUCUAGUGCAAAUACAAGCAACAGCGGACACGAACAGGGAGUAUGAAUUUGGGGGAACCGGUGCAGGUAGUGCAAGCAGCAGUAGCACACGAACAGCCGUUCCACCAUCUCCUAUUACCAAGCCUCCUAUGCCUACACACAUAACGACACCUAACACAGGUUUUCGUUGUUUUAAUUGUGGGGAACCAGGACACAGGUUCGCUGAAUGUAAGAAAGGGCAGCGGAGAGGUUUGUUUUCAGAUGUUGAGGAGAUUAACAGGGAACAGGAAGGCGAUGUUGAGGCAGAACCAAUUUAUGACGAGGAAGAGCGUUUAGAGGGGGAUGCUGGACCAAUGUUAAUGAUCCGGCGCAGCUGUUUGGCACCACGCGUGAUAGAGGAUGAUUGGCUGCGCACUAAUGUAUUCCAAUCCACUUGUACAAUUAGUGGAAAAAUAUGUCGGUUCAUUGUUGAUUCAGGUAGCUGUGAAAAUAUAGUGUCCGAUGAGGUGGUCCGUAAAUUACACAUGGCAACAGAAUCACAUCCUCGACCGUAUAAAUUAACAUGGCUGGAUAAGAAGAAUGAUGUUACGGUAUCAAGACGCAGCUUGGUGUCUUUUUCAAUCGGCACCACAUACAAGGAUCAGAUUUGGUGUGAUGUGGUCUCCAUGGACGCCUGUCAUUUAUUAUUGGGCAGACCGUGGCUAUAUGAUCGACAUGUGUUGUAUGAUGGGUUCUUGAAUACGUGCACCUUCAUCUUCAAUUCAAUCAAGGUUGUGUUGUUACCAAAGAAGGAAGUUGCAGGCGGCACUCCAACAGGAGAAAACAACAAUUUAUUGACAAUGGCUAAGUUUGAAGCAGAAGUCAAAGAGUCGGGAGUUGUGUACGUGCUGAUCGGAAAAAUGGAGGCUGAGAAUGGCAUUAUUCCAAGCAGUGUGGAGCCGUUAUUACAGGAGUUUGAAGAUCUUUUCCAACAGAGCUUCCUGAAACCUUACCUCCAUUAAGGGACAUUCAACAUCAAAUUAAUUUGGUCCCGGGUGCCAACUUGCCUAACAGGCCACAUUAUCGGAUGAGUCCAAAGGAACAUGAAGAGUUGCGGCGCCAAGUAGAGGAAUUGCUAACAAAGGGGCAUAUUCGGAGAGUCUUAGCCCAUGUGCGGUGCCUGCCCUUCUAACCCCAAAAAAAGAUGGCACGUGGAGAAUGUGUGUCGACAGCAGAGCAAUUAAUAAAAUUACGGUACGUUACAGGUUUCCAAUUCCGCGGUUAGAUGAUUUGCUGGAUCAAUUGAGUGGAGCCACAAUAUUCACGAAGCUAGACUUGAAGAGCGGAUAUCACCAGAUUCGUAUCCGACCGGGAGAUGAAUGGAAGACGGCCUUCAAAACUCGAGAAGGACUCUUUGAAUGGAUGGUCAUGCCGUUCGGCUGUCUAAUGCCCCAAGCACGUUCAUGCGAGUGAUGAAUCAAGCCUUGCGGCCUUACAUUGGUAAGAGCGUGGUGGUUUAUUUUGAUGACAUUUUAAUUUACAGUGUUGAUCCUAGGAUGCACCUACAACAUCUUCGGGAAGUUUUGACCGUGUUACGUAAAGAACAAUUCUUCGCAACAAAAAGAAAGUGUGUGUUCUUAAGUGACCAGGUCUUAUUUUUGGGAUACAUUGUAUCUUCUAAGGGGCUUUCGGUAGACGAGUCAAAAAUUGAAGCAAUCAAACAGUGGCCACAGCCUCAAACCAUGACUGACGUUCGAAGCUUCCACGGGCUGGCAUCAUUCUACCGCCGCUUCAUUCCCCACUUCAGCGGCAUCAUGGCCCCAGUGACUGAUUGUAUGAAGAACAAUAGUAAGUUUUAUGUGGACACAUGAGGCCGAAACAGCCUUCCAAGAAAUCAAAAGGAGAUUAACCACCGCCCCAGUACUUGUUUCCCAGACUUUUCAAACCCAUUUGAGCUACAUGUGACGCCUCAAAGCUAGGAAUCGGAGCAGUUCUGAGUCAAAAUGGCCGGCCUGUAGCCUUCUUCAGUGAGAAGCUUUCAGGGGCAAAAUUACGGUAUAGCACCUAUGAUACUGAAUUUUAUGCAGUGGUUCAAGCAGUGAGGCAUUGGCGACAUUAUCUGUUUCUUCAGGAGUUCGUCCUAUUUACUGACCACGAUGCCCUCAAACAUAUGGGGAGUCAAGAUAAGAUAUCAUCCCGGCAUGCAUCUUGGGCUGCGUAUUUACAACAAUUUACAUUUGUCAUCAAGCACAAGGCUGGUACACUGAACCGGGUGGCUGAUGCCCUCAGUCGCCGAAAGACUAUGCUGGUUGAUAUGCGAAUCACAGUAAUGGGUUUCGACUCUUUUCAAAAUUUGUAUGCAUCUGACCCUUUUUUUGCUGCUGUACUAGAGAACAUUCAGAACAACCAACAGAGUGACUUUGUCCUCCAUGAUGGAUUCGUCUUCAAAGGCACUCAGCUAUGUAUACCUGAGUGUAGUCUCCGAACCAAGAUCAUUCAAGAACUACACAGAGAAGGACAUGUAGGAAGAGACCGGACUUAUUUACUAGUGGCUGCGUCAUAUUUCUGGCCAUCCAUGCGGAAGGAGAUUGGUCGUUUUGUUGAACGUUGUAGGAUCUGUCACGUGGCCAAGGGAGGAGCCACCAAUGCUGGUUUAUACAUGCCACUUCCUGUUCCAGUACGACCAUGGACCGACAUCAGCAUGGAUUUUGUUCUAGGCCUCCCACGUACACAACGCGGAUUCGACUCCAUUUUCGUAGUAGUCGAUAGGUUUUCAAAAAUGGUUCACUUUAUACCAUGCAAGAAAACAACAGAUGCUGUUAAUGUGGCUGAGUUAUUCUUUCGCGAAGUUUAUCGAUUGCAUGGGCUGCCAGAGUCAAUUGUGUCAGAUAGGGACACUCGUUUCCUGAGCCAUUUCUGGCGGAGUCUUUGGAGAAUGGUUAAUACUCGCCUGAACUUCAGUAGUGCUUAUCAUCCUCAGUCCGAUGGACAAACCGAGGUGGUGAACCGGUCGUUGGGUAAUCUCCUUCGUAGUUUGGUGGGUGACCAGUUAAAAUCUUGGGACAAGAAACUUGGCCAAGCAGAGUUUGCUCAUAACCACGCAGUCAAUCGUAGCACCAAGCUCAGCCCCUUCAAAAUCGUGUACGACUUUCUCCCACGAUGUCCACUUGACUUGGCUAACCUCCCAAACAACACAAAAGUUCAUCACAAGGCAGAGGAUUUUGUCACCCAGCUGCAGGACAUUCACAACCUCACCCGAGAGAACUUACUGGAAUCUACUGCCAAAUUUAAACACGAUGCGGACCGCAAACGGCGUCUUGUCAAUUUUGAGGUGGGGGACCUUGUUUGGGCUGUGCUAACGAAGGAUCGCUUUCCUAUAGGCGAGUAUAAUAAACUAUCCGCACGCAAGAUUGGUCCAGUAGAGAUUAUUGAGAAAAUUAAUUCAAAUGCCUACCGCCUCAAGCUGCCCAGUCAUCUUCGAACAACAGAUGUAUUUAAUGUCAAACACUUGUUUCCUUUCCACGGGGAUUUGUCAUCAGAGGAGGAAGAUCUCCCGAAUUCGUGGUCGAAUUCUUCUCAGCUUGGGGAGGAUGAUGUGGACCGAAGAGACAAUCAAGCACGUUAAACUUUCUUACGUAACAGUUGGAGUUUCUUUUCAUUUCAGUAAUUAGCUUUUACUUUCUCUAAUAAUUCAGGACGUUUCUUUCCGUUAUUUUAGCUUUUAUUCCUCAUUAAUUCUGGACUGUUUCCCGACUUAAUGAGGCUGUUUUAGAACUCUAGGAAUUCUGUUUCCUCUAUUUAUUUGGUUGUAAGCUCUUGGUGAAGGGCAGAGAAUAAUAAACAAAAAAAACCCAAAACUCCUUUGAGUAGUUAACUCAAAUAUCUUUCUUUCUUUGUUUUUCUGCGGAAUUACAGAUUGAAAAAACCUUGUGUGUUAGAACGCGUGUAAGUUCCGUUAUUGUCUGCAUCAGCUAGGUUGGGCUGGACCCAGCCUAGCAUGUAUUUUUUUGGGGCUGGGCCACAGCACGCGUGAACUUGUUGAUGUAACCAUAUUAUUUGAUAGUUUCACCCGCAUUUAACUAGUGUUUUGCAUAUGUUAUUUAUAUAAAAUGCCUUGAUAUUCUUUGUUUUAUGUUUUGAAGGCAUUUUUGGAUGAAAGAUGCAAAAAGGAGUAAAUUGGAGGUAAUUGGCAGAUUUGACGUUCAGUCGGUAUUUUGUGCAGAGCGUGAGUUCCAGAGAUCGAAAUGAAGUGAUUCCAGUGGCAUUAAAAAGAUAACAUCCAUACCUUUUUGGAAAUGUAAUGCAAGAAAAAUAAAAAGAGAAAGAUCAUGGAAAUCACAUCCUUCAAAGUCAAAUCUCGCAGUCUGCCAAUGUUGACCUUUGCCCAUUAAAAAUUCAAUAUCUGGAGCUUCAGAAGUCCAAUUGAUGCAAACUAAAUUUUGUUGGAUUCCUUACUCAAAGAUCUAUAAACGCUCCAAAUUUCAGCCAAAAACGAUGUCAUAUGAGGGAUAUGAUUUUUCAAAGAUGACAGCUGAAUUCUGCCAGCAAGCAGGUUGCGUGAAGAAACGAAUCCAAAUUUCAUCUAGAAGCAUCCAAACCGACCAGCAAUUUAGCUCCUCUAGUAAAUAUUCUAGAAGGUCAAGGAAGGCAGCCACCAACCUCAUGGCAGCCACCAACCUCAUGGCAGCCACCAACCUCAACCCAGCAGCCAGCAGCCAGCAGCCAGCGCCUUCACACUACCACCAUCUAUUGAUGUUCACACUUGAGCUUUGAUUUUUCUUACUUACAAUUUGUGUAUAAAUAGAGGGUGAGUAGAAGGAGGUAAGAAAAGAAAAAGAAAGAAGGAAGAAACACAAACUCUCCUCUCUACAAAUCAGAAAUUAUGUAUUCUUUCAUCUUUAGGAGUAGUUGUUCAAUAGAUAUGCAAGGCUAAGCUCGUUUUCUUGGUUGCAAGGACACAACAAACCUUCGGAUUUCAAGAACCGUGAGAUUUAUUCUUCCUUUUAUUUUCAGUUUAUGUUAUGAAUGAGUAUGUUUGUUUUCCUAUGCAUAUUUCCUAUGAUUGUUUAUCUUAAUUGCUAGAGCGGACUCUAAGUUAUUAUUGUGAACAAUCUAUUGCUAAGUUUGAUAUCAAAACCGGAGUUGUGGUAUAUAAACUUGUGAAGCAACUAAGCUUGAUAAUUGUAGCGGAACUACGUUAUUAAACUUAGGGAGAACAUUCGAUCAUAGCAACACAAAUUGACAACUUGGUUGUUAAGAUUAAUGAAUUUAUCUGGAUCUUAAGGCUGCCAUUGGAUUAAAUCAUUAGUGCGGACACUGUGAUUGUUUGUUGGUUAGGGAUAGUUAUACGGCGGAUCCGUUAAUUAACCAAUAUUAAGAAAAGAUAAAAUUCAUAAUAUAAACUGGAGUUUCGUUUCAAGGAUCGGUUCUAAUUUCCGUUGGUGGAUGUGUGCUUGCAACCAAGGUUUGUUUUCUUGAUAUAUUUCAGUUUCAAUUGAUUUUGUUUGCUAGUUUAAUUUCUGCCAUAGUUUAAAUCAUUUCAAAUCAAUCCCCCCCAAUUACAUAACGUACAACAUAAAAAUCUAACUUCAAACUUCCUCGUGGGAUCGACCCCUUGCUUGCUCUAUACUAUCUUGUGUGUUUUAAGCUAGGGUAAUUAAUUUGUGCGACCGCGACAUCGCAACACUUGUUCACGUGUGCGUAGCGCUGUGCGAAGGUAAAUUGCCUUCGCGCAGUGUUCUUGCAAAUUAAACGAAUGCAAAAAAUGAAGAAACGAGCGUACCUGCUUCUGGAGACCGAAGAUGCUUGCAGCGCUGAUGGAUUCUCGCCCGCUGCUUCCCUUUAUCUUCCUUCUGCGCUCACCUGCCUGCGUGUUCCUUUAAUUUUCUCUGCAGCUUUUGAAGCCGAGAAGGUGAUGAAGAGGCCGACCUGCUUUGAAUUGGGUUUUGAUUCUGGGUCUUUCUCUAUCUGCAGGGACGAAAGCAAUGGCAAAGCCAAUCCUCCUCUCUGUGUUGCUCCUUUACUUUUCCUUCUCUUUUCUGCGUUUUUUAUUUUUUUGGUUUAUGCCCUGUUUUUUUUUUCACUCUGUUUUGGGUUGAUGUUCCUGUUCUUCUCUGUGUUUUUGGGCUAAUUACUCUCUUAACUCUAUUUUUCUUGUUCUUAACUCUGUUUUUUCUGGGUUUCUGCUUUGCUUUCUGGGUUUCUCUUUCGUUUUUUUCUGGGUUUCUGCCUCCGUCCUUUAGGCUCUCGAUGCCCCUCCUCUUUUUAUAGAGACCCAGCCGCUAGUCAGUCCUGCCUUUGCAGGACUGUUAUCUUCCAUGAACGAGAUCGUGGGUGAGAUUCGUGAUCCACGAUUGGAUCAAGUCCGUUGCAGAUUUUCAGCCUGUUGACUCGGGAUGGAGAAGACGAACACGGCUGUUCCACCAGCACCGACGACGUUUCGGCAACACUGGAUUCCCAGUAUCAACGACACCAUUUCGGCAACAGUGGCAUUUUCAUUUUGACCCCCUGAACUUUGGAAUUGUAACAGUUGGAUCUCAACAGAAUUAAAAAUUCCUUUUAAUUUUGCCCUUUUCUGGAUACAUUUCAAUUGAAUCCCUCAAUUGGUGCAAUGUUUACAAAACAGUCCUUAAUUCCUGGAUUAUUCAAUUUGGUCCUUAAUUAAUUCUUUCAAUUUUGCCCUUUUUGGAUAAAUUUCAAUUAAGUCCCUGAAUUUAUUUAAUUAAUUAAAUCAAAGUUUAAUUAAGUCCACAAACUUAAUAAUUCUUUUAAUUUCAUUAAUUAAACUAAUCCAAAUUUUAAAUAAAUUUUCAAACUUAUUAAUUCUUCAAUUUCUGACCAAUUUAUUCUCAAAUCUGAUAUUUUUAUUCCUAAACUUCAAAAUUUAUUGUCUUAACCCCAUUGUCAACUAUAUUUUUAAUCAUUAAAUUUGUAUUAUUUAUUCAAAAAAUUGAGUUAUAACAUAACUCAUAAUUUUGUAGGAUUACUCUCUUCACUCUACUCUUCUUCUCUCUUCCUUGGUGUGCAUUUAAGGCAAGGAUGCACUGCAUAUUUAUAGGCAAGCUUCCUUGCCUUUGCCUUGCAAAUGACAAGAGCAAGGCAAGUGGGCAAGUGGCACCAAUUCAUUUUGUUGACUUAGUUAGCACCAAUUGGUGCCAGCUAGCUUCACAAACAAACCAAUAAACACAAGUCACAUAGAUAAAAUAUAAUAGCCCCCACCUAAUGAUUUAUGUAUUGCACAGGAUUUUAUUUAAGUGUUUUAUUAACAUAGUUUAUGAAUAAUGCAGUAGAUUAAUCUGUGUAAUAAUUCCUCUCGUUCUCCAAGCCUUAACCCCCUCAACUCUUGCAGAGGUGGAAUAUAUUCACCGACGAUCCAAACAAAAUUCAAGCAAAAACAAAGAAAGUAGAACUGCACAUGCAUCUUUGAAAAAGCACAGGAAUCUGUUAGACAUACAUUUAUGCAAACAUCUCUACAGGCAAAGCGCAUCAAGUCAAGUAGAACAGAUUAAUUUUAGAGGAGCAUAUAUCAUCUGUGAAAUAGGCAUGACUAGUAGCUUGUAGCAGAAUCCCUGUGAAUUAAAGCAAGCGCGCUCGCCAUAAUAUAGAUGCGGUGUUCUAAAAUCUGCAAGUCCCUGCAGCACCAGUGAAGAAUCAUUUCCCCACCGUUAGGCCCCUUGUCUUUAAAUGCGAAGGCAAGUCGUGUCAUUAUCACACUAAUGCUUCACGUGCGCUGUCUUGAAUGAUCAGAGCGAUGAAGUUUCACUUGAUGUCAAUGAGUUAGCCAAUUCUUUGAAGGAGCGAUUGAAGAUCGAGAAGGCUUUCUCCCCGGCAUGCUGCAUCUAGAGAGUCCCCGAACGAUUGCGGAAGUUAAAUGAAAAGGCAUAUACACCUCGAGGAGUCUCAGUAGGCCCUAUUCACCAUGGUAAGGAAAAUCUAAAAGCUAUAGAAGACCACAAAAUAAUGUACCUGCAGCAGUUUCUUGAACAGAACAAGGUAAGUGUGGAGGAUUUAAUUAACAUUAUCAAGGAGAAUGAAACAAAAUUACGUGAUUGUUAUGCAGAGACCAUUGAUCUUAGUAGGAAAGACUUCGCAACAAUGAUCUUACUGGAUGCUGUCUUCAUUAUUAUGGUCUUACUGAACUACAAGUACUUGAGAGGGUUUUUUGCCAGUGGACGUAGUGACCACAUUUUCUAUCGUCCAUUUAAGUUAGCUGACGUAAUGUUUGAUAUCAGCUUGCUUGAAAAUCAGCUUCCAUUCUUCAUCCUUGAGGAGUUGUUUGAGCUAUCCAGUGUAGCUUCCAAUCCUGAGAAUUGUACCCUUACUGAGCUUACCUGUGGGUUAUUAGAAGGACCAUGGUCUGACUGGGUAAAAGAAGACAGUUGGAAAAUAAUCGAUUCCUCUGAGGUACUUCAUUUCGUUGACUUCCUAAGAAAGUGUCAGCAGCCAACAGAGACGCACCGUCCAGCGAAAGAAGAAGUUCUUUUAAGCGCGCCCACUGCGACGGAGCUCCAUCAAUCUGGAGUGAAGUUUAAGCGUCCCGAAAAAAGCUCAUUAUUAUACAUAAGAUUCAGUAAGAGGAUUCUAGAAAUUCCACAAUUAAAAAUAGAUGACAACACAGAAAUCUUAUUCAGAAAUCUCCAGGCCUUUGAGCAAUGCCAUCUAUAUAUGGAUAAUUUCGUAAGUAACUAUAUUACUUUCAUCAGCUGCCUCGUCAAGGCUCCUAAUGAUGUGGAAGUACUUGCUCGUAAAGGGAAUUUGGAAAAUAUGCUAAACAGUGACGAAGCAGUGUCAAAUCUUCUUUACAAUCUUGACCAAGAAAAUGUUGUGAGUGAUGAUGGUUAUCUUUCGGACGUCGGCGAAAGACUGAAGUUAUAUUGCACAAAGCGUAGGCACAAGUGGAAGGCAACCUUGAAGCAGGUUUAUUUCAACAAUCCAUGGACUGGCAUCUCUGUUUUUGCCGCUACUUUUCUCCUUAUUCUCACUGUCAAGUUGUCAAAAACGCUUUUUUGACACGACAUGAAAUGUAUAAUAUAAACUCGGAUCGUAAAUUAACUCAAAUCGUAAAAUUGUAAGAAAAAUAUUUUAACUAAUUAUAUAUUGACAAUUUUAGUCAAGCGAUAAAUAAUAAUAUAACACAAUUAAAAUAAAAAUGAAAUAAACAAUACAAGUAUUCAAAUACCUUGAAAUAUAUAAUUCAAAUAAAAUUUCAUUUAUGGUUUAAAUAACUUAAAAAUAUGAAAAGAAAAAAAAUAAGAUUGAACAACUAUGUUUUAUUGAUAGAGUUUUAGAACAUUUUCUAGAGGACUGAUCUUGAAACACACUGCAGGCAACUAGUGAGAUGAUACAACAUUAUAAGAUAUAUCACCAACUUCAAAAAAAAAAUUAAUAGAGACCAAUACAGUGAACCCGUGACAACAAGAAUGAAAACAUACAAAAUAACAUCAAUUUAAUCUCAUGCCAUCUCACCUUCCACUUUUUUAUGUUAGUAACACUUUGUCGUCUCUCUUUAAAGUUAACAAAUAGUUAGUCUAAAACACAAUAUUUCUCUCUAUACAAAUAUUCCUAUCUCUUAUUUUACUCUUUUGAUUCAUCACCAUCUACCUCUAUCUUCCCAUGGUUUCGAUCCUCCGAUCAUGCCUUUCAAACCUAAAAUACAAUAUAAGGCUUUCCCAUAUCCAAGAUCCUCUAAUGCUGGUGUUAGCCUGCUAAGAUUGAAAAUUUGAGAUUUGGGGCAACGGGGAAAGGGAAGAUUGAGGAGUGGGGACUAUGUAGUGAAGUGCCAGGGGACUCGGACAUAAAGGUAGUAAAUUUUUUAACUUUUGCGGGUUAAAACUCGAAAUUGAUCAAACUCGGUCAAAAUCGGUCAAACUCAUAAAAUCGGUUCGAUUUUACCGAUUUUAAUCGAGUUUGACCGAGUUUGAUCGAUUUCGAGUUUUAACCCGAUUUGACACGUUUUAUACAUGUUGACUCGUAAAAUUGUAAGAUUUUAAGAGUCAACUCAUAAUUUUAACAACCUUGCUCAUUGUCAUAGAAAUAGUGUGCUCUAUUCUUCAAUUGCCAUAAAUAUUUAACCCCUUUGUACUUCUAUUUCUUUUUUAUGAUUGCAAUGUACUUAAAAUCAUAAAUUAAUCUCCCUUCAUUUCUUGUUGCUGAAUAAAUUAAUCUCCCUCCUAAGGCAAUACAACUUGGGAAUUUAAAAAAUGCCACUCUACACAUUAAAAAAUGCCACUCUACACAUUAAUUUAUGAUUUUAAGUACAUUGCAAUCAUAAAAGGAAAUAAAAGUACAAAUGGGUUAAAUAUUUACGGCAACUGAAGGAUAGAGCACACUGUUUGUAUGACAGUAAGAAUAAGGAGAAAAGUAGCGGCAAAAACAGAGAUGCCAGUCCAUGGAUUGUUGAAAUAAACCUGCUUCAAGGUUGCCAUCCACUCGUGCCUACGCUUUCUGCAAUAUGACUUCAAAUCUUCGCCGACAUCCGAAAGAUAACCAUCAGUGACAAAAAUUUCUUUUUGAAGAUUGUAAAAGAGAUUUGACACUGCUCCUUCACUGUUUAGCAUAUUUUUAAAAUUCCCUUCACGAUCAAGUACUUUCACAUCAUUAGGAUCCCUGACGAGGCGGCUGAUGAAAGUAAUAUAGUUAGUUACGAAAGCAUCCAAUAACCUAUGAUGGCAUUGCUCAAAGGCCUGGAGAUUUCUGAAUAAAAUUUCUGUGCUGUCUUGUAUUUCUAGCUGUGGAAAUUCCAGAAUCCCAUUACUGAAUGUUAUGUCUAAUAAUGAGCCUUUUUUUGGAUUCUUAAACUUCAUGCCAGAUUGAUGGAGCUCCGUUGCGGUUGGUGCGUCAAAAAAAGUAUUUGCUUUCGGUGCACGGCGCUGUUCCUUUGGCUGCUGACACUUUCUUAGGAAGUCAAUGAAAUGCAGGACUCCAGAGGAAUCGAUUUUUUUCCAGCUGUCUUCUUUUACCCAGUCAGACCAUGGUUCUCUUAAUAACCCACAGGUAAGCUCAGUAAGGGUACAAUUCUCAGGAUUGGCAGCUACACUAUAUAGCUCAAACAACUUCUGGAGGAUGAAGAAUGGAAGCUGAUUUUCAAGCAAGCACAUAUCAUACACUACGUCAGAGAGUCUACUUUCAUAAGAUUCUCCAACGCAAUUCAACUUCAGUAAGAACAUAAUAAUGAAGACAGCAUCCAGUAAGAUCAUUGUUGCGAAGUCUUUCCUACUAAGAUUAAUGGUGUCUGCAUAACAAUCACGUACUUCUGUUUCAUUCUCCUUAAUAAUGUUAAUUAAAUGCUCCACACUUGCCUUGCUCCGCUCAAGAAAUUGUUGCAGGUACAUUAUUUUGUGGUCUUCCAUAGCUUCUAGAUUUUCUUUACCAUGGUGAAUUGGCCCUAUUGAGACCACUCGAGGUGUAUAUGCCUUUUCAUUUAACUCCCGCAAUCGUUCCGGGACUCUGUAGAUGCAGCAUGCCCGGGAGAAAGCCUUCUUGAUCUUCAAUUGCUCCCUCAAAGAAUUGGCUAACUCAUUGACAUCAAGUGAAACUUCAUCGCUCUGAUCCAUUAUCUGCUGAUCAGUACUUGAUGUUCCUGUAAAGGAUAAAGCAGUUAAUUAGUUAACAUUCGGUUAAAGGAUGAAACAGUUAAUUAGUUAACAUUCUGUUAGACAGUUAAAGCAGUUAGUAUUGUUAGCUGUUAACAUUGUUAGCAUGCAGUUAGAAACAGUUGAAGAAGCUGUUACAUGAUGAGGGAAAGCCAAUGCUUUACGUCUGUAAUAUCUGCUAUAAAUACAGCAUCAAUCAUGUACUAUUGCAAAAAGAAAAUACAGAGAUUAAAUUCGUUUCUCUUCUCUUUCUGUUGUCUCUACAUCCUUCACUUCUCUUCUCAAAUUCUCUUAUCAAUUCUGUAAUCUUCACAUGGUAUCAGAGCCAAGCUCCUAAUCCUCUGCUUCCGCACAUCUUACACUUACUUCAUUUCUUCUCUUAUAUCAUCAAAGAACAAAUCUUUCUAAGCUGCUUCUUUGCUUCUACAUUCCAAAAACAGAAAAAAUGGUGACAACUUCUCAACUCCAAAUCAUCCAAUCUCCUAUAACCUCCUUACUUUCUACAGUUGCUACUGCUGUGACAAUUAAGCUUGAUGAUACCAAUUAUCUCACAUGGCACUUUCAGAUGCAAAUCCUUCUUGAAAGUCAUGGUAUUUUUGGUUUUGUUGAUGGUUCAAGACAGUGUCCUAGCCGAUUCAAUGCAGACUCUGAUCUUGAGGCAAUUGAAACUGAUGAUUAUCAAGUAUGGAAAAUGCAUGAUCGUGCAUUAAUGCAACUGCUCAUAGCAACUCUUUCCUCUACUGCAAUCUCCUAUGUCAUUGGAUGUGUUAGUGCUAGUGAUAUGUGGACUCAGCUGAAGGAUCGAUUCUCUACAGUCACUAAAGCAAGAAUUUUCCAGAUGAAAAGUGAGCUUCAGAAUAUUAAGAAGGGAUCAGAACCAAUUUCUCACUAUCUGCAGAAAAUUAAAGAUGCCAGAGAUCAUCUUUCUGCAGCAGGAGUCUUCUUUGAGGAUGAUGACAUUGUGAUCCUAGCUCUCAAUGGCCUACCUUCUGAUUACAACACAUUUAGAUGCAUGAUCAGAGGCAGAGAUAAUACAUUAUCUCUCAGAGACUUUAGAUCUCAGUUACUUGCUGAAGAAGCCACUCUUGAUCACACACAGUCUGCAUCUCCCUUUGUCUCUGCAAUGUUGGCGCAAAAUCACACAUUUCAAGGCAAGGCCCUUGUUCUUAAUGAGGGAUCUUCUCCUUCUCAUUCUCAUUUUCAAACUCAGGGAAACUCUUCAAACCUGAAAAACUUCCCCUCAUCUCACCUAUCUUCUGGUUUUAAUAACCAUAAUGGAGGCUUUCACAGUUCCACAGGUGGUGUCAAUAGUCACUCUAACAAUAGAGGCUCUUACUUUAAAGGACGUGGUCGAAGUCGUGGUCAUUAUCAAUCAAAUCCACGACCUCAUCCAGUUCCUUCUUCUAAUCCUGGUAUUCUUGGUCCAGGCAGUGAUCUUCCCAUAUGUCAAAUUUGCAGCAAAAAGGGUCAUGUAGCUGCAGAUUGCUAUCAACGACAUAAUCAGUCUCCUUCUUCUACCUCUCCAAUCCAAUGUCAGAUUUGUUGGAAAUUUGGUCAUUCGGCUAUCCAGUGCUAUCACAGAGGCAACUUUUCUUAUCAAGGCAGACCACCUUCCUCUAAUCUCAGUGCAAUGCAUGCACAUUUCCCUUGUUCUGAUUCCACUGAGCAGGCCAUUGAGCAGUUUUGGGUUGCUGAUACUGGAGCAACUACUCAUAUGACUUCUGAUUUAGCUCACCUCAAUCUAGCCACUCCUUUCACUGGCUCAGAAACUGUUGCUACUGCAGAUGGUACAGGUUUGAGUAUUUCUAAUGUUGGCUCUUCCAUUUUGAAUGUCCCACAGUGCUCCUUCAAAUUAUCACAAGUUCUGCAUGUUCCUAAGCUAUCACAGCAUCUACUAUCAGUUCAUAGGCUAUGUACAGACAACAAUUGUCGUUUUAUUUGUGAUACCUUUGGUUUUUGCAUUCAGGACAAGCUUACAGGACAUAUUCUUCUCAAGGGAAUGUGUAGUGAUGGUUUAUAUCCUAUCCCUUUAUCAGGUCCACCUUCUCAACUCUCGCAGUCCUUCUCUUCUUCUAAACAUCAGUCUUGCUAUCUUGGUCACAAAGUAAACACCAGUCUUUGGCAUCAACGUCUUGGCCAUCCCUCCAACAAAAUAACUUCAGCCCUUUUACACCAGUCUAACAUUCCUUUUACCUCAGACCAUUCCCAAUCUGUCUGCACUGCUUGGUUGGAAGGCAAAUUUGCCAAACUUCCUUUCCCUUAUCCAGCCAUCAAAUCUACAACACCUUUAGCAGUUAUUCACAGUGAUGUGUGGGGACCUUCCCCUACUGUUUCUAUUGAUGGAUUUCGUUACUAUGUUAGCUUCAUAGAUGAGUGUACUCGGUUCACAUGGAUUUUUCCAAUGAAAAAUAAAGGAGAAGUUUAUUCCAUCUUUGUUUCAUUUCAUGCUUUUUGGCUACUCAAUUCUCUGCUAAUCUCCGAAUUUUUCAAAGUGAUGGUGGGGGUGAGUUCCUCAAUCAUUCCUUCAAAGCAUAUCUCCUUACUAAAGGCAUUAUUCAUCACAUUUCUUGUCCAUACACCCUUGAACAGAAUGGUCUUGUUGAAAGGAAGCAUCGCCACAUUCUAGAAACAGCAAUCACUCUAUUACAGACUGCUCAUCUCCCUUCUCAGUUUUGGUUUCAUGCCUGUGCUACAUCCAUUUACCUGAUCAAUCGGAUGCCUUGUCCAAUUCUUCAGCUAAAAUCUCCUUAUCUUUUACUCUAUGGUUCUCUACCUGUUCUUACUCAUUUAAAGAUUUUCGGCUGUGCAUGCUUCCCUCUGCUCAAACCUUACAAUACUCACAAACUUCAGCCUAAAACUUCCACCUGCCUUUUUCUGGGAUAUGCAGGUCAAUACAAGGGUUAUAUAUGUUUUUCUCUUCUUACUCAUAGGUGUUUUGUAACUCGUCAUGUCAUCUUUGAUGAGUCUACAUUCCCAUACACCUCUCCUUCUUACUCAUCCUCUGCUAAAAUACAGCUACAUGCUCCCCCUCUUAUUUCCCCUUCUGUCUCAUUACACAAUGCUGUUUUGCCUGUGUGCUCUCCUUCCCCAUCCAAUGUGAGCACUACUGCUACUUUGGAAAACUUAUCUUCUUCAUCCAUAUUGGAUACUGCUACACAGUUCUCUGCCCCUACAGAUCCUGAUUUUCAUCAAGAGCAACUUUCUGUUGUCUUGCCUCUAUCUCCACAAAAUCUUCAUCCCAUGACAACCAGGUCCAAGAAUGGCAUAUCCAAAAAGAAAGCUUAUUCCACUACAGUUUAAUCUCCUGACAUUUCUCUAGUUGAACCAAAUUCCUUCAGGAUUGCCUCUAAAGUUUCUGCAUGGCAAUCUGCUAUGCAAGACGAAAUUAAUGCUCUUCAUGCCCAGGGAACUUGGGAUUUAGUUCCCCUGCCACAUGCCAAGAAUCUGGAAGGCUGCAAAUGGGUUUAUCGUAUCAAGAAACAUGCAGAUGGAUCUAUUGCUCGGUAUAAGGCACGUCUUGUUGCCAAAGGUUUCAGUCAAGAAGAGGGCAUUGAUUAUAAUGAAACCUUUAGCCCAGUAGUAAAACCAACUACUGUCCGGUUAGUAUUGGCCCUUGCAGCUCAGUUCCAUUGGCCUUUAAGGCAGCUUGAUGUUACAAAUGCUUUUCUGCAUGGCCUUCUUCAAGAGGAGGUGUAUAUGUCUCAGCCUCAAGGUUUUACAAGCCAGCUCUAUCCUGACUUUGUUUGCAGACUUCGCAAAUCCUUAUAUGGAUUAAAAUAGGCCCCUCGUGCUUGGAAUGACAGGUUUACAAGUUUUCUGCCUAGCUUGGGUUUUCAAGCGUCUCUUGCUGAUCCUUCUUUAUUUGUCCAACAUUCUUCCACUAGCACUGUGAUCUUACUACUUUAUGUAGACGAUAUUCUUCUCACAGGAAGUCAUUCAUCUCUCCUUACAACCGUUAUUGAUGCCUUAGCUCAGGAGUUUGAUAUGAAGGAUUUAGGCCCGUUGACAUAUUUUUUGGGACUGCAGAUCUCUUCUUCUUCAUCAGGCCUGUUUAUAUCACAGUCUAAGUAUAUCUAGGAAUUGCUUGAUCGGGUUGAAUUACAGAACUCCAAAUCCUGUGCCACUCCUUGUCUCCCCUAUCAUCAUCUACUCAAGGAUGAUGGGAAGCCUUACUCUCAUCCUCAACAGUAUAGAAGCAUUGUUGGCGCUCUGCAAUAUCUAACCUUCACACGUCCUGACAUUGCCUUCUCUGUUAAUCAGGCUUGUCAAUUCAUGCAUCAUCCCAUGGAAUCUCAUGUUGUUGCAGUUAAACGAAUCUUAAGAUAUCUCAGGGGUACUAUUGAUUAUGGCAUUCAUUUUCAGCCUGGCACCUUAAAUUUACAAGCAUACAGUGAUGCUGAUUGGGCAGGUGAUCCCAAUGAUCGUCGUUCUGUGUCUGGCUAUGUUGUUUACUUAGGAUCCAGCCCUAUUUCCUGGGCUUCCAAGAAGCAACACAUUGUCUCACGUUCGUCUGCUGAGGCUGAAUAUAGAGCUCUUGCCAUUGCUGCUGCUGAGCUUGCAUGGCUUCGUCAACUUUUUUGUGAUAUGCAUGUUCCAUUGCUUAUUCCUCCUUUAAUUCACUGUGAUAACAUCUCUGCCAUUUCUCUCGCUUCCAAUCCAGUCUUUCAUUCCAGGAUGAAGUAUCUUCAGAUUGAUUAUCACUUUGUUAGAGAACGUGUUAUCAAAGGAGACUUGCUUGUUCAACAUGUUUCCUCUGCAUAUUAGUUCGCAGACAUCCUCACUAAGGGUCUUUCUUCUCCAUUAUUUCGUCACCAUUGCUCCAAUCUUAUGCUUGGUUCCACCAUGCAUACGAUUGCGGGGGAAUGUAAAGGAUAAAGCAGUUAAUUAGUUAACAUUCGGUUAAAGGAUGAAACAGUUAAUUAGUUAACAUUCUGUUAGACAGUUAAAGCAGUUAGUAUUGUUAGCUGUUAACAUUGUUAGCAUGCAGUUAGAAACAGUUGAAGAAGCUGUUACAUGAUGAGGGAAAGCAAAUGCUUUACGUCUGUAAUAUCUGCUAUAAAUACAGCAUCAAUCAUGUACUAUUGCAAAAAGAAAAUACAGAGAUUAAAUUCGUUUCUCUUCUCCUUCUGUUGUCUCUACAUCCUUCACUUCUCUUCUCAAAUUCUCUUAUCAAUUCUGUAAUCUUCACAGUUCCAACAAUUUCCAUCCUGUGAUUGAACUGAUACAAUGGCUAGCUGGUGCUUAGAAACAGCACGUAUAUACUAUCACUAAGUCAUGAAAAAAACAUAUUCUGAAAACAACCACAAUAAUAGUUUGCAUGAAAUCAAUCUUAACUUGUGGUUAUUUCUAUCUGUGUUAGUUUUCAAGGGGUUUCUAGUGACGUGCUUUUUACUCAUGUUUUAUUAUGGAAUGCAAAGUAGUGGUGUCUUGCUGUAAAAUAAAAGGGUAAACUUCAAUUAUUUUCCUUGUAAUAGAUUCAUUUAUAUUCUACUUCUACUCCUACUCUUAUAGUUUUCAUAAAAUCCUGUUAAUAUUACUCUUAACUAUGAAAUAUCUAAUUCUUUUUAAUUUUGGUUUUUAAGUAUUUUAGGUUUCGGAUUUUUGUUGUAAGAUACUAUGACAUGCAUAAAGACUUGAGAGGAAAUAAUAAGAGAAGAAUUAAAAAUAUAUAUAUAUAUAUAUAUAUGAAAAGCAUCAGAUUAUCACACGGUUAUUUAGUAGUAAAUAAACUAUCAUGAUAGAAGUGAAAACAUUGAAUAGAAACUUACAGGCAGUUGUAGAAGUUUUGCUCGUUGUCAACCUGCCUCCAGCGUCCAAAAAGAUCUGCCAAGAAUGGUACUAGACUCUCCCUAUUUAAUAUGAAAAUUCCAAAAUGUUCUAUUGCUCCUUUACAAUUGCUACAAUGGCAAGCAAAGGAUAAGAUUCCCAAACACUUGUGUGAAUCAAGGUUGUCAAAAACUUUUUUUGACACGACAUGCAAUUUAUAAUAUAAACUUAUAUUGUAAAUUUAAAUUGUAAAAUCAUAAAUAAAAUUAUUUAAUUAAUUAUAUAUUAACAAACUUUGAAUAGAAUUAAAAUGCUACUGGAAUUGGAAUUCUGACUGAUUUGAUCUUUCUGUUCAAAUUCAAGUCCGGCAUUUUCAGCAAGAAGAAGAGUACUAGUACUAUUCUCUCUUGAAGAGCACAUUGCUUAAUCUAUAGAACUCUUGUCAACAUAUUAGAAUUUUAGGCUUAAAGUCUUAGAUUAGAAUAAAUGUUAAAAAUUACAGGGAAUAUUCAGCAAUAUAAUAUAUAUUCUCAGCCCUCUCAAACGAGGUUUUUUUUUUAUUAUUUUAAUAUUUUCGUAUUUCAUUUUAACUAUUGGCUUUAUGGCCUUUUCAAUAUACUCUUGAUAAUUAUCCAAAAAAAAGUAUAGGAUAUAGCAAAUGCAUCAAAGGUGGAAGCAUUUUCUACAGUGGCUUUAAAGCAUUUCAAUUAAAAUGGUUUGCACGUUAACAAUAUUCUAUUAUAAACCUCGUUUGAAGUAUAGCAUAAAGCAAACACUCAUGGCACAUUAUAGAGCAUAAUUUAUUAAAAAAAUUCUUGAUGCUUUUUCGUUGAGAAAUACAGCAGGUAAAUUUAAGAAGCUAACAAUGACUAGAUAGUGAGGUACACAGAGUUUAAGUCAUACGAAACAAUUGAGAUAGCAUAAUCAAACAGCUUGAUCGAUCGAACACGCUGUCUGUAUGAUAUGAGUAUGACUACAACAGCAGCUGCUACAACAGAGAUUAUAGCCCAUGGAUUACGGAAAUACUUCUGUUUCAAGAAUGCCUUCCAUUUGUGUCCCCGCUUUCGGUAGUACUUGUUCAGAUCUUCGAAGAUCUAGAAUUCAACUACACCAGAAAAGUAGAAAUUUUCGACGCUGAUAAGAUUUUCCAUUGAACUAUUGCGGAAAAGGAUUGAAACUGCAUGCAUCGUUAUCAGAGAUCAAAGCUUGUGAUGCACCCAUAAAAGAUAAAACGAAAACCCGUUAAUUGAACUCCAUUACAAAGCAAGCCUUUCCUGUUAUCCUGAUAAUUAACACCUUCACUUAUCACUCCUACUACGCUAUUCUCCAUCCAUGCAAGCUCCUCCUCUUCUGGAUCAUGUGUUAUAACGAGUGAAGGCACUGGUUGAACAACUGGGACCGCAUUAAUAAUAUUAUCUUGGAUGACAAGGGCUACGUUUAUAUCCACUGUUUGAGUAACAGGGUAUGCAUUGCUUUGGAGUUGACGAGUGCUAGCUGAAUCACUGCUGAUUUUCCCUUUUCGCGCAACCAUAUAAUAACUUCUGCAGUCGCACUCCCUGACUGAUACACGCUGAACAUGCUUUUUUUUUAUCGGAAUCCGAUGCUGCGAAUUUGUAUAUUUCCCCAGUUGAAACCGCUUCAAAUUUGCACGUAGACGAUAAGACCCAAACCAUAUUCCAUUAAGCUUUCCAAGGCGAUCCUGUUGUUCAGAAUCUGUUUGCAUUGUAACACAGCCAGACCUCCAGUUUCUUCCGUUGUGUCGUCGUGAUAUGUACAUAACAAUUACUACGCCAUAUUUGUUAAAAGUUCUGCGGAGGGUUUGAUAAUCUAACCAAGAGGUGAAUCGCUCUAGGAAAAUCUGAGACAGUGGUGUAUUAGGCGAGGUUGAUGGUGACAGGGUAGCGGCUUGGUUGGAUUUCGAUGCUGUAAGUGUUUUUUUAGGUGUUAUAGAGGAAACGAGAUGGUUGCAUAUUAUUUUCCUUAGGAGGGGGAUUAAUUUAUUAUGCAACAAGAUCAGGAAAACAAGAAACGAAAAAGAUCUGUUAUUACUCAGGAUUUUAAUUACAUUGCAAUCAUAAGGCGGGGAAACAGUACAAAGGGAUUAAAUAUUUAAACUUGACUCAUAACACAUCAUCAGCUUAUACUUUCUAGAAGCGGGUGGGUGCAAUUGUGAAAGAAAGAGGCAACCGCCAGUAUUAAAGAAUGCAAUAGCCAUUAAUGAAGGAGGUGCAGUAAUAGAACAAAAAUGAAGAAAAUACAAGGGGUGAUGUAAUCAAUAAGGUUUCUUAGUGUUUUGUUUUCCUAUAAUCAGGCAUGUGGUUUGGGAGUUUAGAUGUGUGGAUUGAUCAAGAGAGUGUUAGAGAGCAUUGUAAUCUUGAGUAUUGUUUGAAAGAAUUCUGAAUUUAGUGUUUGUUUGUGUGUAUUUGUCUCUCAUGGAGGUGCACAGCUAGUAACCUCAAUCAUCCACUCCACCAACUAUGGUAUCAAAGCCUAAGAAGCAAAAUUAGAAGGUGUUCUUGAUUUUUUACCCUGAAAUACUAAUGUUUGAAAGUGUAUUCUGAAUGCAUCAUUGAAAAGUACUCAAUAAAAAAAUUAUAAUGAGGCAAAAAUCAGCCCAAAUAGAGAUUAGAUGAGCCUCUUGAAGUUUCACCGUGAAAAAUCACCUUCAUUAAAAAAACAAUCUGAAAAAACCAGACCGGUCAAUGUUCUGAAAUUACAAAACAACCAUAUAAUUUUCAUAAAUGUCAGAAUGGACACUAAAUAUUUCAAAGGCACCCAAAAUUUUCAUAAUUUUCAUAACAAUUCCUCAUGUUUCUUAAAUGUAAUAAACACCCCAACAAUUUUAAAAAUUGCAAAAUAACCCUAGAAGUUCUAAAGUUCUUAGCGAUCUCAAGAAUUGCUACUCUUCCAUAACCAAUAGACCAAAUAUUAGUCUACAUUACCUCAUUUUAGCAAAUCUUGUGAGACAUAAUUAAUGAUUGAAAAAUAAUUUUUAUUUCAUUUAAUUUUGAGUGCUUAAAGAUGUAACUUUAUUUGAUAGUUAUUCUCAAAAAAAACGAAAAACGAAAAAGCAAAUUUCAUUUAUUUUUGAAGAGUAAAAUACGUGUCAUCACAUAUUUCUAAACACGAAGCAUUAAUUAUAAAAAGUAUUACGCGGCCUAUUUUCAAUUGUCUACUUGCAUACAAUUACAGUAUGCGAGACAAAGUUCGGCCUAUUUUCUUGAAUAGAAGUUGUGCAAAACAAGAAAGAAAAUCUUCAUCUCCCAAACUUGUGCAUACAAUUACAUGAUAUACAAUUACAUGUUCCCUUCUAUUUUUACAGUUUCUUUUCUUUCAAUAUUCCUGAACUUUGUCUGCUUUUCUUUGGUGGGUCUCUAGGUAUUGCAAAGAAACAAAUUUUCUCUUCCAUUGAUGUCUCUUUUAAUAAUCAUUACUUUUCUUUAUCUUUUUAUUCAUAGUUGUUUUGAUUUUCUUACUGUUUUGGUUUAUGGUUUGUGUUUUUAUAAGGUAAAAGAAGGAAUUAUUUUGGUUUCAAGAGAGGGCAAGGUGAUUGAAACGGUUGAUGACCCAAAAUCUUGAUCCUGUUGUUUUUCCAUCUGCUGCAACAAAUAACAUGUUAUGUUAUUACUAGGUUGUGGUAGUCAAGUUAGAGAAAAUUAGUGUUUUUUUUUGUCAUAUUUUGUGAGCUUAAUUUCCUUGUCUCUUAGGAUUCUUGUGUUUCUUUUUUCGCCUUUGAUAGUUCAAUCCCAUAAAUAUUUUGUAUUGAUUAACCUAACCGUGAAACUGAGAUAUAUAUCAGUGCAGUUUAAAGAAACUGUGAAAAUAAAAGUAUUCAAUUUGGAUACUUGAAACUGGUCAGGUUGAAUUUGGAUAUCUAACAUUUAUACUCAUAUUGGAUAUGAAUAUUAGUUUUGGAUUUGGGCUUAGUACUAAAACCAAACCUAUGUAUAUAUACCCAUUGUUAUUUCUAAUGACAUGACAACUAAUUAGCUCCAUACUCUUAUGACUCGAAAUUAUGUCAAGACUAUUUGGAAUAGGAAGGACAGUGGAAUUCCAAGAGUAUUUUGUUUGCCACCAUGUAUAAUGGGUUAGACAUAAAUUUUCAUAUUAAGAUGGAAAAACUUAAUUGUAAAAUUCAAAGGAAACUUAUUUUAACAUGAAAAUCUGUUUUAUUUUUUGUUCUUGGAUCAACACUUCAGUGUCACUUCUAGUAAUAUAUUUAUAAAUUUUGUUAAUGUAGAGAGUCCAAAAUAAAAAUAAAAAGAAAAAGAGAACUAUGUUCACUUGCAAGCCUCAACAAAGAAAUUAAAAAAAAAACUAUUUCACUAAUUUUUUAUUGAGAUAUUUAUUUUAGUUUGCAGCAAAUAAUAAAAUUUUAUCAUUAUUGAGAUUUUAUAUAUAGUUUAUCACCUUUGCGAUGGAAAAGUGUAAUAUUAAGUUUUGAUUAUUGAGAAUAAAAUUUAAAGUAUUUUUCCUUCUAUUAUGAGAAUUGUGCAAGGUAAGCUUUCUCAAGCUUCUUUUGUAUAGCCUUUCCUGAUAACCUUACAAUCUUAAUUUGUGGUUUUUUCUGUCUGCGUUAGUUUUUAAGGGGUUUCAGAUUAAUGCAAAAAAAAAUUCAAGAACAAAUGUAAAAGGAGAUGAAAAAUGCACAAUCAAACACAAGAUUCCAAGACAACCCGUAAGAGCAUCUGUAAGGAAUCAAAUCUGAUUUUUUCUUUCUUUUUCUAAUUGUAAAUGUUUCACCUGAAUGCAUGUCUUUGACUACUUGAAAGAGCUAAACAUUAAAAAUCCAUAGCUUCUCUAAAUUAAAACUUGCAAGCAUUUUUCUGAACAAAAAAUAGAAAGGACUCUAGUGUCUGCUACUUACACAAACUCUGAAAUUCUGAAGUUUUUUUGAAGAGUUUUCUUGUCUGCUACUUUUUUUCCUGCAAUUCAGCACCUCUUCUAAUUCUACACAAAAUUCUUCGUCAACGUUUUCGGACUUGGAAGUCAACUUGAAAAGUUAGAAAAACUACCUCUCUUUUUUUUUAGUUAUUUAGUAGUAAAUAAACUAUAGGGAUAGAAGUGAAAACAUUGGAUAAUUUUAAACUAUAGGAAUACAAGUGAAACAUUGAUAAAUCUAUAAAGGCCAUGGUGUCUAUGCUAUGUUGACUCAAAUUGGGUGUUCUUGAACUGUGAUUUAUGCAAAUGGAAAAAGAAAUGAAGGGUUUGUUAGCUUUGGCCAUGGUGUCUAUGCUAUGUAGUUUUGGUAUCAGCAAGGAGUGUACAAACAUCCCGACUCAGUUAUCGUCACAUUCAUUUCGAUAUGAACUGUUAUCAUCACAGAAUGAAACAUGGAAACAAGAAAUGUUUGAACAUUAUCAUUUGAUACCUACCGAUGAUUCAGCUUGGGCCAGUUUGCUGCCACGAAAGAUACCGAGAGAAGAAGAUGAGCAUAGUUGGGAAAUGAUGUAUAGAAAUUUGAAAAGUCCUUUGAAAUCCUCUGGAAAUUUCCUUAACGAAAUGUCAUUGCAUAAUGUGAGAUUGGAUCCAAGUUCAAUCCAUUGGAAGGCUCAACAAACAAACUUGGAGUACUUGUUGAUGUUGGAUGUGAAUAACUUGGUGUGGAGCUUUAGGAAAACUGCAGGUUCGUCUACACCAGGAAAAGCUUAUGGUGGUUGGGAGGCACCGGAUUCCGAGCUUCGAGGACAUUUUGUAGGUUAGUUUUUUGCUGAUGAUCUUGAAUUUAGUGUUGAUCAAUAUUAGUACAUAUAUUUUUAUGACAAACAAAUUUGAUUUGGCUUGUUGAAGGGCACUAUUUGAGUGCAUCAGCACAGAUGUGGGCUAGUACUCAUAAUGUAACUCUAAAGAAGAAAAUGUCUGCAGUAGUUUCUGCUCUAUCUGCCUGUCAGGUGAAAAUGGGAACAGGAUACCUUUCUGCUUUCCCAUCUAAAUUAUUUGAUCGGUUUGAAGCUAUAAAGCCAGUCUGGGCUCCUUAUUACACCAUUCAUAAGGUAGUAUCUACUUCAAAAUGGUUCACUGUAGUGAUUCUUCAGAAAAUCAUACGACUAACCAUUUGUGUUGUUGACUUUGACAGAUCCUAGCAGGUCUUUUGGACCAAUAUACAUUGGCAGAUAAUGCUCAAGCUUUAAAAAUGGUUAAGUGGAUGGUUGAUUACUUUUACAAUCGAGUUAGAAACGUUAUAACCAAUUACAGUGUUGAAAGGCAUUAUCUAUCACUCAACGAGGAAACUGGUGGUAUGAAUGAUGUCCUUUACAAGUUAUUUAGCAUAACAGUAAGUACACUAAUCUGUGCAGUUUCCUUUGCUUCUCCUGAUUCUUCACUUUACGAGUCCUAUGAAUUGUCUCCCUGGAGCUGGAAUGGAUAUAUUUUUUGAAUUUACUCUGUUCCGUGGAAGAUAAACCUCUGGAUAUCUUUAACUCGAGCCUUAAAUUUUACUUUGAUGCAGGGAGAUCCAAAGCAUUUGGUGCUGGCUCACCUGUUUGACAAGCCUUGCUUCCUUGGUUUGCUUGCAGUACAGGUAAUUUAUGACUAUCAAUUGUUGUUUAUCAGCUUUUGGCUGGUGUUGUAGUCUUCUGGUUUUUCAGGUCAUUUCCCUCCUUUAGCCGGUAAGAAUAGUUUCCCUUUGAGAAAACAAGCUUCUGAUUUUGUAAAAUGAAAUGUUAUCAUCUUUGACAUAACAAUUCCAAUCAGUUAGAGCAAGCCUAAUUUAAGAUGAACUUCUGAGUUUUUUAUAUUGCAAAUAGAAUGAAUUUGGAAUGCAGGCUAUUUUAUAGCAGCUUCUUCUCUUCCUUGUAGGCCGAUGUCAUAUCAGGUUUCCACGCCAAUACACAUAUCCCUGUUGUCAUCGGUGCACAGAUGCGAUAUGAAAUCACUGGCGAUCCUCUUUAUAAGGUUAAUGCUUUAUAUUAAUCAUAGAUUACCUGAGCAGCAUUUUCUAUGAAAUGUUGUAGCAUUUUGAUUACUGUUCUACUGAGCUAUUGCAGUUCAUGUUAGAGUAGUCAUGCAUGCAUGAUCUCUGAUCUUAAAACUGCCUAAGACAGAUUUGAUCUUCCAGGAUAUAGGAGCAUUCUUCAUGGAUGUAGUCAACUCUUCUCACAGCUAUGCAACUGGAGGAACUUCUGUUAGCGAGUUCUGGUACUGAUUGUUGUUUUUCGUUCAAUAAUAAUAGUGAUAUUCUGAAUUAGGUUUAAUGCCUCCAUAUAGAAGAAUCUUGCUUCUACUUUCAUAAAAAAGCUUGCUACGAUCUUAUCCUGUGUUGGUUGACACCUUGCCUGAUGUGUGAGUACGUCAGAUCCAAAGCGACUGGCUAGCACGUUACAGACAGAAAAUGAGGAAUCAUGCACAACUUAUAAUAUGCUGAAGGUGUGUUUCAUCUCAUAUCUCUGCUUACUGAUUUAGAUUUUAUGUGUAUUUGAUGAAUAGAAUUUGUUUCGAUCUUUUCAAAAACUUAUUUUGACUCCAAGGUCUGUAUGUCAGUAAACAUUUUGGCAUCUAUACGGCAUUUACCUGGCAGUUUUUUCAUCUUCGUGUUACAUAAAUUUUCCUGCUUAAAUACUCUGCACUUUUUUUUGCAACCUGUAGGUCUCUCGCCACCUGUUCAGAUGGACCAAAGAAAUGGCUUAUGCAGAUUAUUACGAGCGAGCUCUGACAAACGGUGUGAUUCUAAUGAUUUACAUGCUUCCACAAUAUCCUGGAAGUUCCAAAAAGAGGAACAGAACCUGAAGUGAUGAUUUACAUGCUUCCACAAUAUCCUGGAAGUUCCAAAGCCAAUAGCUAUCAUGGAUGGGGGACUUCGUAUGAUUCUUUUUGGUGCUGCUAUGGAACAGGUGUGGAAACUGUUACCUGCCUCAUCCUUUCUUAGCUGCUAAUUGUCACAAUUAUCAGAUUUCAAUGUAAAGUUCUCUGUAUUUUCAUUGAUUCUGAAAGGAAGAAUUCAGUCCUAUAAAUACAUGUAAAAUAAUCCCUAAUUUGUAGUCUAUAAUCCCUGAUUUGUAGUCUAUAAUAAAUACAAUAAAUACAAUAUAUUCUGUUACAAUUUGGUUGCCAUAUAUUGUUGAUAUUCUUGCCAUAUACAUUGACAUCCCCCCUCAAAUUGAUGCUGGUCGAUCAAGAAGCAUCAAUUUGUCAAUCAUGAGUUGAUGUCGAGGCCGAGACAAGGCCUUCGUAAAGACAUCAGCGGUCUGAUGCUCGGUGGAAAUAUGAGGUAGUGUAAGAAUAUUAUGAUCAAGAGCUUCACGAAUAUAGUGACAAUCGACUUCAAUAUGUUUGGUGCGUUCAUGAAACACAGGAUUAGUAGCAAUCUGAAUAGCACUUGUGUUAUCAGCAUGAAGAGGUGUAGGAGUGUGCUGAGGAAAACCAAGUUCACGUAGCAAACCCUGGAGCCACACAAUUUCAGAACAUGCGGAGGACAUAGCUCGAUACUCAGAUUCUGUGGAAGAUUUUGAGAUUCGGUCUUGCUUUUUGCUUUUCCAUGAAAUUAAAGCAUUUCCAAGAAACAUACACCCCAGUAACAGACCGACGUGUAUCCAUGCACCCUGCCCAAUCUGCAUCACUAUAACCUGUUAAUUGUAAUGAAUUAUCAGCAGGAAAAAAUAAUCCUCGCCCAGAUGUGCCUUUAAGAUAGCGAAGAAUUCUUCGGACAACAGCUAAAUGAGGUUGACGAGGAGCCUGUAAAAACUGACUGACUUGUUGUACUACAAAAGAAAUAUCUGGCCGAGUAAUGGUUAGAUAAUUCAAACUGCCCACCAAUUGCCUGUAUAUGGAGGGAUCAGGUAACAGGUCACCAUCAUUCUGACAAAGUUUUAAAUUAAUCUCGAGAGGUGUAAGAACGAUAUUCCCUGAUUCAAGACCGCCCAAGAGAAGAAUCUCUUGGGUGUAUUUGUGCUGAUGUAGAGAAAUCCCAUUGGACAUAGAGUGCACCUGUAGACCAAGGAAAUAGUGAAGGUGUCCCAGAUCCUUCAUAUGAAAUUCACUGUUAAGAGAACGCUGUAAAUCCUCAAUGAGUGGAAUGUCAGAUCCUGUAAUGAUAAUAUCAUCCACAUAUACCAGAAGAGCAACAAUACCAGUAGUAGUUUGCUGAAGAAACAGAGAGGAAUCAUAUUGGCUCUGAAUAAAUUUAAGUUUCAGAAGAGUAGUGCGAAAUUUUUCAAACCAUGCCCGGGGUGCCUGUUUUAGACCAUACAGGGACCGUUUCAACCAGCAGACUUUAUCAGAUGGGUGAGUAAACAUACCAGGAGGAGGAGUCAUAUAAAUAUUCUCUUUCAGAUCUCCAUGUAAAAAUGCAUUUUUUACAUCCAUUUGACGAAGUGGCCAUCUCUUGGAAGCAGCAAUUGCCAUAAUGGUGCGUAUGGUAGUCAUUUUAGCCACAGGUGCAAAGUCUCCUCAUAAUUAAUACCAUAUGCCUGACAAUUUCCAAGAGCCACCAACCGUGCUUUAUAUCGUUCCACAGAUCCAUCAGGUUGGAAUUUAAUAGUGUAUACCCAUUUGCAGCCAAUAGGUUUAAUACCGGUAGGACAAGAAACAAUAUCCCAUGUGUGAUUAUCCUGAAGAGCCUGAAGUUCCUCUUUCAUGGCCUGUUGCCAACAUUCUUGGGUACAAGCCUGCGCAUAAGUCUUAGGCACAAAAGUACUAUCAAUAGUGGUUGCUGAGUAUCCAUACCUGUUUGGGGCACGUGAAACUCUAGUUGAUCGUCUUAGUUGAGGGAAUGAUCAGAUGUCGGUUCCGUGUCCGGAAGGGGCAAAGUGGAUGGUGGAUGACGUCUUUGAUAUACAAUUCCUGGCUUAAAACGUUCAAAGAUAUAAGAUGGACUAUCAUCAUCAAAUGUGGGAAGCUGGAUAGGAGUGGAUUCUGUAGAGGACAAGAAGGGAAAAAAUUCUGAUUUUCAAAGAAAAUCACAUUUCGAGAGAUACGAAUUUUAUGAGCAUUUGCAUCAUAACAUACAAACCCUUUAUGAGAAUUACUAUAUCCUAGAAAAGCACAACGAGCAGCUUGGGCUGAGAGUUUAUUACGUUCAGUAAAUGGUAAGUGAACAAAACAAACACACCCAAAAACAUGGAGAGAAUCAUACUCAGGAAGAACACCAAAUAAAAUAGAGUAUGGAGAUGCAAAGUUUAGAACUUGAGAAGGCAAACGAUUGAUUAGAUGAACGGCUGUGAUAGAGCUUCUACCCAAAAUCGAGUAGGUACUGAAGAAUCAAUUAAUAAAGUGCGAACAACAUCUAAAAGAUGACGAUUCUUACGCUCAGCAAGUCCAUUUUGUUGAGGAGUGUAAGGACAAGAUCUUUGAGAGAGAAUCCCUUUGUUUUUGAGAUAUUCCUGAAAUUCUUUGGACACAUAUUCCCCCCCGGAGUCAGAACGAAGUAUUUUAAUAUGAGCAGAAAAUUGAUUUUCAACAAAUACUACGAAAGUCUGAAAUGUUGAGAAUACAUCAGCUUUAGAUCGGAGAAAAUAUAUCCAAGUGAAACGACUGAAAUCAUCAAUAAACGUGACAAAAUAUUUAUACUGAGCAUGAGAGAUAACAGGCUUAUACCCCAUACAUCAGUAUGAAUAAUUUCAAAACAUUUAGAAGCACGACUACCAUGUGAAGGAAAUGAUAAUGCUUUGCUUUUACCCAAUUUGCAAGAACUACAGUCCAAAAAUUCUGUGGAAAAAGAAUUUUUAUUCCCCAAAUAUCCAUGUUUCAUAAGAUGAGUCAAUACAUUAGAAUUGGGAUGUCCCAAUUUCUUAUGCCAAAAAUGAGGAUUAUUAAUGACAGUAGAAUAAGCACAAGAAUUAAUACUAGGAAUAGAAAAUUGUAUUGGAAAAAACCCCACUUUAGGCCCCUUCGCGAUCACCUUCCCCGACACUUGAUCCUGCACACAACAACCAUGACGAUUAAAGAGAAUUUCACAGUUAUUUUCUACCAUUUGACCAACAGAGAGUAAACUUGUUGAUAAUUUCGGUGACACAAAAAUAUUGUUGAAAUAAGACCCCAAAUUACCAAUGAUAAAAUCGGCAGAUUAUCACCAUUUGCUACCUGUAUAUGUUGAUUACCCAUGUAUUUUCGCACAUUACACAACCAUUUUCACUGCUGGUCAUGAUUCGACGCUGCCGAAUCCAUUAACCAUGGUUUAUUAUAUGCCGAAUCCAAAGAAAGUUAAGUUUAUUACCAGAAAUCCAAGUGCAGAGAAGGCAGAGAUGAUCAUCUGCUGCACCAUCUCGGGAGUGAUCGUGCCUGACGAAGAGCUCACCGACGAUGAAGAUUCUGGUGCCAACGGUGAGGACACGGCUGCGGCAGCCAUAGAAGUAGCCCCCAAUUUUGACUGCACAGUAAACCCUUGCGAUUCUGUGGUCGCAGACGCAUUCCCUGAUUACAUGCCCCUCCUUCUUACAAUAAUUGCAGAAUUUCUUACUGCAAUUUCUGGCAAUGUGCCCUAAUUCCUUGCAAUUAAAACACUGCACACUCCCACCCCUCUGUCGUCCCCUUCCUUGAGCCAUGUAAGCCACAUUCAUCUCGUGACAGUGUCCUGAGUCAACUCGUGUUGAGUGGCGAGUCGUUGUUCUUCCCGUAACAGUUCCCCCAAACAUUCAUCCAAGGUGGGUACUGGACUUCGGUUGAUCAAGCUAGCUCUCACAGCCUCAAAUUCUGGCCGGAGCUUCAUCAAGAACUGGUCCCUCUGGCUCUCGGCAUAAACAAGGUAUAGUGCUUCUAAACUAUCCUUCGGUAUUUUAGAGUAAAUUAUGCCAGUAUAUUCACUCCAUAGGUUUAGAAAUCCAGCAUAGAAUUGUUCAAUUGAAAGAUUACCUUGUUUGUAAUUGGCAAUACCCAUUUCGACCUGAAAUUUUUGAGCCGAAUUGUUCUGGGAAUAAAUGCGUCUGAAGUAGUCCCAAAUCUCCUUCCCUGUGCCAAACGAUCGAAGAUUGUUGAUCAUAUGGGGUUCAACAGACCCCAGUAUCCAGGAGACAAUUUUCGCAUCCUUGGUAGUCCAUAUACCCAGCUCCUGUGGUUCGGUUGGUGCUGGUGAAGAUCCAUCAAGAUGCCCCCAUAAUUCCUUCCCUUUAACAAACAUACGAAACUGAAACUCCCAACUGGCAUAGUUUUUGCCAUUGAAUCGAGUAAGAAAAGCCUCUCCAGACAUCCUAGGAAUCUCAAAAAAAAUAUCACCAAAUACUGAUGAAUUCAGUCUAUAGACUUAAGAAAAGAACAAAAGAUCUAGAUUAGAGAAUAACCGGCUCUGAUACCAUGUCACAAUUAUCAGAUUUCAAUGUAAAGUUCUCUGUAUUUUCAUUGAUUCUGAAAGGAAGAAUUCAGUCCUAUAAAUACAUGUAAUAAUCCCUAAUUUGUAGUCUAUAAUCCCUGAUUUGUAGUCUAUAAUAAAUACAAUAAAUACAAGAUAUUCUGUUACAAUUUGGUUGCCAUAUAUUGUUGAUAUUCUUGCCAUAUACAUUGACACUAAUACAGUUCACUGUUUUUAAUCAUUUUUUACUUGUAAGAGGAGAAACAUACCUCUGCUUCUGUGCUAACAAUUUGAUAUUAUCUUUUGUUGCUGUACCCACAGGAAUUGAAUCAUUUUCAAAGCUGGGAGAUUCCAUAUAUUUUGAAGAAGGAGAAGCCCCAGGCCUUUACAUCAUUCAGUAUAUAUCAAGCUCUCUUGAUUGGAAAUCUGGACAGAUUGUGCUCAAUCAGAAAGUUGAUCCUAUCGUUUCUUCGGAUCCAUAUCUUCGGGUGACAUUAACCUUUUCUCCUAAGAAGGUAUUUGCUGAAUCGAUCUAUCAUAUGAGCAUACGGAAACUAGUGUUACUUUUGAAGGAGUUACUUCCCAAUAAAAAAAAAAAAAUCAACCUGGAUCCUCCUUGGCUGGGAAAAGGAUGUUAAAAAGUGGCUAAAUCUACUGGAAAUUUAUAAUUAUUUUUAUAGUGUGAAAGUGCACAGAGAAUAGAAAGUCUUAACAAGAGGUGGGAAAAAAAAGGCUUACCUGUGAUCAUAAUGGAUCUGAUUUGUGCAGGGGACUAGCCAAGCAUCGACCUUGUAUUUGCGGAUACCAAUUUGGACAAAUUCAUAAGGUGCUACUGCAACAAUAAAUUCUCAGAGUUUGCGUCUACCAGCUCCAGGUGUGAAGUAUAAUCUUGACUAUUUGCAUCUGUUAAUCUACAUGUUUCUUAUAUUUUGAUUUAAUCCAUUUUAUAAGUGCUAAUAGGAGAGUUCAUUUGGCAUCUUCCGAGUGAUACCUGGAAUAGUCUCUAAUACUCUGCUUCUAAUGAAGGUAGUUUCUUAUCAGUCAAUAGAAAAUGGCGCAGCAGUGACAAGCUAACCCUUCAGAUUCCUAUCAGUUUGAGAACAGAGGCCAGUAAAGGUAUUUUCUUCGGAUUCCUGCUUGAAAUGUAAAAUAUUUUCGUAAAUGUCUAUAAUGAUGAUGGACAUAGAGCUGACAAAGUCCUCUGAACAACAUUCAGAUGACCGGCAAGAGUAUGCUUCUGUUCAGGCAAUACUAUAUGAUCCUUACCUACUUGCUGGUCAUACAAGUGGUGACUGGAACCUCAAAACCGGGUCAGGAAAUUCUCUUUCAGACUCAAUAACACCAAUCCCUGGCUCUUAUAAUGGACAAUUAGUAUCUUUUUCCCAAGAGUCUGGAAUUUCGACUUUUGUGUUAACAAAUUCAAACCAAUCAAUAUCUAUGGAAAAGCUCCCGGAAUCAGGCACCGAUGCUUCUCUUCAAGCCACCUUUAGACUUGUAUUAAAAGACUCUUCUUCCUCGAAACUCUCAAGUGUUAAAGAUGUUAUUGGAAAAUCAGUCAUGCUUGAACCCUUUCAUCUUCCUGGAAUGCUUUUAGUGCAGCAAGGAAAAGACAGAAGCUUUGCACUCACAAACUCUGCUGAUGGUGAUGGACCAUCCAUCUUCCGCGUGGUUUCUGGAUUGGAUGGAAAAGACGGAACUGUAUCCCUGGAAUCAGGUAUCCAGAAUGGUUGCUACGUGUACAGUGGUGUGGAUUAUAAGUCAGGUCAAAGCAUGAAGCUUAGCUGCAAAUCGGAGACAUCAUCAGAUACUGGUUUUAAUCAGGGAGCCAGCUUUGUAAUGAACAAAGGACUAAGUCAAUAUCAUCCAAUCAGCUUCGUUGCAAAGGGGGACAAAAGAAAUUUUCUUCUUGCACCAUUACAUAGUCUGAGAGAUGAAUCUUACACUAUUUAUUUUAACAUUCAACCUUAACAAGUGUUGAUAGAGCUAUUGAUUAGUGACUCUGCUUUUAGAUAAAUUAAGUUCAAUACAUAAAGAGAACUUGAAACCUCUUACGAGGAAAGGGUGUCCUAAUUGGUGUGGGGCACUUUCUUCAUUAGUUUAGUAUAAUUAUUUUUAUUAUAUUACUUCCUUAACUGUUAAGAUUUUUUUGGUGUUUGAAAAGACUCUAGUGUAAGAACAUGCUUAUCCUUUGAUUCCAUCAAGCUAAAAUGUUUUUACAAUGUUUUAAAUGUCUAAUUAUAUAGGAUAACCAGCUUACAGGCUGUUUUUCUUUGAGGCUCAAAUUAAGCUCGAAAGCUACCAUUUAAUUUUUUUUUUGUUGUUGUUUUUGAAUUAUUUUUUCCUAUUUAGAAUAGGAUUUUUGAUGUGGGACAACCAAUCCAAGAUUUCAUGGAUCAAAUCGACAAAUAAAAAUGGUUCAAGGCUCAAAAUAAUUAUAAUUUUUUAUUUGAUUACUAGAUCAAAUUCAAAUUUUACAGUGAAUUCUUGAUAAAAAAACAAUUUGAACUUACGAUCAGCAUCUUUCGCACUCCAAACUUGAUCAUUGCUCAUAUUCACCAAAUUCCACUUCAAAAAUCCUGAAUUCCACUUCAAAAGUCCUUAAAAUUGCCUUCAAAGUUUUGGACCCUAUUUGGAACCUUUUCCUUGUUAAUUUUGGAUGUUAGCUUUAUUAUUUUUCAAAAUUACUUGUUUUCUUGCUAUUUAUGAAUGUUUACGGUAUUUAAAUUUAUAUUCUCAGAUUUUAUGACUUUUUGAUUAAUAAAACUAUAGUCUUGUAGAACUUUGAUUGUGUUUAUAUCUUAUCGUGUGUUAAAUUCAAAUCCUUAGCUUUCUCUACAUCAAUUUUUAAUUUAAUUAUGAUUUUACAAAUUGAGUUUUUUUCUUGUAUUGAAACAGCUUUUUAAGCUAUUUUUUUUUAGAUUUAAGAACACCAAUUUUUUUCUCUAUAUAUAGAGCCGCAAAAUCUUAGGAAUUAAAGAUCCUAUCUAUGUAAUAAUAAUUAGUAGAAAAUUAAUCCUAUUCCUUAUACAUACUCAAGAUUUUCAUUUUCCAUUUAAAUCAUAAUUUUCUAAUUCCUUUAACAUAUAAUCCAUAUUUCUUUGCUAAAGCAGGCAGUUCGAUCAAGAGGUCAGCUUUAUUUUUUUAAUUAUUAGUUUUUUUUAGCACUCACAUUUUUUUAUAAGCCAGAUCAUAUAUAUAUAUAUAUAUAUAUAUAUAUAUAUAUAUAUAUAUAUAUAUAUAUAUUCUCUCUCUCUUGAUUCUCUACCUCGUUUGCCUAUCUCUUUACUAUAGAGUAAUUACGGUGGUUAAUGCUCUAAAUUGUUUUGUUUCUGAUAAGACUGUGACAAGAGGCAAAUGAUGAUUUAAUAUACAGCAAAUAAUGUUUUUGCUUGAAUGAUAGAACACACUGUUUGUAUGACAGUAGAAUUCCACCUGCAAUAACAGAGACUAUGGAUUAUUCACAAACAUCUGUUUCAAAGCUGCCUUCAAGGUCAUUAACUUAUUAUGCCUACGCCUUCUGCAAUGUGAAUUCAGAGCUUCGCAGACACCCCAAAGAAAACUAUUUGUAGUGACACCAAUAUUGUCGUGGUCAUGACUGUAAAGAAGAUUCGACACUACUUCAUCACUGUUUAGCAUAUUUUUCGAAUUCCAUUUACGAGCAAGUACUCCCACAUCAUUAGGGGCCCUGACGAGGCAGCUGAUGAAAGUAAUGUAGUCAUCUACGAAAGUAUCCUCAAUCCAAUUAUAGCAUUCCUCAAAGGCCAGGAGAUUUCUGAAUAAGAUUUCCGUGCCUUCAUCUAUUUGCAGUUGUGGGAUUUCUAGAAUCCCUUUCCUGAAUGUUAUGUCAAACAGUGAGCUUCUUUCUGGAUUCCUAAAUUUCACUCCAGAUUGAUGGAGCUCUGUUGCAGUGGGUGCUCUUGAAAAGGUUGUUUCCAGUGGACGAUGGCACAAUGCCGGUGGCUGCUGACACCUUCUUAGGAAGUCAACGAAAUGUAGGACUCCAGAGAAAUCAAUUGCUUUCGAACAGUCCUCUUUCACCCAGCCAGCCCAUUGACUUCUUAGAAACCCACAGGUAAGCUCAAUAAUGGUACAAUUCUCAGCUUCACUGGAUAGCUCAAAAAACUUCUCGAGGAUGAAGAAUGGAAGCUGAUUUUCAAGCAAUAGCAUAUCGAACACUACGUUAUGUAGCAUAAAUGGACGAUAGAAAAUCCGAUCACUACGUCCAUUUCUAAAAACCAAUCUCCUGUACUUCAACUUCAGUAAGACCAUAAUAAUAAAGACGGCAUCCAGUGCGAAUUCUUUUAUAGUAAGUUGAAUGGUCUCUGCAUAACAAUCACGUAAUGCUGCUUCAUUCUCCUUGAUAAUGUUAUAUAAAUUCUCCUUACCUACCUUGUUCUGGUCAAGAAACUGCUGCAGGUACGUUUCUUUUUGGUCUUCCAUAGCUUUGAGAUUUUCCUUACCAUGGUGAAAAGGGCCUAUUGAGACUACUCGAGGUGUAAAUGCCUUUCUAUGUAACUUCCGCGAUCGUUCGGGGACUCUAUAGAUGCAGCAUUCCGGGGAGGGAGCCUUCUCGAUCUUCAAUUGCUCCCUCCUAGAAUUGGCUAACUCAUUGAUAUCAAGUGAAACUUCAUCGCUCUGAUCCAUUAUCUGCUGAUCAGUACAAUCGCGCUGGUGUUCAGAAACAGCACGUAUAUACUAACACUAAGUCAUGAAAUAAAACAUAUUCUGACAACAACCACAAUAAUAGUUUGCAUGAAAUCAAUCAUAAUUUGUGGUUAUUUCUACCUCUGUUAAUUUUCAAGGGGUUUCUAGUGACGAGCUUUUUACUCAUGUUUUAUUAUGGAAUGCAAAUUAGUGGUGUCUUGCUGUGAAAUAAAAGGGUAAACUUCAUUUAUUUUCCUUGUAAUAGAUUCAUUAAUAUUCUACUUCUACUCCUACUCCUACUCCUACUCUUAUAGUUUUCAUAAAAUCCUGUUAAUAUUACUCUUAACCAUUUAAUAUCUUCUUUUUAUUUUGGUUUUUCAGUUUUUUAGGUUUCGAAUUUUUGUUGUAAGAUACUAUGACAUGCAUAAGGACCUGAGAGGAAAUAAUAUUGCUGCAUAACAAUCACGUAAUUCUUUUUCAUUAUCCUUGAUAACGUAAAAUAAACCCUCCACACUUACCUUCCUCUGUUCAAGAGAUGGUUGCGCCGAUCCACGGUGCCUAUUUUUGUAUUCUCCCGCCCAGCAUUCCAUCGGGGGUCUUUCAUUGCUCCGAUCCAUUAUCCUUUGAUCAGUACUUGAUGUUUCGCCAAAUAUUUCCCUCUGAUCAUUGAACUGAGAUAAUCAAUGGCGUUAGAACCAGCACGUAUAAUUAAUCACUAUUUGAUAAAACAAACUGAAAUACCAUAUUUAAGAAUAACAUUUUCAGGAAACAAACACAAAAUAUUUGCAAGAAAUCAAAAUUGAAACAAGUGAAACUUCAUCGCUCUGACCCAUUAUCUGCUGAUCAGUAAUUGAUGCAAUCGCUGGUGUUUAGAAACAGCACGUAUAUAUACACUAUCACUAAGUCAUGAAGAAAAACAUAUUCUGAAAACAACCACAAUAAUAGUUUGCAUGAAAUCAAUCUUAAUUUGUGGUUAUUUCUAUCUGUGUUAGUUUUCAUGGGGUUUCUAGUGACGAGCUUUUUACUCAUGUUUUAUUAUGGAAUGCAAACUAGUGGUGUCUUGCUGUGAAAUAAAAGGGUAAACUUCAUUUAUUUUCCUUGUAAUAGAUUCAUUAAUAUUCUACUUCUACUCCUACUCUUAUAGUUUUCAUAAAAUCCUGUUAAUAUUUCUCUUAACUAUUUAAUAUCUUCUUUUUAUUUUGGUUUUUCAGUUUUUUAGGUUUCGAAUUUUUGUUGUAAGAUACUAUGACAUGCAUAAGGACCUGAGAGGAAAUAAUAUUGCUGCAUAACAAUCACGUAAUUCUUUUUCAUUAUCCUUGAUAACGUAAAAUAAACCCUCCACACUUACCUUCCUCUGUUCAAGAGAUGGUUGCGCCGAUCCACGGUGCCUAUUUUUUAUUCUCCGCCCAGCAUUCCAUCGGGGGUCUUUCAUUGCUCCGAUCCAUUAUCCUUUGAUCAGUACUUGAUGUUUCGCCAAAUAUUUCCCUCUGAUCAUUGAACUGAGAUAAUCAAUGGCGUUAGAACCAGCACGUAUAAUUAAUCACUAUUUGAUAAAACAAACUGAAAUACCAUAUUUAAGAAUAACAUUUUCAGGAAACAAACACAAAAUAUUUGCAAGAAAUCAAAAUUGAAACAAGUGAAACUUCAUCGCUCUGACCCAUUAUCUGCUGAUCAGUAAUUGAUGCAAUCGCUGGUGUUUAGAAACAGCACGUAUAUAUACACUAUCACUAAGUCAUGAAGAAAAACAUAUUCUGAAAACAACCACAAUAAUAGUUUGCAUGAAAUCAAUCUUAAUUUGUGGUUAUUUCUAUCUGUGUUAGUUUUCAUGGGGUUUCUAGUGACGAGCUUUUUACUCAUGUUUUAUUAUGGAAUGCAAACUAGUGGUGUCUUGCUGUGAAAUAAAAGGGUAAACUUCAUUUAUUUUCCUUGUAAUAGAUUCAUUAAUAUUCUACUUCUACUCCUACUCUUAUAGUUUUCAUAAAAUCCUGUUAAUAUUUCUCUUAACUAUUUAAUAUCUUCUUUUUAUUUUGGUUUUUCAGUUUUUAGGUUUCGAAUUUUUGUUGUAAGAUACUAUGACAUGCAUAAGGACCUGAGAGGAAAUAAUAUUGCUGCAUAACAAUCACGUAAUUCUUUUUCAUUAUCCUUGAUAACGUAAAAUAAACCCUCCACACUUACCUUCCUCUGUUCAAGAGAUGGUUGCGCCGAUCCACGGUGCCUAUUUUUGUAUUCUCCCGCCCAGCAUUCCAUCGGGGGUCUUUCAUUGCUCCGAUCCAUUAUCCUUUGAUCAGUACUUGAUGUUUCGCCAAAUAUUUCCCUCUGAUCAUUGAACUGAGAUAAUCAAUGGCGUUAGAACCAGCACGUAUAAUUAAUCACUAUUUGAUAAAACAAACUGAAAUACCAUAUUUAAGAAUAACAUUUUCAGGAAACAAACACAAAAUAUUUGCAAGAAAUCAAAAUUGAAACAAGUGAAACUUCAUCGCUCUGACCCAUUAUCUGCUGAUCAGUAAUUGAUGCAAUCGCUGGUGUUUAGAAACAGCACGUAUAUAUACACUAUCACUAAGUCAUGAAGAAAAACAUAUUCUGAAAACAACCACAAUAAUAGUUUGCAUGAAAUCAAUCUUAAUUUGUGGUUAUUUCUAUCUGUGUUAGUUUUCAUGGGGUUUCUAGUGACGAGCUUUUUACUCAUGUUUUAUUAUGGAAUGCAAACUAGUGGUGUCUUGCUGUGAAAUAAAAGGGUAAACUUCAUUUAUUUUCCUUGUAAUAGAUUCAUUAAUAUUCUACUUCUACUCCUACUCUUAUAGUUUUCAUAAAAUCCUGUUAAUAUUUCUCUUAACUAUUUAAUAUCUUCUUUUUAUUUUGGUUUUUCAGUUUUUUAGGUUUCGAAUUUUUGUUGUAAGAUACUAUGACAUGCAUAAGGACCUGAGAGGAAAUAAUAUUGCUGCAUAACAAUCACGUAAUUCUUUUUCAUUAUCCUUGAUAACGUAAAAUAAACCCUCCACACUUACCUUCCUCUGUUCAAGAGAUGGUUGCGCCGAUCCACGGUGCCUAUUUUUGUAUUCUCCCGCCCAGCAUUCCAUCGGGGGUCUUUCAUUGCUCCGAUCCAUUAUCCUUUGAUCAGUACUUGAUGUUUCGCCAAAUAUUUCCCUCUGAUCAUUGAACUGAGAUAAUCAAUGGCGUUAGAACCAGCACGUAUAAUUAAUCACUAUUUGAUAAAACAAACUGAAAUACCAUAUUUAAGAAUAACAUUUUCAGGAAACAAACACAAAAUAUUUGCAAGAAAUCAAAAUUGAAACAAGUGAAACUUCAUCGCUCUGACCCAUUAUCUGCUGAUCAGUAAUUGAUGCAAUCGCUGGUGUUUAGAAACAGCACGUAUAUAUACACUAUCACUAAGUCAUGAAGAAAAACAUAUUCUGAAAACAACCACAAUAAUAGUUUGCAUGAAAUCAAUCUUAAUUUGUGGUUAUUUCUAUCUGUGUUAGUUUUCAUGGGGUUUCUAGUGACGAGCUUUUUACUCAUGUUUUAUUAUGGAAUGCAAACUAGUGGUGUCUUGCUGUGAAAUAAAAGGGUAAACUUCAUUUAUUUUCCUUGUAAUAGAUUCAUUAAUAUUCUACUUCUACUCCUACUCCUACUCCUACUCUUAUAGUUUUCAUAAAAUCCUGUUAAUAUUACUCUUAACCAUUUAAUAUCUUCUUUUUAUUUUGGUUUUUCAGUUUUUUAGGUUUCGAAUUUUUGUUGUAAGAUACUAUGACAUGCAUAAGGACUUGAGAGGAAAUAAUAAGAGAAAAGUUAUAAAAAAACAAAAAUAAUUCUGCAUAGCAAUCACGUAAUUCUUUUUCAUUAUCCUUGAUAACGUAAAAUAAACCCUCCACACUUACCUCGCUCGUUUUAGGAACUAGUGGAGGUGGAGGUGGAGGUUGUGGCAUAGCUAGUACAAUUGGAGGCUUCUCCGCUGGGGAAGCCCUCUUCUUUUUUGAUUGCUCCCCCGGAUCCAUUAUCCUUUGAUCAGUACUUGAUGUUCCGCCAAUUUCCCUCAUAUGAUUGAACUGAGAUAAUCUAUGGCGUUAGAACCAGCACGUAUAAUUAAUCACUAUUUGAUAAAACAAACACAAAAUAUUUGCAAGAAAUCAAAAUUGAACAAUAUUCUCUUAAAUCAUGUCUUUUCACAUGUUCACCCGCUCAAAAGAAAAAGAAAAGAAAAAAAAAAAACGGGUAUCCAGUUCUAUAUGUUACCCAAUUUUGGACUCGAAAAUUUCAGUUUUCUGAGGGGUUUUAGCGACAAGCUUUUCACUUAUGUUUGAUUAUGGAAUGCAAAUUAGUGGUGUCUUCUUGUAAAAUAAAAGGGUAAACUUCAAUAAUUAUCCUUAUAGAUUCAUCAUUGCUCUACUUUACUCUUAUAAUUUCAAUUUUUCCGCUAUAACCCUUGUAGUUUUCAUAAAAUUCCAUUAAUAUUACUCUAAAAGCAAUUAACAAACGCAUCAAAAGCCUGUUGGAUAGAAACUUACAUACCUAAAAGCUCUCGACAACCGGCAGUUUUAGAAGUUCUUCUCGUUUCAAUGAUGACAAUCCACCUCUAGUGUCCAAAAAGAUGUGCCAAGAAUGGUAGGCUCUCCCUCUUUAAUAUACCUUCCAAAAUGUUCUAUUGCCCCUUAUUCACCACACACGUACUUAUCAAUAAUCCUUAAUCACCACAUCCGACACAGUACAAUUGUAAUAUCCCUAUUAUUUUAUCUAGAUAAUUUCUCAAUUAAAUAUAAAAAUUUAAAGUAAUUUUUAUUUUUAUUUUACUAAUCAUAUGAACAAUUAAGAUGCAAUUACUUAAUUUAGCAUAAAAAAAAUUUAACAUGACAUUCACAUUAGUUACAUAUAAAAAUUAUAUCUAUAACCAAAAGGAUUCGAUUAAUAUCAUUUACAUAAUUUAUUCAUCCCAUAAUAUUGAUUAAUUAUCAUAAAUAUAUAAAAAAUAUCUAAUAUUCAAACAAGAUCUAUUUUAUUAUUACAAGGAUCUCAAAAUCAAAUUAAUAUUCUAUCAACAUAAUUAUUAAAAAAUACAAAACAUCAUUUCAUUACAUCCAUAUAAAAUAUUUUAUAUAUAUAUAUUUUAUAAGGAGUCAUUAAUAUCUCGGGAUCUCAAUACCUUCUUAUCCAGCAAGAUUCUCCUUCUGUUCAUGUAGAAAAGAAUAAGUAAAACAUUUGGAGUUAAUUUCUCCUCCUAAAAUGUUAAACACUUUAUUUUUAUUUUUUUAAAUAAAACUUGGUAUGGGUAGAGAAACCAAAACAUAUAUUUGGUUUCUUUAAUGUAAAAUGAUAUUUUUUUUCAUUAGAAAAACAAAAGUAUGAUAAAGAAAUGUGAAAAAUAAUAAUGUGCAAAAAAACUAUUGUGGUAAAAAAACUGGUCUCAUUCUCAGUCCUUUUUUUCUGAGGAUUUUUUCUCACAUCUCUAAAAAAAUAAAAAACCAAAACAUUACAAAAAAAAUUAAGACCCAAAUAUAAAUUGCUUAAAUAAUAAAGAUUAAAUAACACAAAAAUUAAAACCUUUUAAACAAAAACAAAGUUUUUCGCCUGGAAAUGAAAAAGGUUCUUUAUUUAUUUAUUUUUGUUUACUUUUGUCCUGUUCAUUCAACUUUUCUUAAACUAUAGUUUUGGACUCUAUUUCAUAAAAUUGAUCAUUAAUUAAUUUAAUUUCAAAAUCUAUAGAAACACUUUUAAUUUGAAAAAUCAUGCAAAGAAAAGUAAAUCUCAACAUAUAACAUGUAAGAUCAUUGUUGCGAAGGCUUUCCUACUCAGACUAAUGGUCUCUGCAUAAUAACAAUCACGUAAUGCUGCUUCAUUCCCCUCGAUAACAUAAACUAAGUCCUCCACACUUACUAAUAAAUUCUGUUCGAGAAAUUGUUGCAGGUACAUUAUUUUGUGGUCUUCCAUAGCUUUUAGAUUUUCCUUACCAUGGUGAAUAGGGCCUAUUGAGACUACUCGAGGUGUAUAUGCCUUUCUAUGUAACUUCCGCAAUCGUUCCGGGACUCUAUAGAUGCAGC